UCCUUGACAUGCUUUAGUUAGCCUUCCCGGCAAGCUCCUCUUGCCGGGGCCUCGUCCUUCCCGGCAAGCUCCUCUUGCCGGGGCCUUGUCUUCUUAGUUAAAAUACUUUGUUCUUGAAUGGCUCCAAUAUGAACUACGGAGGAUCUUGGAAGGCACCCGGCGAGCCUUGCCGCGGGGUGCUGCGACUGCCCGUGCACAAGUUCGGGAUACUAAGGUACCCCUACUUUAGUACACCGACAGCACUAAUAAGUCAUACAUAUUUAGAGAGCAAUUUUUAUUGCUUGCAACAUGACAACUUACUUGAAGGAUCUUAGUCAAUCCAUAGGUAGGUAUGGUGGACUCUCAUGGUAAAACUGGGUUUAAGGAUAUUUGGAAGCACAAGUAGUAUCCCUACUUGGUGCAAGGAAUUUGGCUAGCAUGAGGGGGAAUGUCAUGCUCAACAUGUUGGACGAUCCAUGACAAUAUACUUUAACUAAGAUGUGAGAAAACAUAACCCAUUACGUUGUCUUCCUUGUCCAACAUCAACUCUUUAGCAUGUCAUACUUAAUGAGUGCUCACAACUAUAAAAGAUGUCCAAGAUAGUAUAUUUAUAUGUGAAGACCUCUCUUUCUUUAUUACUUCAUAUUAAUUGCAACGAUGACCAAAACUAUGUUUGUCAACUCCCAAUGACUUUUAUGCCUCAUACUCUUUAUAUGUGAAGUCAUUACUAUCCAUAAGAUCAAUAUGAGCUCUUUUAUUUCUGUUUAUUCUUUCUAUUUUCUCAAGAUCAUAGCAAGAUAGCAAAGCCUUCGACUCAAAACUAAUCUUUAUUAUAGAUAGCUCACGGACUCGAUUACAUAGAGAUAUCACAAAGCCAAGCAAAACUAAUUCAUGCCAAAACUUUAUUCUACUUGAUCAAGAUAUUACCUAAAGGAUCAAACUAAGUAAAACGGUAAAGAUAGGAGUGUGAUGGUGAUAUGAUACCGGGGCAUCUCCCCCAAGCUUGGCAGUUGCCAAGGGGAGUGCCCAUACCCAUGUGAUUAUGUCCUCGGAGGUGGUGAAGAAGGAGUUGUUGAUGAUGUAGGCUUGUCAUCCAUCUUCGAAGGCAUAAGCUCACCAUCAUAGAAGGAUGACCGAGUCUCCGAGAUCCUCAAAUCUGCAGCCAAACUCAUCCUCCAGAAUCUAUAUUCAUACUCACAGUUUUGGUAUUGCAGGUCAUAGAUCUGGGCUUGGAGGUGCUCGAUUUUCUCAUGAAGCUUGAAGAUGGUAUCCCCUAUGUUCUUGGCGUCAAGCUUGUGGUUGUUGGUGAAUUUCGCGAUCAUCAUCUGGUUGGCGUUGAGUCCACGCUCCACCAUCCCUUGGCACUUGAAAACUUGUUGUUCCAUAGCUUCGAGCUUCAUCUCCACGCUUACGGUAUGCCUUGGUCCCUCCACAUCGCGGAUGUGCAGCACCCCCUCACGCAUCUCAAUGGUUUGAGGGUGUUGCAGCACCUCCGCGAGAUAGGGGUUGACAACCCUCUUGAAAAACUUGUCCUUGGGAGCGCUUGGAGACAUCAUGGUGCUCUAGAUCUGUCAGAAAAAUAGCUCGAAACGAAAACAGAAGAUUUUUGCGUGAUAUGGUGGUCAAAACCUUCAGGAGAUUAUAUAAUGAAUUUUUACUGACCAAAAGAAGUAACGUGCAAGAAAACAGAGUCCAGGAGGUACACGAGGUGCCCACGAGGCAAGAGGCGCGCCUAGUAGGGGUGGGUGCACCCUCUACCCUCGUAGAGGUCUCGUGUCCUUCCUGGAUUACUUCUUGCUUUCCUAAAUUCUUAAAUAUUCCAAAACGUAGAAAAAAUGCCAUUAGAACUGUUUUGGAGUCGGUUUACUUACUGUACCACAUACCUAUUCCUUUUUGGAGUCUGAAACGUUCUGGAAAGUGUCCCUUAUGUAUUCCUCCGGGUUGAAGUUGUUGAUUUUUAUGGCACCGGAACGAUAGACCUCCUCGAUAACGUAAUGACCUUCCCAUUUAGAGAGAAGUUUUCCUGCAAAAAAUCUUAAACGAGAGUUGAAUAGCAACACAUAAUCACCUAUGUUAAACUCACGCUUUUGUAUGCUUUUGUCAUGCCAUCUUUUAACUUUUUCUUUGAACAGCUUGGCAUUCUCAUAUGCUUGGGUUCUCCAUUCAUCAAGUGAGCUAAUGUCAAAUAACCUCUUCUCACCAGCAAGUUUGAAAUCAUAGUUGAGCUCUUUAAUAGCCCAAUAUGCCUUAUGUUCAAGUUCAAGUGGUAAGUGACAUGCUUUUCCAUAAACCAUCUUAUAUGAAGACAUACCCAUAGGAUUUUUAUAUGCAGUUCUAUAGGCCCAUAAUGCAUCAUCAAGUUUCUUGGACCAAUUCUUUCUAGAUCUAUUAACAGUCUUUUGCAAAAUUAAUUUGAGCUCUCUAUUACUCAAUUCUACUUGACCACUAGCCUGUGGGUGAUAAGGAGAUGCAAUUCUAUGAUUAACAUCAUACUUAGCAAGCAUUUUACGAAAAGCACCAUGAAUAAAAUGUGAACCACCAUCAGUCAUGAGAUAUCUAGGGACUCCAAACCUCGGAAAAAUAACUUCUUUAAGCAUCUUAAUAGAGAUGUUAUGAUGAGCACUACUAGUUGGAAUAGCUUCUUCCCACUUAGUAACAUAAUCAACAACAACUAAAAUAUGUGUAUAUCCAUUAGAGGCAGGAAAAGGUCCGAUAUAAUCAAUGCCCCAGACAUCAAAUGGUUCAAUAACAAGAGAAUAGUUCAUAGGCAUUUCUUGACGUCUACUAGUAUUACCAAUUCUUUGACAUUCAUCACAUGACAAGACAAACUUACGGGCAUCUUUGAAGAGAGUAGGCCAAUAAAAACCGGAUUGUAAUACCUUAUGUGCAGUUCUAUCUCCAGCGUGGUGUCCUCCAUAUGGUUCGGAGUGACACUUGCGUAGGAUCUAUUUCUGUUCAUGCUCAGGUACACAACGUCUAAUAACACCAUCUACUCCUUUAUAAAGGUGUGGGUCAUCCCAGAAGUAAUGUCUUAAAUCAUAAAAGAACUUUUUCUUUUCCUGGUAUGUGAAACUAGGCGGUAUAAAUUUAGCAACAAUGUAAUUAGCAUAAUCAGCAUACCAAGGAGCAGUACGAGAAGCAUUAAUGACCGCUAAUUGUUCAUCAAGAAAGCUAUCAUCAAUUGGUAGUGGGUCAUCAAGAACAUUUUCUAACCUAGACAAGUUGUCUGCAACAAGGUUCUCAGCCCCCUUUCUAUCAAUAAUAUGCAAAUUAAAUUCUUGGAGCAAGUGGACCCAUCUAAUAAGUCUAGGUUUAGCAUCUUUCUUUUCCAUAAGAUAUUUAAUAGUAGCAUGAUCAGUGUGAAUAGUUACUUUAGAAUCAACAAUAUGAGGUCUGAACUUAUCACAAGCAAAAUACAACUGCUAAGAAUUUUUUCAAUAGUAGCAUAAUUUCUCUGGGUAGUAUCAAGAGUUUUACUAGCAUACUGGAUAACAUUUAAUUUCUUAUUAACUCUUUUCCCUAGAACAACACCUACAACAUAAUCACUAGCAUCACACAUAAUUUCAAAAGGUAAAUUCCAAUCAGGUGGCUGAACAAUAGGUGGAGAAAUCAAAGCUUUCUUUAGUAUUUCAAAUGCUUCUAAACAAUCAUCAUUGAAGACAAAAGGAAUAUCUUUUUGUAAGAGAUUAGUCAGAGGCCUAGAAAUUUUAGAGAAGUCCUUAAUAAACCUCCUAUAGAAACCGGCAUGACCAAGGAAACUUCUUAUACCUUUGAUGUCCUUAGGACACGACAUCUUUUCAAUAGCAUCAAAUUUAGCUUUAUCAACCUCAAUACCUCUUUUAGAAAUUUUAUGCCCCAAAACAAUGCCUUCAUUAACCAUAAAGUGGCAUUUCUCCCAAUUCAAGACAAGACUAGUAUCUUCUCAUCUGUGCAAAACUCGAUCAAGGUUGCUCAAGCAAUCAUCAAAAGAAGAUCCAUAAACGGAGAAGUCAUCCAUGAAAACGUCAAUAAUCUUUUCACAAAAGUCAGAGAAUAUAGCCAUCAUGCAUCUUUGAAAGGUAGCAGGUGCAUUACAUAAACCAAAAGGCAUACGUCUAUAAGCAAAAGUACCGAAAGGGCAAGUAAAAGUGGUCUUUUCUUGAUCCUCUUUUGACACGGGUAUUUGAGAGAAACCAGAGUAACCAUCUAGAAAGCAAAAUUUGUAUGUUCGGAUAAUCUUUCUAGCAUUUGAUCAAUAAAAGGUAAAGGGUAAUGAUCCUUUUUAGUAGAUUUAUUUAAUUUGUGGAAGUCAAUUACCAUCCUAUAACCUGUAACAAUUCUUUGCGGGAUCAAUUCAUCCUUAUCAUUAGGAACAACAGUAAUACCUCCCUUCUUAGGGACACAAUGGACAAGACUUACCCACUGACUAUCAGCAACGGGAUAAAUUAUACCUGCCUCCAGGAGCUUUAGUAUUUGUUUUCUUACAACUUCUUUCAUCUUAGGAUUUAACCAUCAUUGGUGAUCAACAACUGGUUUGAUGUCUUUCUCCAAUUUUAUUUUAUGUUGGCAUAGAGUGGAACUAAUGCCCUUAAGAUCAUCAAGGGUAUAUCCAAUAACAGCACGGUGCUUCUUCAGAGUUUUCAACAAUUUCUCCUCUUCUUGCUCUGAAAGGUUAGCACUAAUAAUAACAGGAUAUAUCUUCUUUUCAUCAAGAUAAGCAUAUUUAAGAGUAUCAGGUAAUGGUUUAAGCUCAAACAUGGGAUCACCCUUAGGUGGAGGAGGAUCCCCUAGGAUUUCAACAGGCAAGUUGUGUUUCAAAAUAGGUCCCUGUUUAAAUAAUACUUCAUCUAUCUCCCUUCUUUCAUUCAUAAACAUAUCAUUUUCAUGGUCUAGCAAAUAUUGUUCUAAAGGAUCAUUAGUAGGCAAAACAAUAGAAGCAGGACCAAUAAUUUCAUCCUUACUAGGCGAUUCUUUAUCAUGGGGUCGUCAACGAAAUUUAGCAAAAUUAAACUCAUGAGACAUAUCCCCUAAGCCAAUUGUAACAUUAUCUUUUUCGCAAUCUAUCUUAGCAUUAACAGUAUUCAAGACGGGUCUACCAAAUAUAAUGGGACAAAAGCUAUCUCGUGGGGAACCAAGAACAAGAAAAUCAGCAGGAUAUUUAACUUUCCCACACAAGACUUCAACAUCUCUAACAAUCCCAACUGGUGAAAUAGUAUCUCUAUUGGCAAGCUUAAUUGUAACAUCAAUUUCUUCUACCUCAGUAGGUGCAAUAUCAUGCAUAAUUUCUUUGUAUAAGGAAUGAGGUAUUGCACUGGCACUAGCACCCAUAUCACAUAAGCCAUGAUAACAAUGAUCUCCUAUUUUAACAAAAAUAACACGCAUGCCUACAAUAGGUCUAUGUUUAUUUUUAGUAUCGGGUCUAGAAAUUCUAGCAGCUUCAUCACAGAAGUAAAUAACAUGCCCAUCAAUAUUAUCAGCCAAGAGAUCUUUAACCAUAGCAAUACUAGGUUCAACUUUCAUUUUCUCAGGUGGUGUAGGUGUUCUAGUAUUACUGUUACGAACCACAGUUGAAGCUUUAUCAUGAUCCUUUAUCCUAACAUAGAAAGGUGGUUUCUCAAUAUAAGUAGUAGGAACAAUAGGAUCAUUAUAAGUGAUAGUAUUUUCUUCAACUAUAAUAGGUGCAACUACUUUUACUUCAGUGGGAGGAUUAUAUUUAAACCACUUGUCCUUAGGGAGGUCAACAUGAGUAGCAAAUGAUUCACAAAAAGAAGCUACUAUCUCAGUGUCAAGUCCAUAUUUAGUGCUAAAUUCACGAAAAGCAUCGGUAUCCAUAAAAGAUUUAACACAAUCAAACUUAGGUGUUAUACCUGACUCCUUACCUUCGUCGAGAUCCCAAUCUUCAGAGUUGCGUUUAAUUCUUUCCAAUAAAUCCCAUCUGAAUUCAAUAGUCCUCAUCAUAAAAGAACUAGUACAAGAAGUAUCGAGCAUGGAGCAAUUGUUGAGAGAAAGCCGAGCAUAAAUUUUUUGAAUAAUCAUUUCUCUUGGGAGCUCAUGAUCGAGGCAUGAAUAUAACAUUGACUUGAGCCUCCCCCAAGCUUGAGCGAUGAUUUCUCCUUCGCAAGGCCUAAAAUUAUACAUAUAAUUACGAUCACGAUGAACAAGAUGCAUAGGAUAAAACUUCUGAUGAAAUUCCAAUUUCAAUCGGUUGUAGUUCCAUGAUCCCAUAUCAUCACAUAGCCUAAACCAUGUCAAUGCAUAUCCCUUCAAAGAUAAAGGGAAGAACUUCUUCUUGAUAACAUCAUCGGGCAUACCUGCAAGCUUAAAUAAUCCACAAACUUCAUCCACAUAGAUUAGGUGUAAAUCGGGAUGCAAUGUUCCAUCUCCUGUAAAGGGAUUAGCUAGCAGUUUCUCUAUCAUACCUGAAGGAAUUUCAAAGUAAACAUUUUCAGUAGGUUCAGUAGGUUGAGGAGCAACUCUUUGCUCUACUGCUCGGGGUGAAUAUACUCCAAACAAGCCCCUCAAAGGAUUACGUUCCAUAGUAACAAGGGACAGUAAAUUUCAGCACACUAUAUAAAUUUUUCCUUACCAAGUUCCACUCACCAAAGGCGCUUCACUCCCCGGCAACGGCGCCAGAAAAGAGUCUUGAUGACCAAAAAGUGUAGGGGUUCUAUCGUAGUCCUUUUGAUAAGUAAGAGUGUCGAACCCAAUGAGGAGCAUAAGGAAAUGACAAGCGGUUUUCAGUAAGGUAUUCUCUACAAGCACUGAAAUUAUCGGUAACAGAUAGUUUUGUGAUAAGGUAAUUCAUAACAGGUAACAAGUAACAAAAGUAAAUAAGGUGCAGCAAGGUGGCCCAAUCCUUUUUGUAGCAAAGGACAAGCCUGGACAAAUUCUUAUAUGAAGGAAAACGCUCCCGAGGACACAUGGGAAUUAUCAUCAAGCUAGUUUUCAUCACGCUCAUAUGAUUCGCAUUCAUUACUUUGAUGUGGGUAGACCGGUGCUUGGGUACUGCCCUUUCUUGGACAAGCAUCCCACUUAUGAUUAACCCCUAUUGCAAGCAUCCGCAACUAUAAAAGAAGUAUUAAUGUAAACCUAACCAUAGCAUGAAACAUAUGGAUCCAAAUCAGCCCCUUACGAAGCAACGCAUAAACUAGGGUUUAAGCUUCUGUCACUCUAGCAACCCAUCAUCUACUUAUUACUUCCCAAUGCCUUCCUCUAGGCCCAAACAAUGGUGAAGUGUCAUGUAGUCAAUGUUCACAUAACAUCACUAGAGGAGAGACAACAUACAUCUCAUCAAAAUAUCAAACGAAUACCAAAUUCACAUGACUACUUAUAGCAAGAGUUCUCCCAUGUCCUCAGGAACAAACGUAACUACUCACAAAUCAUAUUCUUAUUCAUAAUCAGAGAGGUAUUAAUAUGCAUAUAGGAUCUGAACAUAUGAUCUUCCACCGAAUAAACCAACUAGCAUCAACUACAAGGAGUAAUCAACACUACUAGUAACCCACAGGUACCAAUCUGAGGCUUUGGGACAAAGAUUGGAUACAAGAGAUGAGCUAGGGUUUGAGAGGAGAUGGUGUUGGUGAAGAUGUUGAUGGAGAUUGACCCCCUCCUGAUGAGAGGAUUGAUAGUGAUGAUUUCCCCCUCCCGGAGGGAUGUUUCCCCGGCAGAAUAGCUCUGCCAGAGCCCUAGAUUGGUUCCGCCUCGUGGAGGCGGUGUUUCUUCCCGAAAGCUUGCUUAUGAUUUUUUUUCGGGGUAAAAGACUUCAUAUAGCAGAACAUGGUCACCGGAGGCCUGCCAGGGGGCCCAUGAGGCAGGGGGCACCUCGUGAUGCAAAAUGGACGUAUUAACUCCCCCAAGCUUAGACCUCGCUUGUCCUCAAGCGGAAGCCAAAAUCGAAAAAUAUGUCCACGUGUUUAGAGAUAGAGGUGUCGAUAAAAUAAAAUACGGACAUGAGGGCAUCAUCAUUCUUAUAACAGCAACAUAUAUGUAUUUUGUCAUAUGAUUUCUUAUGCUAAAGUAACAAUCUAUUCGCAAUGUCAAGUAUGAAUCAGAAACUUCAUUGAAAACUAACAAACUAUAAUCUGAGUCAUUGAAGCAAUUGCAAUUUAUCAUAACAUUGGAAAGAGUCAAUCCAAGAGCUUUUCAGCAAGUCCACAUACUCAACUAUCAUUUAGUCUUUCACAAAUGCUAACACUCACGCAAUACUUAUGGGUAUGGAGUUUUAAUCUGACACAGAGCAAGAUAGGGGCUUAUAGUGUUGCCUCCCAACCUUUUACCUCAAAGGUAAUGUCAAAAAAAAGUUCAUGCUAACUUACAUCCAAUUGGAUAAUAUAUAUCAGGAUCUUUCCAACACAGGGUGCUUGCCAAAGGAUAAAAUGUAAAAAGGGAAUGGUGAAGAUCACCAUGACUCUUGCAUAAUGUAUAAGACAAGAAUAAAAGAUAGGCCCUUCGCAGAGGGAAGCAGAGGUUGUCAUGUGCUUUUAUGGUUGGAUGCACGAAAUCUUAAUGCAAAAGAACAUCACUUUAUAUUGCCACUUGUGAUAUGGACCUUUAUUAUGCAGUCCAUCGCUUUUAUUGCUUCCAUAUCACAAGAUCGUAUAAAGCUUAUUUUCUCCACACUAAUAAGUCAUACAUAUUUAGAGAGCAUUUUUUAUUGCAUACAACAAUGACAACUCACUUGAAGGAUCUUAAUCAAUCCAUAGGUAGGUAUGGUGGACUCUCAUGGCAAAACUGGGUUUAAGGAUAUUUGGAAGCACAAGUAGUAUCUCUACUUGGUGCAAAGAAUUUGGCUAGCAUAAGAGGGGAGGACAAGCUCAACAUGUUGGAUGAUCCAUGACAAUAUACUUUAUUUCGGAUAUAAGAAAACAUAACCCAUUACGUUGUCUUCCUUGUCCAACAUCAAAUCUUUAGCAUGUCAUAUUUUAAUGAGUGCUCACAGUCAUAAAAGAGGUCCAAGAUAGUAUAUUUAUAUGUGAAAACCUCUCUUUCUUUAUUACUUCCUAUUAAUUGCAAUGAGGACCAAAACUAUGUUUGCCAACUCUCAACAACUUUAAUUCAUCAUCCUCGUUAUGUGAAGUCAUUACUCUCGAUAAGAUCAACAUGAUCUCUUUUAUUUCUUUUUGUUCUUUCCUUUUCUUUUAUUCCUUCAAGAUCAAAGUAAAAUAAUCAAGCCCUUGACUCAACACUAAUCUUUAUUAUAUAUAGCUCACGGACUCGAUUACAUAGAAGGAUCAUAAAGCAAAACUUCAAAACUAAAUCAUACCAAAACUUUAUUCUACUAGAUCAAGAUAUUACUAAAAGGAAUGAACCAAGAAAAAUGGUAAAGAUAGGAGUGUGAUGAUGAUACGAUACCGGGGCACCUCCCCCAAGCUUGGCAGUUGCCAAGGGGAGUGCCCGUACCCAUGUGAUUAUGUCUCCUUCUUCGGAUGUGGUGAUGAUGGAGUUGUUGAUGAUGUAGGCUUGUCGUCCAUCUUCCGAGGCAUAGGCUCACCAUCAUAGAAGGAUGACCGAGUCUCCGGGAUCCUCAAAUCUGCAGCCAAACUCAUCCUCUUGAAUAUAGAUUCAUACUCAUAGUUUUGGUUUUGCAGGUCAUAGAUCUGGGCUUGGAGGUGCUCGAUUUUCUCAUGAAGCUUGAAGAUGGUCUCCCCAAUGUUCUUGGCAUCUAGCUUGUGGUUGUUGGUGAACUCCGCGAUCAUCAUCUGGUUGGCGUUGAGUCCGUGUUCCACCAUCCCUUGGCACUUGAAAACUUGUUGUUCCAUUGCCUCGAGUCUUGUCUCCACGCUUCUGGUCCUCCUUGGUCCCUCAACAUCAUGGAUGUGCAGCACCCCCUCACGCAUCUCAAUGGUUUAAGGGUGUUGCAGCACCUCCGCAAGGUAGGGGUUGAUGACCUUCUCGAAAAACUUGUCCUUGGGGGCGAUUGAAGACGUCAUGGUGAUCUAGAUCUGUCAGAAAAACUAUUCCUUUUUGAAGUAUGAAACAUUCUGGAAAGUUCCCCUUAUGUAUUCCUCCGGGGUUACGGUUUCAAUAACAUUAGUUUCAACAUUUAUAGGAUUACCUGAGAUAUAAUGUUUAAUUCUUUGACUGUUCACCGCCUUCGGAUUUGUGCCUUCGAAGUUGUUGAUUUUUAUGGCACCGGAAUGAUAGACCUCCUCGAUAACAUAAGGCCCUUCCCAUUUAGAGAGACAUUUUCCUGCAAAAAUUCUUAAAGGAGAGUUGAAUAGCAAUACAUAAUCACAUACAUUAAACUCACGCUUUUGUAUCCUUUUGUCAUGCCAUCUUUUAACUUUUUCUUUAAACAGUUUGGCAUUCUCAUAGGCUUGGGUUCUCCAUUCAUCAAGUGAGCUAAUAUAAAAUAACCUCUUCUCACCGGCAAGUUUGAAAUCAUAAUUGAGCUCUUUAAUGGCCCAAUAUGCCUUAUGUUCUAGUUCGAGAGGUAAGUGAUAUUCUUUUUCAUAAAUCAUUUUAUAUGGAGACAUACCCAUAGGACUUUUAUAUGCAAUUCUGUAAGCCCGUAAUGCAUCAUCAAGUUUCUUGGACCAAUUCUUUCUAGAUUUAUUAACAGUCUUUUGCAAAAUUAGUUUGAGCUCUCUAUUACUCAGUUCUACUUGGCCACUAGACUGUGGGAGAUAUGGAGAUGCAAUUCUAUGAUUAACAUCAUACUUAGCAAGCAUUUUACGAAAAGCACCAUGAAUAAAAUGUGAACCACCAUCAGUCAUUAGGUAUCUAGGGACUCCAAACCUCGGAAAAAUAACUUCUUUGAGCAUCUUAAUAGAGGUGUUAUGAUCAGCACUACUGGUUGGAAUAGCUUCUACCCACUUAGUAACAUAAUCAACAACAACUAAAAUAUGUGUAUACCCAUUAGAGGAAGGAAACGGUCCCAUAUAAUCAAAGCCCCAAACAUCAAAUGGUUCAAUAACAAGAGAAUAAUUCAUAGGCAUUUCUUGACAUCUACUAAUAUUACCAAUUCUUUGACAUUCACCACAAUACAAGACAAACUUACGGGCAUCUUUGAAGAGAGUAGGCCAAUAAAAACCGGAUUGCAUUACCUUAUGUGCAGUUCUAUCUCCAGCGUGGUGUCCUCCAUAAGCCUUGGAGUGACAUUUGCGUAGGAUUUGUUCCUGCUCAUGCUCAGGUACACAACAUCUAAUAACACCAUCUAGUCCUUCUUUAUAAAGGUGUGGGUCAUCCCAGAAGUAAUGUCUUAAAUCAUAGAAAAACUAUUUCUUUUGCUGGUAUGUGAAACUAGGUGGUAUAAAUUUAGCAACAAUGUAAUUUGAUGGUUGUUCCUUAAAUUUGCAUCUUGCAGAUUCCACUAUCAAGAAUGGGAAGAAUUAAUGAUGUUCUUAUUGUUGCAAAUAGGAAUUAUGUGACCGUAGAUUUCAUUGUUCUUGAUAUAGAUUGCAAUCCUACAUGUCCUAUUAUUCUUGGUAGACCUUUCCUUAGAACUAUUGGUGCAAUUAUUGAUAUGAAAGAAGGAAACAUUAGAUUCCAAUUUCUGUUAAGGAAAGGCAUGGAACACUUUCCAAGAAAAAAAUUUAAAUUGCCUUAUGAAUCUAUUAUGAGAGCCACUUAUGGAUCACAUACCAAAUAUGAUAAUACUUAGAUCUAUUCGUGUUUUUAUGCCUAGCUAGGGGCUUUAAACAAUAGCGCUUGUUGGGAGGCAAACCAAUUUUAUUUUUGUUCAUUCUUGUUAGGUCCUGCUUUGCUUUGAAUAAAUCAUCUAGCCUCUAGUUAGAUGUUGUUUUGUGUUUUAAUUAGUGUUUGUGCCAAGUAAGACCUAUAGGAUAACCUACGGUGAUAGUUGAUUUGAUCUUGCUGAAAAAACAGAAACUUUUGUGUCCAGAGUUAGAAUUUUUAAAAAUCACAGAAGCGACGAAUUUGAACUCUCAAUUUUUUACAGUACAUUGAUAUACAAAUUGCCUAGGGCGUACUAUUUUUCAGGAUUUUUGAAGUUACAGAAGUAUUUGAACUAUUUAGAUUUCUACAAACUGUUCUGUUUUUGAGAGAUUCUAUUUUUCGUGUGUUGUUUGCUUAUUUUGAUGCAUCUAUGGCUAGUAUUGGGGGGGGGUAUGAACCAUGGAGAAGUUGGAAUAUAGUAGAUAAUACACCAAUAUAAAUAAAGAAUGAGUUCACAAUACUACCAAAAGUGGUGAUUUAUUUUCUUAUACUAAUGGAGCUUACGAGAUUUUCUGUUGAGUUUUGUGUUGUGAAGUUUUCAAGUUUCGGGUAAGGAUUUUAUGGACUAUGGAUAAGGAGUGACAAGAGCCUAAGCUUGGGGAUGCCCAAGGAACCCCAAGGUAAUAUUCAAGGAUGUCAAAAAGCCUAAGCUUGGGGAUGCCCCGGGAAGGCAUCCCCUCUUUCGUCUUCGUCUAUCGGUAACUUUACUUGAGACUAUAUUUUUAUCCACCACAUGAUAUGUGUUUUUCUUGGAGUGUCUUGUAUGAUUUGAGUCUUUGCUUUUUAGUUUGCCACAAUCAUCCUUGCUAUACACACCUUUAAGGUUUGUGAGUCCCGUAGCAUGCACGUAUGGUGAACCAUUAUGUAACGAAGUUGGAGCAUGAGAUGUUUUUUGAUUGUCUUCCUUAUGAGUGGCGGUCGGGGACGAGCGAUGGUCUUUUCCUACCAAUCUAUCCCCCUAUGAGCAUGUGCGUAGUACUUUGUUUUGAUGACUAAUAGAUUUUUGCAAUAAGUAUGUGAGUUCUUUAUGACUAAUGUUGAGUCCAUGGAUUAUAUGCACUCUCACCUUUUUCGGACAUUGCUAGCCUCUCUUGUACCCCGCAACUUUUGCCGGUACCAUAAACCCACCAUAUAUCCUUCCUCAAAACAGCCACCAUAUCUACCUAUUAUGGCAUUUCCAUAGCCACUCCGACAUAUAUUGCCAUGCAACUUUCCACCGUUCCAUUUAUUAUGACAUACAUCAUCAUUGUCAUAUUGCUUUGCAUGAUCAUGUGGUUGACAUCGUAUUUGUGGCAAAGCCACCGCUCAUAAUUUUUUAUACAUGUCACUUUUGAUUCAUUGCACAUCCCGGUACACCACCGGAGGCAUUCACGUAGAGUCAUAUUUUUGUUCUAGUAUCGAGUUGUAAAUAAGUUGAAUUGUGAUGAUUUUCAUUAUUAGAGCAUUGUCCCAUGUGAGGAUAUAAAAAAAGAGAAAGGCCAAAUAAAAAAGAGAAGGCCCAAAAAUGAGAGAAAAAGAGAGAAGGAACAAUGUUACUAUCCUUUUUGCCACACUUGUGCUUCAAAGUAGCACCAUGAUCUUCAUGAUAGAGAGUCUCCUAUGUUAUUACUUUCAUAUGCUACUGGGAAUUUUUCAUUAUAGAACUUGGAUUGUAUAUUCCAAUGAUGGGCUUCCUCAAACGCCCUAGGUCUUCAUGAGCAAGCAAGUUGGAUGCACACCCACUUAGUUUUCUUUUUGAGCUUUCAUAAACUUAUAGCUCUAGUGCAUCCGGUGCAUGGCAAUCCCUACUCACUUAUAUUGAUAUCUAUUAAUGCGCAUCUCCAUAGCCCGUUGAUACACCUAGUUGAUGUGAGACUAUGUCCCUCUUUUUUAUCUUCUCCACAACCACCAUCUAUUCCACCUAUAGUGCUAUGUCCAUGGCUCACACUCAUGUAUUGCGUGAAAGUCUAAAAGGUUUGAGAACAUCAAAAGUAUGAAAUAAUUGCUUGGCUUGUCAUCGGGGUUGUGCAUGUGUCGGUGUACUAAAGUAGGGGUACCUUAGUAUCCCGAACUUGUGCACGGGCAGUCGCAGCACCCUGCGGCAAGGCUCGCCGGGUGCCCGCCAAGAUCCUCCGUAGUUCAUAUUGGAGCCAUUCAAGAACAAAGUAUUUUAACUAAGAAGACAAGGCCCCGGCAAGAGGAGCUUGCCGGGAAGGACGAGGCCUCGGCAAGAGGAGCUUGCCGGGAAGGCUAACUAAAGCAUGUCAAGGAACAUUGCCGCGCCGCGCCACGCGUCCCGGCAAGACCCGGCGAGCGACAAGCUUCUGGGCGCGACUAGACAACGACCGCGGCAAGGCACUUGCCGCGGCGAAGCCACCACUCUGCGCCCACGCUCCAGCGCAUCCGUCAAUGUGUCGCCUCAGGACCAUUCCAGGCGCACGUGGCGGGGAGCUGUGCAGCCAAGCGCUGCGAGGUGGCGAGUGGAGAUGACGAGAAGGCCAUCGUGGCAAGCAGUGGCGCCCCUAACGGUCUCUUUUCUGCACUGUUUGGGCGACGCGGAUGGGCAUUCAAUGCCUUUGUCCCCUGCCAUCAGAGUUAGGUAGGAUCCACUGUAGAAGCAGUUGUACCAACCACACUUUUUACACUUUUACCGCUGCAUGCGUUGCCACCUGUCGGUGACCCCUUGAGCCUAUAAAAGGAGGCCCAUGCGCAAUGUAGGGGGGGUGUUCGACUCAUUCGAAACUACAACACGCUCUCGAGCAAGAAUGUAAUACAACCACAAAGCAACAGUAGGAGUAUUAUCUCUCCGGAGAGCUCCAAAGCUGGGUAAAAUCGCUCGCGCGCUUCGCCUCGAUCCGCUCUUCGUGCGCUCUUCGCUCCCUUGCCGGACCGAAAGGGGCCCUGCCCCAUAGGUGUUUGUUUCCCACGACAUCUUUGGCGCACCAGGUAGGGGGGCGUCGAGGUUGUGUGAACCCGAUCCGGCGUUCGCGCGGGCCAGAUCUUCAUCAUCUUCAUCGACAUGCCACCGAAGAAGAAGACUUCGGGGGUGGCUGCUCCGUCCACAUCGAUCCCACCGCCACCGGAGCAAACGGGUGGUGGGGUGGACGCCAGCGGAGGAGCGGGCGCCGAAGAAGGAACUCACGCUGUCGCCAGGUCCAAGGACAAGGCCGCGCAGACUUCGGCGUCUGUGCAUGCACCGCACCCGUCUCAGGAGGUGCGGGGCCAACAGCGUCAUGGUACUCGCGGUACCAUACGCUCGUUGGACCAAAAUCGAGCUGGCGGAUCCCGAGAUGCUCAAGACCAGCACGCACGCCAACCUGCUGGCACGAGCAAGACACGGUCGCCCGGACGGGAUCCUGCUCCUUCUAACAUAGUUAGAAGUCCGAGCAUAUCCCGCUCCUCGCACUGUUCGCCACCGCCACCGAAGACUCCAGAAGAAGCGUUGGCUCGAGCCCAACUGCUCCUGGAUUACCCUCCAGCACCGGACAAGAUCGACGGUUGGAGGGCCACCAUUUAGAGCCUCAUCGGUUUCGCCAACGGCGACACUCCCCGGCAACCGAGCACAUCGAAGCCGCGGAAAGACGCCCAGGCGCGAGCCGAUGGCGACAAGACCGGUGGGGGUGCAACCACCGUGCACUCCCCAGCCCGAAGGCCAAAAUCGCCGACUCGCCGGGUCAACCUUGACACUGACUCCACAGCGUCGUCGGACCCACGAGCCCGUCGUGAUCAGCGCCAAGUUCUUCAAGAACGGCAACAAGAGGACGCUCGUACUCGCAUCGAGCGUCGGAGAGAAGCGCGGCGUCAGUCAGACCAGCGCGCUGGGACCACUGUUGACAUGCAUGCGCCAGGGGAACCAGGCGACUUGCCAUACGCGGUAGGUUGCCCUGCAUUCACCCGUGAGCUGCGGCAGGUCCAGUGGCCCAGUACAAAAAACUUCAAGCCAGACGUACCGGAGAAGUACGAUGGCAGGUUGCAUCCGUCGGAGUUCCUCAGUAUCUACACCAUUGCGGUGCAAGCUGCUGGGGGGCGCGACGAGAAGAUCCUUGCCAACUACUUCCCGCUGGUGCUCAAGCCCAACGUUAGAUCCUGGCUCAUGCACUUGCCGGACGACUCCAUUUCUUCGUGGGCGGAUCUGUGCCAUCAGUUUGUCGGCGCCUUCACAGGCGGCCACAAGCCCCAUGGCCAGGAGAGCGAUCUUCAUCUGCUCGCCCAGAAGGAAGGAGAGCCUCUGCGCAAGUUCAUUCAAAGGUUCAGCCAAGUGCAGCGCAACAUCCCAGAUGUCCACCCUGCCGCGGUCAUCAGCGCGUUCCAUCAGAACAUGCGUAACCGCAGGAUGAGGGAGGAAAUGGCGAUGUCCAAGAUUAGAGACGUCAGUGAGCUAUAUGCCCUGGCCGACAAGUGCACAUGUGCUGAGGAGGGGAGGAAACUCCCCGGAGAGAAUGCAGAAGCAGGAGGAUCUGACAGUGAGGAUGCCGCCCCGGCAAAGAAAAACCGGCGACGAAACAACAGAAGAAGGAAAGGCAAAGAUGUGGUAGCUGUCGAGCAGUCCGGCAACGGAGGUGGCGCCAAGGAAGCAGAACCUGUGGCGGCCGCCGACAAGCAGGGCAGCUCCGACAAGCAGUACUGCAAGAUCCACCGUACCAAGGGCCACGAUCCCCAAAGUUGCAAGAAGGUUGAACAGCUUGUCGAGCUGCAGAAAGCUGAGUACGAGUGACGCGACAAGGAGAAGGCCCAGGAGGGUACUGGUGGAUCCGGCAAGAAGCGCCCCGGCCGGGGAGGACGCCGCGGCAAGGCCAAACAGCGGCAAGGAGACAGGCCUCCCCGCGGCCGCGACAAGGAUGAAGAUGAAGACGAAGAUGAGGACAUGGAUGAAGAUGAAGCCGACGAGCAGGAGUUUCAGAAAGCAACAGAUGUUCUUUGCAUUGACGGUGGUGCUUCCCUGCACACUUCGCACCGCCAGCUCAAGCAGUGGGUGCAGGAAGUUAAUGCAGCGGAACCAUCAGUUGAGUCACGCAAGCCUCUGAAGUGGUCCAGCACGCCCAUCAUCUUUGACAUUGAGGAUCACCCUGAUCGCAUAACUGCGGUCAAGUGCUUGCCGAUGUUGGUUUCACCAACUAUCCGCAACCUCAAGGUCACAAAGAUGCUGGUUGAUGGCGGGGCCGGCUUGAAUCUGAUUUCCUCCGCGGUACUCAAGAAGCUCCAGAUCCCCGACAGCGAGCUCGAAGAGUCCGGUACUUUCCAAGGAAUCAAUCCGGGAAGGAGCAAGCCGAAGGGGAAGAUCACGUUGCCGGUAACAUUUGGCAGCGAAUUGAACUUCAGGACUGAGAUGGUCACCUUUGACGUUGCUGAUUUUCCAUUGCCUUAUAAUGGGAUACUCGGCCGUCCAGCACUCGCCAAGUUCAUGGCAGCCUCUCACUAUGCCUACAACGUGCUCAAGAUGCCAGGUCCGAUAAGCGUCAUCUCUGUCCCUGGCGACAAGAAAGAUGCCCUUAUCUGCACCGACCAAAUUUACCGGGAAGCAGCAGCUGCAACAGAUCACAAGACACUUGCCGCUGAAGCUCCCGGGGGGAAGAAGAAGACCAAGUCCGGCAAGAGCUCUGAUGCCCACUCCGGCAAGCGCACCUCUUCGGAGUGUUGCGCUACCGUCGAGGACGCGCCAUCAAGCUCCACGGCAAGUGUAAGAAGGCGAAGGCAGCUCCGCCAGAAACUAAGAAAGUGGCCGCCAAGGAGGACGGCACUGGUGGUACCUUCACCAUCAGUGCCACACUUGACCCUAAAUAGGAAAGCGCGCUCGUUGCUUUCCUGCGGGCGAAUGUCGAUGUAUUUGCAUGGCAACCAUCUGACAUCCCCGGUGUUCCCAGGAAAGUAAUUGAGCACCACCUUGCCGUCUGUCCUCACGCGCGGCCCGUCAAGCAGAAAGUCAGAAAGCAAGCAGUGGAGCGCCAAGAAUUCAUUGCUGAAGAAAUCAAGAAGUUGGAAGCAGCAGGCCUUGUCAGAGGAGUGCUCCAUCCUACGUGGUUGGCCAAUCCUGUAGUCGUGCGUAAGGCAAACGGGAAAUGGAGGCUUUUCAUUGACUUCAUUGAUGUUAAUAAAGCUUGUCCCAAGGAUCCAUUUCCCUUGCCGCGCAUUGACCAGAUUGUCGACUCCACGGCAGUAUGUGAUUUGCUUUCAUUUCUUGAUGCAUAUUCAGGAUAUCAUCAGAUCUUCAUGGCAGAAGAGGAUGAGGAGAAAACCGCAUUCAUUACUCCAUGUGGCACAUACUGCUUUGUACGGAUGCCUUUCGGACUAAAGAAUGCUAGUUCAACAUUCGCAAGGGUAGUUCACGAAGCUUUUGAGCAACAGUUGCACAGAAAUGUAGAAGCUUACAUGGAUGACAUAGUGGUCAAGAGCAAAGACAGAGCAACUCUGAUCCAAGAUUUGGACGAAACCUUUGCAAAUCUGCGCAAGAUCAACCUCAAGCUUAACCCCGAGAAGUGCGUGUUUGGAGUCCCCUCCGGCAAGCUUCUCGGGUUCUUUGUGUCUCAGCGGGGGAUUGAAGCCAACCCCGACAAGAUCAAGGCCAUUGAGCAGAUCGAAGCACCGAAGCGCGUCAAGGAUGUGCGAAGGCUUGCCGGCUGCGUGGCUGCUCUAAGCAGGUUCAUCUCUAAGUCUGCUGAGCGCGCCCUGCCAUUUUUCAAAAUAUUGAAAAAGGCAGGUCCAAUGAAAUGGACUCCAGAAGCGGAGGCUGCGCUGCAGGACUUGAAGAGAUACCUGUCCUCCACUCCAAUACUUGUCGCACCUAAGCCUCAAGAGAAGUUGCUGCUAUAUCUAGCAGCAACCAAUCAAGUGGUUAGUGCUGCGUUAGUAGCGGAGAGAGAGGCAGAUGAUGAGCCAGCGGCCGCGGCAAGCGCAUCCAGCGACAAGCAGGGGGCUUCCCCGACAAGCUCUGGUCCCGACAAGAAUGGAUCUGCGCAGGAGGAGGUGCAGAAGAAAAUGGUGCAGCGCCCAGUCUACUUUGUCAGUUCCCUUCUACAGGGAGCUAGGUCAAGGUACUCUGGUGUGCAGAAAUUGCUUUUCGGCCUUCUCAUGGCCUCGAGAAAGUUGCGCCAUUACUUCCAAGCACAUGAGAUCACAGUUGUCACUCGCUUUCCGCUGAAGAGGAUAUUGCGGAAUCCAGAAGCGAUAGGCAGGAUUGUCGAGUGGGCAUUGGAGCUGUCGAGCUUUGGCCUCAAGUUUGAGAGUACCUCAACUAUCCAGAGCCGAGCAUUGGCAGAAUUCGUAGCAGAAUGGACGCCAACGCCUGAUGAAGAAAUUCCAGAAAAGAGCAUCCCCGUCAAGGAAGCAAGCAAAGAAUGGAUCAUGUACUUUAAUGGUGCCUUCUCGCUGCAAGGCGCCGGUGCGGGCGUGUUACUUGUCGCACCCACCAGAGAGCACCUCAAGUACGUAGUCCAGAUGCACUUUCCCAAGGAGCAAGCAACAAACAAUACUGCAGAGUAUGAAGGUUUGCUUGCCGGACUCAGGAUUGCAUCAGACCUUGGGAUCAAGAAGCUUAUUGUUAGGGGUGACUCGCAGCUUGUCGUCCGCCAAGUUAACAAAGAUUACCAGAGUCCAUUGAUGGAAGCCUACAUUGAUGAAGUGAGGAAGUUGGAAGAGCACUUUGACGGCUUGCAGAUGGAACAUGUUCCGAGAGCUCAGAACGACAUUGCAGAUGGCCUGUCAAAGUGCGCCGCGCUCAAGUUACCUGUGGAACCAGGGAUCUUUGUGCUCAAGCUGACUCAACCAUCUGUAACACCAUCAACUGGACUGAGCAAGAAGAGGAAGUUGGUUUCCGGUGACUACUUUCCGGCAGAGCUCCCCGAAGCCGCCGCCAAGAAAGUCCCCAAAGUCAACACAAAGAGUGCUGAGGGGCAGUCUGCUCCGACAAGCCCUAGGGUUUGCUCCGUUGAAGCAGACGCUCCCGACAAGUUUUGCCCCGGCAAGCUUGCCGGGGAACAUCAAGCUCCGGCAGAACCUCAGGUUCUUGCUGUAGAAGCGGAUGUUCCCACAGCAGCAUAUGCACCUUUAGUUCUUGUUGUCGAGCCGCAAGCUCCAGCAUGGGCAUAGCAGAUCGUCCAUUUCCUUCAGAUAGGAGAACUUCCCGAAGAGCAAGAAGAAGCGGAGAGAGUAGCCCGGCAAUCGAGUAUGUACCAGUUUGUCGAUGACAUUCUGUACAGAAGAAGAUUCAACGGAGUGAAAUUGAAGUGCAUUCCCCGGGAAGAUGGACAGAAGCUGUUGGUAGAGAUACAUGGAGGCAUAUGUGGUCACCACAUUGGCGCAAGAGCACUUGCCGGCAAAGCAUUCCGGCAAGGUUUCUUUUGGCCAACAGCCCUCCAGGAUGCAACUGCACAAGUAACCAAGUGUGGAGCGUGCCAGUUCCAUUCCAAACAGAUACACCAGCCAGCUCAAGCUCUCCAGACGAUCCCUUUAUCCUGGCCAUUUUCGGUCUGGGGGCUCGACAUCCUCGGCCCCUUUCCCCGAGCUAUCGGGGGCUUUGAGUACUUGUACGUAGCAAUCGACAAGUUCACAAAGUGGCCGGAAGUGGAAGCAGUGAGAAAGGUGACAGCACAGUCAGCAGUCAAGUUCUUCAGGUCGAUUGUUUGCCGUUUUGGAGUCCCUAACAGGAUCAUCACCGACGACAACACGCAAUUCACGAGCCGCACCUUCAUGCCGUAUGUCCAAGAUCUUGGCACCAAGGUCUGCUUCGCUUCUGUUGCUCACCCGAAAAGCAACGGUCAAGCGGAGAGGGCAAACGCUGAAGUGCUAUGCGGGCUCAAGACCAGAAAUUUCGACAGGCUGCACAAGUGCAGAAAGAACUGGAUUGAAGAGCUGCCGGUGGUUCUUUGGUCGAUCAGGACGACGCCAAAUCGAGCCACUGGCCAGACACCUUUCGCUCUAGUCUAUGGAGCAGAGGCAGUUCUCCCCACGGAACUCGUAUACGGAUCGCCUCGAGUGCUCGCUUAUGAUGAUCUUGAGCAAGAGCAGCUGCGGCAAGAUGACGCGCUGCUCCUUGAGGAAGAUCGUCUUCAGGCUGCUGUACGAGCUGCUCGAUACCAGCAAGCUUUGCGUCGCUAACAUAGCCGCAAAGUUAAUGCCAGAAGUCUCGAGGAAGGCGACCUUGUUCUUCGGCGCGUUCAAUCCGCCAAAAAUUCCAACAAGUUGACGCCGAAGUGGGAAGGCCCUUAUCGGGUGAAGCGAGUCACUAGGCCUGGCGCUGUCCGCCUUGAGACCGAAGAUGGCUUUCCGGUGAGCAACUCCUGGAAGAUAGAGCAUCUUCGUAAGUUUUACCCGUAAGGCGCGGUUGUCGGAACCUGUUCCGGCAACCACCUUUUGUACAAGCCUUGCCGCUGUUGCAUGUAACACUUUGUACAAAGCCGGGCGCAGAUCCCGUGCAUGAAUAAAGAUCAUAUGCUCCGCACAUCAUGUCAAAUUUCAUGCUUUUUCUUUUUUGCAUGCAUUAUCUGACAAUUUGUGCAGCACUUGUCCCCGGUAAGCAAUAACGAGCCUUAAGGCUCCAUAUCUUUAUUUUUUUUCUUUCUUUUUUCUCAANNNNNNNNNNNNNNNNNNNNNNNNNNNNNNNNNNNNNNNNNNNNNNNNNNNNNNNNNNNNNNNNNNNNNNNNNNNNNNNNNNNNNNNNNNNNNNNNNNNNNNNNNNNNNNNNNNNNNNNNNNNNNNNNNNNNNNNNNNNNNNNNNNNNNNNNNNNNNNNNNNNNNNNNNNNNNNNNNNNNNNNNNNNNNNNNNNNNNNNNNNNNNNNNNNNNNNNNNNNNNNNNNNNNNNNNNNNNNNNNNNNNNNNNNNNNNNNNNNNNNNNNNNNNNNNNNNNNNNNNNNNNNNNNNNNNNNNNNNNNNNNNNNNNNNNNNNNNNNNNNNNNNNNNNNNNNNNGACCAGGCGUCGUUCAAGAAAAGUAUCACCUUGCCGGGACGCGAACGACAGAAAAGCUAAGUUGCCAAAGUUUGAGCAUAAUCAGUUUUAAUUUUUUUUUAAGUUAUCUUCCUUGAAGGACCGCACUUUGUAUGGAAAACCUGCGCGCGGAGGAACCAACUCGUAGCUAGUUGCGCCCUUACUUUGUUUCGAGUCCGCUUAACAACUUAAGUGUGCUGCGACUAGUUGCGACAAGGUUUCUUGCCGGGGGCAACACCGCCAGCAGGCUGCUGAUGUUCCGCACUCAGCGCUCGCGGCAAGGGUGCCUGCGCCGGCAAGUUCCCUAAAAGCGUAGGGCGAAAACAUACAAAGGAAGGAAUCAAGUAAAGGGAAUAACAUAGCAAAUACUACCCAAAAUAAAGUUAUAUUACAGAGAUAGCUUGCCGCACUCUAACAGAUUGUUCCCGCAAUGUGUCUAGCAGUGGCAAAAGAAGGAGAAGAUGGGCGGCCUAAUCCAUGCGUUCGCCGUCGAUCCUCCUAACUUCAUUCACCUUGUCCACAAUGGGUGCGACAAGGGCCUUGAGCUCUUCAAGAUCAGCACCCGCCGGCAGCUUCUUAAGGACGUUGGUGAGUUUGAGGCCCGGGUUGCGGAAGAGCACCUUCACCAACACCUUCUCCAGAACUCUGGCGCAGAUUGCGCACGACUCGUCGGCCAGCUGCUUUGGGAUCCUUUCCCGGAGUUGCUGGAGAGCCGUCGCCACGCCCUUGAAGAACAGAGUGAGCUUGGCGCUAGGCUGGAGGUUCUCAUCAGAAGAGUACCCGAAGCCCUCCAAUUCCAGCUGCGCCAGCUCCUCGUCAAUGACUGCGGCGAUGUUGACGAGGCCCUCCGUCCAGAGCUCCACAGUAGCCCUGAAGGUGUUCUGGGUUUCGGCGGCCCUUGUCAGCAGCUCCUCGUUGGCCUUGAUCUCUCCCUUCAAGUCCUCCUCCCGCUUCUUGGCGCCGUCCAGCGUCUCCGUCAGCGUGGCCAGCUUCAGCUCCAGAUCAGCUUUCGAAUCCUUGGCGGCGCUCAGCUCUUUGCCCCUCUCGAGGAGACGACCCUGUAGCUCACCAUGAGCAAGGGCGUCCUUCUCGCGCUCGCGCUGGAGCGCGGCAAGAUCUUCAUUCUUAUCCUUGAGAGUGGCUUCUAGCUGCGUCACCCUCACUUCUAGCUCCUUCUUGGCGGCCUCAGCAGCUGCAGCAGCAUCUUUCGCCUCUUUGAUGGCCCCGCCAAGUGUCCCCUCGCGCGCAGCGAGCUCCUCUUCAUAGCUGUCCAGUUUAACCUUCCUCUGCGUCAAUUCGCCUUCCCGCGCGGAUUGCUCCUCGGCGGCAAGCCGCUGUUGCUCUUCGGCUUCUGCUUUCUCGAGGAGGAAGGCCUCCCGCGCCUCGACAAGCUGCGCCCUCUCCUCUGCAAUGGACCGGAGGGCCUCUUGGUUGCGGCUCUGGAGCUCCUCCGCAUGCUUCUCUACGUCCACUCCCGCCUGCGCGACAAGCGCUUCCCGGGACUCCAGUUUGGCUUGUCGGGCGCGGUAGAGCGACAACAGCCUCCGCAGCAGUUGUUCCUCCUCAGGCUCACCGCUGCUGCUGCUUGGCGCGUCAACCACUGUCAGCCCAGCGGAGGCGAGCACUUCUCCGUCAAAAGUUUCUCCCUCGACCGGCGCCCUGGAGCUUGACGCCCAGGGAAGCUUGAUGAAGACACCGUCGCCGGCCUUCAAGUAGACGCCGGGCUGGGGCUCUUCGAAGCCUGGCGCUGCGUCAGCGGCGGAGGAAUCGGCGGUCGGCGUAGCGCCUUGCGCUCCUGCGGUCCCCGGGUCGUUAGUGCGAUCGCCAGACCCCUCGCCAGCUCCUGCGCCGGCAGACUUGGCGGCCUCCUCGUCGGCGGGAUCAUCGGCGCCGGCCUCCUCCUCGGUGGAGGCGGCAUCAUCAGUGUUGCCACGCACGUUCUCUUCGCCGGUGGUUUCAGUCUCCAUCGGCUCCGGGGAAGGAGGAUCUGAAAACAGGAAGAGAGAGAAAGAGUCAAGCAAAUAUCCAAAAAAAGAAGAUCAGAAGAAGAAGAACACAAGGGAAGUUUUUUGACAAGAAGGAUUACCUGUGCUGGGCUCUGUGACCAUGGGCUCCACCACCGGGGGAUCACUGGUCCCGUCCCUUGUUGGAGAACUGCCCCUUGCCGGGGAUCUCUCCCUUGCCGGAGAGCGCUCCCUUGUCGGAGAAUCAUCCCUCGGCGGCGUAGUCGAAGCAGAUAGCACCUCAGGGGCAGCUUCCGGUUGUUCCUGGUGAACUUGUUCUGCUCCUACACAAGCGAACCAACAAUCAAGAUAUCAGCAAGGAAAGAGCACCCACGCGCGCCCCACAACAGGAAGUGAACAAAUGCUUACGCUGGGGGCUGUGCCGGGGGCUGCUUCGAGGAGUAGUUGCCGGGUCCGACAAGGUGGUCUCGGACAUAUCCUCUGUCGUCACAGCAGGAUCGUCCGUGAUGACAACCACGGGGACCUUGGCCCUCUUCACCGCUCUCUGGGCCAGAGUCCUAGGAGGGAACAAGGUUCAGAAGGAAGCAGAUCAGAUACAAGACAAGAAUCAACAAGAAUUGAAGAAAAAUAAGUACAACAGAGAAACUUACUCCUCUUCUUCCUCCUCGUCGGAGCUGAGCGCGGAGAGGUUGAAGUCCGGUACCCUUUCGGCGCGACGAGGCGGGGGAGUAGGCUCCCUUGGCCGCUUGGCGGGAGCUGCGGCAGGGUCAGAAGCGGCGGCACGAGAGGACCCCGCUCCGGUUGCCGGCGCGGCGUGGGGCGCUCCCGCGGCAACGGUGCUUGCCGCGGUGGAGCGUGUUCCGCAGCGCUGCGGCUGUUGACCCGCUUGCCGCCCUGCUAUGUCUCCGGUCCUGUGGAGGCGCCUUCUUGGAGCUGGGGGCUACGCUUGCGGCAGGUUGCUUGAAGACGGCUGGCCGCUUGCGCCCUCGGCGGGCUUGCUCGCAUCGGCUUCGGGCUCUCCCUCGCCGACGACCUCCCCGACAAGCUCCUCUUGGUCGGCAAGGCUUGCCGCCUUGGCCGCCUCUGCCUCCUCCAAAGUAAAACCAAACUCGCCCGCAGCGGCAGCCGCCGCCGCCUCCUCCGCCCUGGUGGUGAUGCGCUGCAUCUCGUCAUCACUGGUGUCGCGGGUGAGGAGCCUCUGCUCGUCGACACGGACCGCCACCUCCACCAAGUCGUCGAAGAAUUGCUGCACGACGUCGUCGGCGGGCUCCUGCCAAGUUGGGAUAAUCCCAUGCGAGUUGCACUCCAGCAUCAUUGCGCGGAUGUGAUCGAGCGCGGAGUUGUUGCACAAUGGGACAACGCCCGGUGGCAGCCUGAACCACUCGGGAUGGUUGGGGUCGUGCUUGAACAGCUCCUUCAGCGUUCCAUCCAGCUCCAUGACAGUAAAAUUAAAAUUGAGGCCUGGGCGCAUCCUCAUGAUAUCCGCCAGGCCCCCGAACAGCCAGGCGGGUCUCCCCCUCUCUUGGAGAGGGGCGAUGCGACGGCGAAGAAAGUCCGCGCCAACAGCCCCGACCGUGAGUCCGGCAAGCCUGAGCCGCAAGAUCCGGGUGGUGGCGAUCUUCAAUCUAGCAUCGUCCGCCGCCAGGGCGCUCCAGUCGCCGCCGCGCACUACUCGGGUUUGGCGCAAGUUGGUGAAUGGCUGCGGGUUCUCAUCAACAAUCCAACACCACUCCGCUCUCCACUCCUCCCAUUUGCUACGGAGCUCCCCCUCCAGAUAAACCUCCUUCAUACCGGCUCUCGAGAUCCAGGCGAUCUCGCCAGACAUGGGCUCUCCUUUCUCGACCCGGGGCAUGAAGUAGUGGCGGAGAAGGGCUACAUUUGGGUGGAUCCCGACGAAGUUCUCGCAAAGGUGUGCAAAAACCGCCAUGGUCAGAAUGGCGUUGGGGGUGAAAUCAAGGAGAUGGAGCCCGUAUGUGUUCAUGAUGUCGCAAAAGAAAUCGGAAAAGGGCGGGCAGAGCCCGCAAUAGAAGAACAGUGGGCAGAAAUAGUAUCCUUUCAGACACUUUUUUGAAGUGGAAGCUUCGGCGGAGAGUACCUGCGUGCGCGGAUGCGCCCGCGUCUCCGUCGACCAGAAGAGGUAGAACCAUUCCCUCAGCUCCUUUGCAGAGAGAUCAGGGGGGAAGAGCGCCCGCUCCUUCCGCAGCGCCUCAAGCCGCAGCGCCUCGGCCGACUUCGCACCCUUCCCGGUCGUCGGAGCCAUGGCGGAGGCGGUGGGGAGAGCGAGGGCGUUGGCGGCGACGGCGGCGACAGGGGGCGGAGCGCUGCUCUCUUUCGGCUUUGGGAAGCGGAGGGGAGCGGCGGAGAUUUCUGAGGAAGCAACCGCAAGUGGCGAAGGUGGGGGAACGACCUCUGUUUCCCCUGCUUAUAAAGAGGAGGAGGCGAACGUUACGCUUUUUCCGAAUAAAGAAUCACCCACGAUCUCUCCCACGACGCCGCGUUCGACGCGUGCUGUUACGGGAGGGCGCAGUGGAUACGGAGUUAGAUACAGUGUGGACCCAGGCCGCGCGUGCCCGUGCCCUGUUUUGGGCCUGGCCCAACAGCGCUCGGCACCGUGUAUGGCCCAGGCCCGGGGGCUCCUGUCGGUGUACUAAAGUAGGGGUACCUUAGUAUGCCGAACUUGUGCACGAGCAGUCGCAACACCCCGCGGCAAGGCUCGCCGGGUGCCCGCCAAGAUCCUCCGUAGUUCAUAUUGGAGCCAUUCAAGAACAAAGUAUUUUAACUGAGAAGACAAGGCCCCGGCAAGAGGAGCUUGCCGGGAAGGACGAGGCCCCGGCAAGAGGAGCUUGCCGGGAAGGCUAACUAAAGCAUGUCAAGGAACAUUGCCGUGACGCGUCGCGCGUCCCGGCAAGACUCGGCGAGCGACAAGCUUCUGGGCGCGACUAGACAACGACCGCGGCAAGGCACUUGCCGCGGCGAAGCCACCACUCUGCACCCACGCUCCAGCGCAUCCGUCAAUGUGUCGCCUCAGGACCAUUCUAGGCGCGCGUGGCGGGGAGCUGUGCAGCCAAGCGGUGCGAGGUGGCGAGUGGAGAUGACGAGAAGGCCAUUGUGGCAAGCAGUGGCGCCCCUAACGGUCACUUUUCUGCACUGUUUGAGCGACGCGGACGAGCAUUCAAUGCCUUUGUCCCCUGUCAUCAGAGUUAGGUAGGAUCCACUGUAGAAGCAGUUGUACCAACCACACUUUUUACACUUUUACCCCUGCAUGCGUUGCCACCUGUCGGUGACCCCUUGAGCCUAUAAAAGGAGGCCCAUGCGCAAUGUAGGGGGGUUCGACUCAUUCGAAACUACAACACUCUCAUGCUCUCGAGCAAGAACGUAAUACAACCACAAAGCAGCAGUAGGAGUAUUAUCUCUCCGGAGAGCUCCGAAGCUGGGUAAAAUCGCUCGCGCGCUUCGCCUUGAUCCGCUCUUCGUGCGCUCUCCGCUCCCUUGCCGGACCGAAAGGGGCCCUGCCCCAUAGGUGUUCGUUUCCACGACAGCAUGAUUUGAAUAUUUUGUGUGAUGAAGAUGGAGCAUAGCCAGACUAUAUGAUUUUGUAGGGAUAAGAUUUCUUUGGCCAUGUUAUUUUGAGAAGACAAAAUUAUUUUGUUAGUAUGCUUGAAGUAUUAUUGUUUUUAUGUCAAUAUAAACUUUUGUUUUGAAUCUUACGGAUCUGAACAUUCUUGCCACAAUAAAGAGAAUUACAUGGAUAAAUAUGUUAGGUAGCAUUCCACAUAAAAAUUCUAUUUUUAUCAUUUACCUACUCGAGGACGAGCAAAAAUUAAGCUUGGGGAUGCUUGAUACGUCUCCAACGUAUCUAUAAUUUUUUAUUGUUCCAUGCUAUCAUAUUAUCUGUUUCGGAUGUUUAUAUGCAUUACUAUGCUAUUUUAUAUGAUUUUUGGGACAAACCUAUUAACCUAGAGCCCAGUGCCUGUUUCUGUUUUUCCUUGUUUUACAGUUUCACAGAAAAGGAAUACCAAACGGAGUCCAAAUGGAAUAAAACUUUCGCGAUGAUAUUUGUUGGACCAGAAGACACCCAGGAGACUUGGGAUGCAAGUCAGCAGAUCCGCGAGGCGGCCACAAGGGUGGCGGGCGCGCCCCCCGACCUUGUGGGCCCCUUGUAGCUCCCCUGACCUAAUUCUUCCUCCUAUAUAUACUCUUAUACCCCCAAAACAUCCAGGGGCGCCAUGAAACAACUUUUCCACUGCAGCAACCUUCUGUACCCAUGAGAUCCCAUCUUGGGGCCUUUUCCAGCAUCCUGCCAGAGGGGGAUUUGAUCAUGGAGGGCUUCUACAUCAACAUCAUUGCCUCUCCGAUGAAGCGUGAGUAGUUUACCUCAGACCUACAAGUCCAUAACUAGUAGCUAGAUGGCUUCUUCUCUCUCUUUGAUUCUAAAUACAAAGUUCUCCUCGAUGUUCUUAGAGAUCUAUUCGAUAUAAUACUCUUUUGCGGUGUGUUUGCCGAGAUCCGAUGAAUUGUGGAUUUAUGAUCAGCUUAUCUAUGAAUAUUAUUUGAAUCUCCUCUGAAUUCUUAUAUGCAUGAUUUGAUAUCUUUGCAAGUCUCUUCGAACUAUCGAUUUGGUUUGGCCAACUAGAGGGACUAUCCAAAGUACUAAAACUCUGGAAAGAACACUUAGUUCUUGUUGAUUCGGCCAUGGCAAAGAGAAGGCAAACGGUAAAGAGAGGGCAAAUAAAACGGCAAGGGUAAAGUGGGGGAGAGGAAAACGAGAGGCAAAUGGCAAAUAAUGUAAUGCGAGGGAGAUGAGUUUGUGAUGGGUACUUGGUAUGUCUUGACUUGAGCGAAGACCUCCCCGACAACGGUGCCAGAAAUCAUUCUUGCUACCUCUUGAGCACUGCGUUGGUUUUCCCUUGAAGAGGAAAGGGUGAUGCAGCAAAGUAGCUUAAGUAUUUCCCUCAGCUUUUGAGAACCAAGGUAUCAAUCUAGUAGGACGCUCCACGCAAGUGCCUCAUACCUACACAAAUAAACAAGAACCCCGCAACCAACGCGAUAAAGGGGUUGUCAAUGCCUUCACGACCACUUGCGAAACUGAGAUCUGAUAGAGAUAAUAAGAUAAGAUAAAUAUUUUUGGUAUUUUUAUGAUAUAGAUUGGAAAGUAAAGAUUGCAAAAUAAAGCAGAUCGGAAACUUAUAUGAUGGAGAAUAGACCCGGGGGCCAUAGGUUUCACUAGUGGCUUCUCUCACGAUAGCAUAAGUAUUACGGUGGGUGAACAAAUUACCGUCGAGCAAUUGAUAGAAAAGUGCAUAGUUAUGAGAAUAUCUAGGCAUGAUCAUGUAUAUAGGCAUCACGUCCGCGACAAGUAGAUCGAAAUGAUUCUGCAUCUACUACUAUUACUCCACACAUCGAUCGCUAUCCAGCAUGCAUCUAGAGUAUUAAGUUCAUAAAAACAGAGUAACGCAUUAGGCAAGGUGACAUGAUGUAGAGGGAUAAACUCAAGAAAUAUGAUAUAAACCCCAUCUUUUUAUCCUCGAUGGCAACAAUACAAUAUGUGCCUUGCUGCCCCUGCUGUCACUGGGAAAGGAGACCGCAAGAUUGAACCCAAAACUAAGCACUUCUCCCAUUUUAAGAAAGAUCAAUCUAGUAGGCCAAACCAAACUGGUGAUUCGAAGAGACUUGCAAACAUAACCAAUCAUACAUAAAAGAAUUCAGAGGAGAUUCAAAUAUUUUUCAUAGAUAAACUUGAUCAUAAACCCACAAUUCCUCGGAUCUCGACAAACACACCGCAAAAAGAGUUACAUCGAAUAGAUCUCCAAGAAGAUCAAGGAGAACUUUGUAUUGAAAUUCAAACAGAGAGAAGAAGCCAUCUAGCUAAUAACUAUGGACCCGAAGGUCUAUGGUAAACUACUCACAACUCAUCGGAGAGGCCUUAGCGAUGAUGUAGAAGCCCUCCGUGAUCGAUUCCCCCUCCGGUGGAGCACCGGAAAAGGCUCCAAGAUGGGAUCCCGUGGAUAGAGAAGGUUGCGGCGGUGGAAAUAGGGUUUCAUGGUGCUCCUGGAUGUUUUCGGGGUACGUAGAUAUAUAUUUACGUGAAGGAAGUCCGUUAGGGGAGCCACAAGGGGCCCACGAGGGUGGGGGGCGCGCCCACCCCCCUAGGGCGCGCCUUGCACCCUCGUGGCCGCCUCGGCUGCUUCUUGACGUCCACUCCAAGUCUCCUCGAUUGUGUUUGUUCCAAAAAGAUCGCUCCCAAAGGUUUCAUUCCGUUUGGACUCCGUUUGAUAUUCCUUUUCUUCGAAACACUGAAAUAGGCAAAAAACAACAAUUUGGGCUGGGUCUCUAGUUAGUAGGUUAGUCCCAAAAAUGAUAUAAAAGUGUAAAGUAAAGCCCAUAAACAUCCAAAACGGGUAAUAUAAUAGCAUAGAGCAAUCAAAAAUUAUAGAUACGUUGGAGACAUAUCAAGCAUCCCCAAGCUUAAUUCCUGCUCGUCCUCGAGUAGGUAAAUGAUAAAAACAGAAUUUUUGCUGUGGAAUGCUACCUAGCAUAUUUCUCAAUGUAAUUUUCGUUAUUGUGGCAUGAAUGUUCAGAUCCAAAUAAUUCAAGAUAAAAGUUCAUAUUAACAUAAAAAUAGUAAUACUUCAAGCAUACUAACUAGUAAUCACGUCUUAUCAAAAUAGCAUAGCCAAAGAAAGCUUAUCCCUACAAAAUCAUAUAGUUAGGCUAUGCUUCAUUUUCAUCACACAAAAUACUCCCAUCAUGCACAGCCCCGGUUUCAGCCAAGCAAUUGGUUCAAACUUUUUAACGCGCUUUAGUUUUUUCAACUCUCACGCAAUACAUGAGCGCAAGCCAUGGAUAUAGCACUAUAUGUGGAAUAGGAUGGUGGUUGUGAAGAAGACAAAAAGGGAGAAGAUAGUCUCACAUCAACUAGGCAUAUCAACGGCCUAUGGAGAUGCCCAUUAAUAGAUAUCAAUGUGAGUGAGUAAGGAUUGCCAUGCAACGGAUGCACCAGAGCUAUAAAUGUAUGAAAGCUCAACAAAAGAAAUAAAGUGGGUGUGCAUCCAACUUGCUUGCUCACGAAGACCUAGGGCAUUUUGAGGAAGCCCAUCAUUGGAAUAUACAAGCCAAGUUCUAUAAUGAAAAAUUCCCACUAGUAUAUGAAAGUGACAACAUAGGAGACUCUCUAUCAUGAAGAUCAUGGUGCUACUUUGAAGCACAAGUGUGGAAAAAGGAUAGUAACAUUGUCCCUUCUCUCUUUUCUCUCUUUUUUGGUGGGCUUCUUUGGCCUCUUUUUAUUUUAUUUUAUUUGGGCUUCUUUGGCCUCUUUUAUUUUUAUAAAGUCCGGAGUCUCAUCCUGACUUGUGGGGGGAAUCAUAGUAUCCAUCAUCCUUUCCUCACUUGGGACAAUGCUCUAAUAAUGAAGAUCAUCACACUUUUAUUGAUUUACAACUCAAGAAUUAAAACUCAACACUUAGAACAAAAUAUGACUUUAUGUGAAUGCCUCCGGCGGUGUACCGGGAUAUGCAAUGAAUCAAGAGUGACAUGUAUGAAAGAAUUAUGAAGGUGGCCUUGCCACAAAUACGAUGUCAACUACAUGAUCAUGCAAAAGCAAUAUGACAAUGAUGGAGCGUGUCAUAAUAAACGGAACGGUGGAAAGUUGCAUAGAAAUAUAUCUCGGAAUGGCUAUGGAAAUGCCAUAAUAGGUAGGUAUGGGGGCUGUUUUGAGGAAGGUAAAUGGUGUGUAGCGACCAGAACUCAAACAGUCUGAUCUCUGUGCAUCAGUGUCAUCCUUGGAUCGGUAAUGCUGACACAGACAGUACUUGAAGGAUUUAUAACAGAGUAGCAAUCACACACUUAUUACAUCGAAUGUCUCAAAAGAGAACUUAUUACAAUAAAUAUGGCUUAAGGCCAUCUAAUUACGAUAACAACGGAAGGCUUGGAAGAUAAAGCGAGUCCAUCAACUCCAACGGCAUCACUGAGUGAAAGAUCAUGACCUAAGGCACCUUACUCGUUGUCUGAAAAGUCUGCAACAUGAACAUUGCAGCCCAAAACGGGUCAGCACAUGGAAUAUGCUGGCAAUGUAACACAUAGAGAGUAAUGGACAGAAUAAUGCUAUCACUACAUGCAUAUAUGGCUGGUGGUAAGCUCUAUGGUUACAGUUUUGCAUAAAGCCAAUUUUCCCCUACAACAAAGGAAUACAUUUAUUUAACUAUCAUGGUGGUUGUUAAACAUUGAGAAGGUUCCUCCAACUCAAUCCCAAUUAAGCAUCAUCAUUAACCCAAUCAAAUUAGUUUAAGUAACAUGACGAGAUUCACAUGAUAAUCCAAGAAACAAGAUACUCAAAACAUCCAUAACCGGCGACACGGCUAACUAUAAUUAGUUUGUACACUCUCCAGAGGUUUGCGCACUUUUCCCCGAAAGACUCGAUCUCCUCCGUUGGAUUUCUUGCACUACAAGGUGUUUGAGAAACGAAUGAUCAAGACACAGUCUUUCAAAAGCAUUAACUCUUUACUCUGGGUAGACAAUACCAACCUACAUCCCCUACAUCUGCUAGCCUUCCACUGAAAGAGGUCAUGCAACAUACUCAACUAUGCUAGAGCCCAUAGUAGCUUGUGGCUGCACAUGGAAGUUUCUAGCAUGAAUAAUAUUAUGAUCCCUUUGAGCCUGGGUGGCAGUCCAUAGGAGAAUCACACGGUACCCCGGGAUUUCCAAAAGUACAGGCAACAUUGGGUUCCCCAGGUGCCUCAAUCCACCCAGAUGUGAAUUAAAGUUGCCACCUUAAGUUAACCAUUAAUUAACAAUCUCACAUCUGUCAUGGAUACACUCACCCAAUCCACGUCUACAAGCAUAGCACAACAAUAUAAGCAAACGUAGAAGUAACUCCCAAAGGUUUGAUAAUAAACAGGACAAUAGGUACUAGCUCAUCUACUUCCCCAAACCCACAUGUUAAUCAGAUCCUAAUCAUGCAAUUGUUUGAGGAUUGAUCUAAUGCAAUAAAGCUGGGUAGUAAAGAGGUAUGAUCAAAGUGUUACUUGCCUUGCUGAUGAUCCGUGAAACCUAGAGACUCGUAGUAGCAAGCUGCGCACUCCGGGUACUCUAUCGCAAACAAACAAGCAUAAAAUAAGCACUCAUCUAGAAGCACGGGUAAAACUCAAAUAAGAGAUCUAACCAAAAAGUUCAGCUUAAGGACUUCGGUUUGCAAAAAGAAUCAACUCAAAUGAAGCAACGAAACUCAAACGGCGAAAGAAACAAGCUUCAUUUACUAAUCUGGACCUAAGUCAAAUUUUACAGUAGCAAAAACUUGUUUGAGUUGGUUAAACAGAAUGAGGGUUUCGAGACAAAACUCUAGGUGCUUGAAUUGCCUGAUUCUGAUAAAUGAGCGAAUAGAUAAACUAAAACGAAAAUCAGGGCAGAAAUCGCGAUCGAAAAUAAUCGCGGAAAAUCCCUAGAAAAAGAAAAACUGACGAACAGGCUAACGAACGAACGUUCGUUGUCUGCGGCUAAACGGUGAAAACCAUUCGUUAAGACUAAUGAACGAACGAGCAUUCGCUAAUUAACUAAACCGGAAAAAAAUAAAACCAAUCUAUAAAAAAAUAAACCGGGGUUCCUAAAAANNNNNNNNNNNNNNNNNNNNNNNNNNNNNNNNNNNNNNNNNNNNNNNNNNNNNNNNNNNNNNNNNNNNNNNNNNNNNNNNNNNNNNNNNNNNNNNNNNNNNNNNNNNNNNNNNNNNNNNNNNNNNNNNNNNNNNNNNNNNNNNNNNNNNNNNNNNNNNNNNNNNNNNNNNNNNNNNNNNNNNNNNNNNNNNNNNNNNNNNNNNNNNNNNNNNNNNNNNNNNNNNNNNNNNNNNNNNNNNNNNNNNNNNNNNNNNNNNNNNNNNNNNCGGCGCGGCGGCAGCUAGGGUUUGUGGCGGCUCGGGCUGGUGAGUUGGGGCGGCUCGGGGUGCUAUAUAAAGAGGUCGGCCGGGUGGAGUCCUGGCCGGUUACGGCCCGAAGUCGGUUUGACUUUUUUCUAAUAAUUCCGCGUAGAAAAACAAAUAAAAGAAAUACUAAACAGACUCCAAAAAUCUUGAAAUAAAUUUUCUCUGUCCUCUAAAAAUAUAGCGGACAAAGUGAACAUUUAUUUAGGCCCUAAAUGCAAUUUUGAAAAACGCACAUUUUUCCUAAUUCAAAUAAAAUGGCGAUAAAACUCCAAAAUAAAAUCUUAUUUUAUUUUAAUAUUAAAUCUCCAAUAUUUCUUUAUUUUGGUAAAGUCAUUUUAUUCCCUCUUUUUUAUUUUUAUAAAAGAAAUAUACGAAUAGAAAAUAAUUAAAAUCAAACGAUCUCUUUUCAAAAUUUGAGAAAACUGAAAUAUGAAAAUAACGAAAUCCCCAACUCUCCCGUGGGUCCUUGAGUUGCGUAGAAUUUCUAGGAUCAAACCAAAAUUCCAUAAAAUAUGAUAUGCAAAGAUGGUCUAAUGUAUAACAUUCCAAAUUCAAAAUUUGGGAUGUUACAGGUGUAUGAUACCGGCGGAAGUUGCGCGGCAUAAUAAAGGCUAGCAAUGGUGGAAGGGUGAGAGUGCGUAUAAUCCAUGGACUCACAUUAGUCAUAAAGAACUCAUAUACUUAUUGCAAAAGUUUAUUGGCCCUUGAAGAAAAAUACUACUACGCAUGCUCCUAGGGGAAGGGUUGGUAGGAGUUAACCAUCGCGCAAUCCCGACCUCCACACAUAAGGAGGGUAAUCAAAAGAGCACCCCAUGCAACAAAUUUGUUACACAACUUUUACAAUACGUGCAUGCUACGGGACUUGCCAACUUUAACACAAGUAUCUCUCAGUUUCAUAAUUACCUAACUAGCAUGACUCUAACAUUACCACCUUUAUAUCUCAAAACAAUUAUCAAGCAUCAAAUUGAUCAUAGUAUUUAAUGCACUCUAUAUGAUAGUUUUUUAUUAUACCCCACUUGGAUGCCCAUCAUUCUAGGACCAAUUUUAUAACCAUAGAAAAUACCAUGCUGUUCUAAAAGACUAUCAAAAUAAUUUAAAUGAAGCAUGAGAUAUCAAUAAUUUCUACAAAAUAAAGCCACCGCCAUGCUCUAAAAAGAUAUAAGUGAAGCACUAGAGCAAAAUUGCGUAGCUCAAAAGAUAAGUGAAGCACAUAGAGUAUUCUAAUAAAUUCUGAAUCAUGUGUGUCUCUCCCAAAAGUUGUGUACAACAAGGAUGAUUGUGGUAAACUAAUGGCGAUAAAACUCCGAAAUAAAAUCUUAUUUGAUUUUAAUAUUAAAUCUCCAAUAUUUCUUUAUUUUGGGAAAGUCAUUUUAUUCCCUCUCUUUUAUUUUUAUAAAAGAAAUACAUGAGAAAUAAUUAAAAUCAAACGAUCCUCAUUUCAAAAUUUGAGAAAACUCAAAUAUGAAAAUAACGAAAUCCCCAACUCUCUCCUUGGGUCCUUGAGUUGCGUAGAAUUUCUACGAUCAAGCCAAAAGGCAAUAAAAUAUGAUAUGCAAAGAUGAUCUAAUGUAUGACAUUCCAAAUUGAAAAUUUGGGAUGUUACAAACCUACCCCCCCUUAAGAUGAAUCUCGCCCUCGAGAUUCGGGUUGGCUAGAAAAUAGGUGAGGGUGAUCCUUCCGUAGGUCUUCCUCUCGCUCCUAGGUGGAUUCAUCCUCGGUAUGGUGGCUCCACUGAACUUUGCAGAACUUGAUAACCUUGCUGUGUGUGACUCGGCUGGCAUACUCGAGAAUCUUGAUUGGUUUCUCCUCAUAGGUCAAAUCACUAUCCAACUAAAUCGCUUCUAGUGGCACUGUAUCUCUCAAAGGGAUAUCAGCCAUCUCUGCGUGGCACUUCUUCAACUAGGAAACGUGGAACACAUCAUGAACUCCUGACAAUCCUUCAGGCAAUUCCAACUUGUAAGCAACAUCUCCCAUACGUUCCAAAACAUUGUAUGGUCCCACAAAACGUGGUGCUAGCUUUCCCUUAACUCCAAAACGCUUAACUCCUUGAAGUGGGGACACACGAAGAUAAAAUCUGUCUCCGACUCCGUAAACUAUCUCCUUGCGUUUAGAAUCCGCAUAGCUCUUCUGCCUGGGCUGGGCUACCUUGAGUCUGUCGCGAAUCAGCUUAACCUUCUCUUCAGACUCUUUGACCAAAUCUGGUCCAAACAACUGACGGUAUCCAACUUCAUCCCACAACACUAGUGUCCUGCACCUCCUUCCGUACAAAGCUUCAAAAGGGGCCAUCUUCAAACUGGAUUGAUAACUGUUGUUGUAAGAGAACUCUGCCUAUGGCAAAUUGUCGUCCCAACUAGAUCCAUAAUCUAGUGCACAAGCUCUCAACAUGUCCUCCAGAAUCUGAUUGACUCUCUCAGUCUGUCCAUCUGUCUGUGGAUGGAAGGCUGUACUGAACUCUUGCCUGGUACCCAAAGUUUCGUGCAAUUGAUUCCAGAACUUUGAGGUAAACUGGGUUCCUCUAUCUGAUACAAUGGUCCUCGGAACUCCAUGCAGACAUACGAUCCUGGUCAUGUAUAUCUUUGCCAACUUAGCACUGGUGUAAGUGGUCUUCACUGAGAAUGAAAUGAGCUACCUUCGUCAAAUGAUCUACUACAACCCAUAUCGAGUCAGAGCCUGAACGGGUCCUGGGCAAUCCCGUGAUAAAAUCCAUGCCUAGCUCAUCCCACUUCCAUUCGGGUAUCGGCAAUGGCUGUAGCAAUCCCGCUGGCUUCUGAUGCUCCGCCUUUACUCUCUGACAUACAUCACAAACUGCUACAUACUCCACAAUGUCCUUCUUCAUUCCGGUCCACCAGAAGUUGUCCUUCAAAUCCAGAUACAUCUUGGUAUUUCCUGGGUGAAUCGAAUACGGUGAAUCAUGGGCCUCUUGCAGAAUCAACUCCCUGAUCUCCGGGUCAUUAGGUACAUAAACGCGGUCCUCAAACCAUAAGGUAUCGUGCUCAUCUUCAUGAAAUCCUUUAGCUUUUCCUUUCCUCAUCUUCUCCUUUAUCUCGGCAAUCUCCUUGUCGGUCUUUUGAUCUUCUCUGAUCUUAUCCAUCAAAGUAGACUGAAUCUCCAAGGCUGCUACAUAGACUUUCGGAACUAUCUCGAAAUAUAGUUCGCGAAGAUCAUCUGCUAACUCCUUGGGUAACUCUCCGGUCAAGAGGGUGUUGACAUGACUUUUGCGGCUCAAUGCACUGGCUACUAUGUUAGCCUAUCCUGGAUGAUAAUGCAACCUCAUAUCAUAAUCUUUAAUGAGCUCCAACCAUCUCCUUUGCCUAAGAUUUAACUCCUUCUAUGUGAAGAUAUACUUCAAACUCUUAUGAUCCGUGUACACCUCACAAUGGUUGCCGACGAGAAAAUGUCUCCAUGUCUUCAACGCAUGCACUAUGGCUGCUAACUCCAAAUCAUGGGUGGCAUAAUUCAACUCAUGGAGUUUAAGCUAUCGUGAGGCAUAAGAAACAACUCUUCCCUCCUGCAUAAGCACCGCUCCAAGUCCUCGACGAGAAGCGUCACAAUAUACUUCAUAAUCCUUGCACUGAUCUGGAAGAAUCAACAUCGGUGAUGUAACAAACGUUUCUUCAACUCCUGGAAACUGGCCUCACAAUCCUCAGUCCAUUUAAUAUGGUGUCCUUCUUCAACAACUCCGUCAUGGGUUUUGCAAUCUUCGAGAAAUUCUCAAUGAAUCUCCGGUAGUAUCCUGCGAGUCCAAGAAAACUCCGAAUCUCUCCAACUGAUGUGGGUGCUUCCCAAUUCGUCACAGUGACAACCUUGGUGGGGUCUACUGCUAUUCCUUCUCCGGAUAUAACAUGUCCGAGGAAUCCAACUUCCUUCAACCAAAACUCACAUUACUGAACUUGGCAUAUAAUUGAUGUUCUGUGAGCUUCCCAAGUACCAAAAAUAAAUGGUCCUUAUGCUCCUCUUCGUUCUUCUAGUAGACCAAAAUAUCAUCAAUGAACACCACGAUGAACUUAUCCAUAAACUCCAUAAACACCUUGUUCAUCAUGUUCAUAAAAUAGGCAGGUGUGUUAGUCAGACCAAAUGGCAUAACAGUAUACUCAGAUAGCCCGUACCUUGUGGUAAAAGCUGUCUUAGGUAUAUCCUGCUCUCGAAUCUUUAGUUGGUGGUAUCCUGAUCACAGAUCGAUCUUGGAGAAUACUUUAGCUCCUUGCAACUGGUCAAACAAGUCAUUGAUCAUCGGCAGUGGGUACUUGUUCUUGAUCGUCACUUCAUUCAAUCCACGAUAAUCAACAACCAUCCUCAACGACCCAUCCUUCUUCUCCACUAGAAGCACUAGUGAUCCCCAAGGUGAUGAACUUGGGCGAAUAUAGCCUUUGUCCAGUAACUUCUUAAUCUGCUUCUUAAUUUCCUCAGAAUCCUUUGCAGACAUCCUGUAUGGUCUCUUAGAUAUUGGCCAUGUGCCUGGCAAAAGUUCAAUCAAAAACUCAAUGUCUCUAUCCGGUGGCAUGCCUGGCAACUCUUCUGGAAAUACGUCUAGGGAAUCCUUCACCACUGGUACUUCCUCCUGUACAACUCCUGAUAAGGAAUUCACUUGAGUCCUCUUCGGCACAUGCCGUGAUACAUACUUGAUCCUUCUUCCUUUUGGGGUGGUGAGCAAAAUCGACUUACUAGCGCAUUCAAUAUUCCCUCCAUACUUCGAUAACCAAUCCAUGCCUAAUAUCACAUCCAGUCCUUGCGACUCCAAUACUAUUAGGUCUGAGGGAAACACGUAGUUACCAAUCCUUAAUGGUAACCGAUCACCAUAGACUAGCCAUAUACUCUGAUCCUGGCAAGGUUACUAACAUGGGUGACCUAAGGGCUUGGGUUGGCAGUUUAUACUUAUCCACAAAUCCCCUUGAUAUGUAUGAAUGCGAUGCACUAGUAUCAAAAAGAACGAUUGCAGUAAAUGACUUAACCAAAAACCUACCUAUUACUGCAUAUGACUGGGCUUCAACCACCUCCACGUUAACGUGGUUCACCUGUCCCCUGUUGAAAGGGUUAGGCUUCUUCCUAGAGCUUCCAUUGCCAUUUCCAUUCUUUGCUUCAGGACAUUCAGUGGCAUAAUGUCCAGUCUUCUGGCAUUUGAAACAUGAAAUGUGGCUUAGAUCCCUCUUGGCUGGUGUUGAUGGGUUGGUACCGUUCUGUCCGUUGCUUCCUCCAUUUCCAUUGCCAUUCUUGGGGCCAUUAUGGUUGUGCAAACUCCCUCCAUUAUGAUUGUGACCUCCAUGGUUAUGCUAAAAAGGUCCUCCCGAGUUUGGGGUAAAACGAGGCUUCUACUGAGCUCCAGAAUUGUACUUCCUUUGUCCAUACUUCCUCUUGCGGCUGUCCAUGCUGCUUCCCUUCAAUCGUGAGGCUCUAUCUACCAACUCCUUGUAGUUGUUGAAGGUUGCCACCAUCAACUGCAUGCUCAGCUCAUCAUUCAGUCCUUCUAGAAACUUCUCCUGCUUAGCUGCAUCUGUAACAACGUCAUCUGGGGCGUAACGUGCUAGCUUACUAAAAUCAUCCACAUACUGGCCAACAGUACGUCCUCCUUGGCGUAAGUUGCGAAACUCACGCUUCUUCAUGGCCAUAGCUCCUGCUGAAACAUGGGCAGUAUGAAAAGCCUGCUGAAACUGGUCCCAUGUGACGGUGUCGAUGGGGUAAGUGGCUGUGAAAUUCUCCCACCAUGAUGAUGCGGGUCCAUCAAGCUGAUGUGCGGCAAACCACAACCUCUCCGCAUCUGUGCAUCCUAUAGUGGUCAACUCCCUUCCAAUCUUGUGGAGCCAAUCAUCUGCAACUAUCAGCUCGGUCCUACUGGAGAACACCGGCGGAUUUAGCCUUAAGAAACGGGCUAAUUGAUCAACAUGUGGUGGUGGUGGGUUGUUGCUGUUCCCCUGAUUCUGAUUCUGGACUAGUAUCAGCAUCAAUGCAUUCUGCUGUUGGAUCAACUGAGUGAGCUCCGGUGGGAAAGCAAAUCCAUUGUCACGUCUCGGAGGCAUCUGAGGGUUUAGAAAAGAUGAGAUAAUGGAAUAGAAUGAGGUCUAGAGGGAAAACACUACCCAUAUGCACAUGAGACAAACACAAUCAUAUCACUCCAAUCAAUUCAAACAAGGGCAUACAUCGGUCUAACUAUCAUUUCAAAAGUGCUCGGACUAUGCUAUAUACAUGGGGGAAUACUACCACUGUUAUGGUGGUCGACUAGAAAAAUUGAUCGGUCUAAGACUCCAUGAUAUCUGCUCCAGCUUCAUCUACAAAGUCAUCAUCACUAUCAUCAGGGUCUAAGUCGGUGUCGUUGAUGAUGAUGUAGUUCUCCGGUUAGGUAGAAUCAUCGUCAUCUCUUCCAGGCGCGGGGUCUCCCAUGAAUACUCCGAUCUUCUUUACCAGGUCGUCGUUCUUCUCCAAUAAUGUUGCAAUUUCCUCCUCAUAUCCAUCGCGUGUAGUCUUGAGUUCUUCUUCCAGCUCCGUGAGAGCUGGUCAUAGCCUUCUUCAGAUCUAUCAUGCCUGCGCACAUCUGGUUCUCCUGGCGACGAAUGUGCUGGUUUAACUCCUGGAUGAAAGCGGCAAUAGAUCUAUCCUUCCUGGUGCUGAUCAUCUCCCAUUGCUCAUCUCGGCGCCCACAAAUCUGGUAGAUAGUAUCCUUGAGAUCCUUGUGGUAAACUUAUCCAAUGCGUCCCAUGGUGAUGUGGGCUGCCAUGCUCUUUCCUAGACUCCAGGUUGGUGCAUCAAAAGAAAACUAUAUGGGCUCAGUGACUGGCAUGAACGUCCUUCCUGGAACUUGAACUUGAAUCAUCCAACGCUCCUCUUCUGGUAAAGUGGUGAUGUAGGUCCGGUGAAGCUUGGUACUCUGAUGUUCAGGUAUCUAGUGACUUCCUUCAAGUGGCGUCUGAAGGGUGUAUCUUCAUCCGGUUGCGUGAACUUUUUCCUUACAUCCGCCAUCCUAAAGAGUAGAAAAGGAGAGGAGUUAGAAAUGAGAAGAGAGUAGUGUUCUAGGGCUUUAGCUUAGUGGUCAUGUCCUACAAUCAGCGUGUGUGCUGAUACCAUCUUGUCGCGACCAGACCUCAAACAGUCCGAUCUCCGUGCAUCAGUGUCAUCCCUGGAUCGGUAAUGCUGACACGCACAAUACUUGAAGGAUUUAUAACAGAGUAGCAAUCACACACUUAUUACAUCGAAUGUCUCAAAAGAGAACUUAAUACAAUAAAUAUAGCUUAAGGCCAACUAAUUACGAUAACAACUGAAGGCUGGGAAAAUAAAGCGAGUCCAUCAACUCCAACGGCAUCACUGAGUGAAAGAUCACGACCUAGGGCACCUUACUCGUCAUCUGAAAAGUCUGCAACAUGAACGUUGCAGCACGAAAUGGGUCAGCACAUGCAAUAUGCUGGUAAUGUAACACAUAGAGAGUAAUGGACAGAAUAAUGCUAUCACUACAUGCAUAUAUGGCUGGUGAUAAGCUCUAUGGUUACAGUUUUGCAUAAAGCCAAUUUUUCCCUACAACAAAGGAGUAAAUUUUAUUUAACUAUCAUGGUGGUUGUUAAACUUUGAGAAGGUUCCUCCAACUCAAUCCCAAUUAAGCAUCAUCAUUAACCCAAUCAAAUUAAUUUAAAUAUCAUGACGAGAUUCACAUGAUAAUCCAAGAAACUAGAUACUCAAAAAACACAUAACCGGGGACAUAGCUAACCAUGAUUAGUUUGUACACUCUGCAGAGGUUUGCGCACUUUUCCCCGCAAGACUCGAUCUUCUCUGUUGGAUUUCUCGCACUACAAGGUGUUUGAGAAACGGAUGACCGAGACACAGUCUUUCAGAAGCAUUAACUCUUUACUCUGGGUAGACAGUACCAACCUACAUCCCCUACAUCUGCUAGCCUACCACUGAAAGAGGUCACGCAACAUACUCAACUAUGCUAGAGCCCAUAGUAGCUUGCGGCUGCACACAGAAGUUUCUAGCAUGAAUAAGCUUAUGAUCUCUUUGAGCCUGGGUGGUAGUUCAUAGGAGAAUCACAUGGUUCCCCGGGAUUUCCAAAAAUACAGGCAACACUGGGUUCCCUAGGUGCCUCAAUCCACCCAAAUGUGAAUUAAAGUUGCCACCCAGGGUUAAUCAUUAAUUAACAAUCUCACAUCUGUCAUGGAUACACUCACCCAAUCCACGUCUACAAGCAUAGCAUAGCAAUAUAAUCAAACAUAGAAGUAACUCCCAAAGGUUUGAUAAUAAACAGGACAAUAUGUACUACCUCAUCUACUUCCCAAAACCCACAUGUUAAUCAGAUCCUAAUCAUGCAAUUGUUUGAGGAUUGAUCUAAUGCAAUAAAGCUGGGUAGUAAAGAGGUAUGAUCAAAGUGUUACUUGCCUUGCUGAUGAUUCGUGAAACCUAGAGACUCGUAGUAGCACGCUGCGCACUCCGGGUACUCUAUCACAAACAAACAAGCAUACAAUAAGCACUCAUCUACAAGCACGGGUAAAGCUCAAAUAAGAGAUAUAACCAGAAAGUUCAACUUAAGAACUCCGGUUUGCAAAAAGAAUCAAAUCAAACAAAGCAACGAAACUCAAACGGCGAAAGAAACAAGCUUUGUUUACUAAUCUGGACUUAAGUCAAAUUUUACAGUAGCAAAAACUUGUUUGAGUUGGUUAAAAAGAAUGAGGGUUUCGAGACGAAACUCUAGGCACUUGAAUCGCCUGAUUCCUAUAAACGAGCGAAAACAUAAACCAAAAGAAAAAUCAGGGCAGAAAUCGCGAUCGAAAAUAAUCGCGGAAAAUCCCUGGAAAAGAAAAACUAACGAACAGGCUAACGAACGAUCCUUCGCUGUCUGCGGCUAAACGGUGAAAACCAGUCGUUAAAACUAACGAACGAACGGGCGUUCGCUAAUUAACUAAACCGGAAAAAAAUAAAACCGAUCUAUAAAAAAUAAACCAGGGUUCCUAAAAAAAACCAGGGUUCCUAAUUAACGAACGAACGACGGCAGUGGCUACCUCCGGCGGUCAACGGCGGUGGCGGGGGAUCAACGGGCGGCAGCGGCGCGGCUCCGGCAAGGCGGCGGCGGACGGCGCGUCAGGCGGAGUGCGAGGCGACGGCGGCAGCGGCUAGGGUUUGGGGCGGCUCGGGCUGGUGGGCUGGGGCGGCUCGGGGUGCUAUAUAAAGAGGCCGGCUGGGCAGUGUCCUGGCCGGCUACGGCCCGAAGACAGUUUGACUUUUUUUAAAAAAAAAUCGCGCAGAAAAACAAAUAAAAUAAAUACUAAACGGACACCAAAAAUCCCAAAAAUAUAGCGGACAAAGUGAACAUUUAUAUAGGCCCUAAAUGCAAUUUUGAAAAACGCACAUUUUUCCUAAUUCAAAUAAAAUGGUGAUAAAACUCCGAAAUAAAAUCUUAUUUUAUUUUAAUAUUAAAUUUCCAAUAUUUCUUUAUUUUGGGAAAGUCAUUUUAUUCCCUCUCUUUCAUUUUUAUAAAAGAAAUAUACGAAGAGAAAACAAUUAAAAUCAAACGAUCCUCUUUUCAAAAUUUGAGAAAACUCAAAUAUGAAAAUAACGAAAUCCCCAACUCUCUCCGUGGGUCCUUGAGUUGCGUAGAAUUUCUAGGAUCAUGCCAAAAUGCAAUACAAUAUGAUAUGCAAAGAUGGUCUAAUGUAUAACAUUCCAAAUUCAAAAUUUGGGAUGUUAUAGGUGUAUGAUACCGGCGGAAGUUGCGCGGCAUAAUAGAGGCUAGCAAUGGUGGAAGGGUGAGAGUGCGUAUAAUCCAUGGACUCACAUUAGUCAUAAAGAACUCAUAUACUUAUUGCAAAAGUUUAUUAGCCCUCGAAGAAAAGUACUACUACGCAUGCUCCUAGGGGAAGGGUUGGUAGGAGUUAACCAUCGCGCGAUCCCGACCUCCACACAUAAGGAGGGUAAUCAAAAGAGCACCCCAUGCAACAAAUUUGUUACACAACUUUUACAAUACGUGCAUGCUACGGGACUUGCCAACUUUAACACAAGUAUCUCUCAGUUUCAUAAUUACCCAACUAGCAUGACUCUCACAUUACCACCUUUAUAUCUCAAAACAAUUAUCAAGCAUCAAAUUGAUCAUAGUAUUUAAUGCACUCUAUAUGAUAGUUUUUAUUAUACCCCACUUGGAUGCCCACCAUUCAAGGACCAAUUUUAUAACCAUAGAAAAUACCAUGCUAUUCUAAAAGACUCUCAAAAUAAUAUAAAUGAAGCAUGAGAGAUCAAUAAUUUCUACAAAAUAAAGCCACCGCCGUGCUCUAAAAAGAUAUAAGUGAAGCACUGGAGCAAAAUUGCCUAGUUCAAAAGAUAUAAGUGUAGCACAUAGAGUAUUCUAAUAAAUUUCGAAUCAUGUGUGUCUCUCCCAAAAGGUGUGUACAGCAAGGAUGAUUGUGGUAAACUAAAAAGCAAAGACUUAUAUCAUACAAGACGCUCCAAGGAAAACACAUAUCAUGUGGUGAAUAAAAAUAUAGCUCCAAGUAAAGUUACCAAUAGACGAAGACGAAAGAGGGGAUGCCUUCCGGUGCAUCCCCAUGCUUAGGAUCUUGCCACUCCUUAUUCCAUAGUCCAUCAAAUCUUUACCCAAAACUUGAAAACUUCACAACACAAAAUCAACAGGAAAUCUCAUAAGCUCCAUUAGUGCAAGAAAGAAAAACCACCACUUAAGGUACUGUAAUGAACUCAUUCUUUAUUUAUAUUGGUGUUAAACAUACUGUAUUCCAACUUCUCUAUGGUCCAUACCCCCCGAUACUAGCCAUAGAUUCAUCAAAAUAAGCAAACAACACACGAAAAACAGAAUCUGUAAAAAACAGAACAGUCUGUAGCAAUCUGUAACUUUCGAAUACUUCUGAACUCUAAACAUCCUACCAAAAUAGUAAGUCCUAGGCAAUUUGUCUAAUGAUCUACUUCAAAAAGAAUGAACUAAAAAUCAAGUUUCUGUGAUUUAUUAAAAUUAUUCUCGUGCGCGCAAAAAUUUCUGUUUUUCAGCAAGAUCAAAUUAACUAUCACCAUAGGUUAUCCUAUAGGUUCUACUUGGCACAAACACUAAUUAAAACAUAAAACCACAUCUAAACAGAGGCUAGAUGAUUUAUUUAACACUAAACAGGAACAAAAAGCAAGGAACAAAAAUAAAAUUGGGUUGCCUCCCAACAAGUGCUAUCGUUUAAUCCCCCUAGCUAGGCAUAAAAGCGAGAAUAGAUCUAAGUAUUCCAUCUUUGGUAUUGGGAAAGAAAAGAGAAAAUUUCCUUUCUAUAGUAUUAGUCCUUCUAUUUUGGGAAAGCACAUUGCCAUUAAUGGAGGAAGAAAGAUUAAGCACAUUACAGAAAUUUGCAUCUAAGCUAGCCUUCAUUUCUUUGAUAAUUUCGUUUUGAUAAAAGCAUAAGAGAGUGGUGGAUUCAACCUUAUCAUUCAUGGGGUGCCCAAAUAUAGUUUUCAUUUUUUCAUAGGUAUCUAUAGCAUCCCCUUCAAGAAAACCUUCUUCAAAAAUAGAAUCUAGAACUUGCUUGAAAGAAGCGGGUAAGCCAACAUAAAAGCUUUUUAAAUAUAUCUCAAUUUGAUAUUGUGGCACAUAGCUAGCUCGAAUCCUUAAUAGCCUAUCCCAAGCAUCUUUUAAAGUCUCAUCAAGUAAAUAACGAAAAAUUCCAGAGUCAUCUUCAUCGAAAUUACUCGAACUUUCAUUGAUAACCCCGGUAGGUAUUUCCGUAGCAUCGUUAUUUAUGAGCUUAGAGAGGACAGAGGGACUAUCCAAAGUACUAAAACUUUGUGAAGAACCCUUAGUUCUUUUUGGUACGGCCAUGGCAAAGGGAAGGCAAACGGUAAAGAGAGGGCGAAUAAAAUGGCAAGGGUGAAGUGGGGGAGAGGAAAACGAGAGGCAAAUGGAAAAUAAUGUAAUGCGAGGGAGAUGAGUUUGUGACGGGUACUUGGUAUGUCUUGACUUGAGCGAAGACCUCCCCGGCAACGGUGCCAGAAAUCCUUCUUGCUACCUCUUGAGCACUGUGUUGGUUUUCCCUUGAAGAGGAAAGGGUGAUGCAGCAAAGUAGCAUAAGUAUUUCCCUCAGUUUUUGAGAACCAAGGUAUCAAUCCAGCAGGAGGCUCCAUGCAAGUCCCUCGUACCUACACAAACAAACAAGAACCUCGCAACCAACGCGAUAAAGGGGUUGUCAAUCCCUUCACGGCCACUUGCGAAAGUGAGAUCUGAUAGAGAUAAUAAGAUAAGAUAAAUAUUUUUGGUAUUUUUAUGAUAUAGAUUGGAAAGUAAAGAUUGCAAAAUAAAGUAGAUCAGAAACUUAUAUGAUGGAGAAUAGACCCAUGGGCCAUAGGUUUCACUAGUGGCUUCUCUCAAGAUAGCAUAAGUAUUAUGGUGGGUGAACAAAUUACUGUCGAGAAAUUGAUAGAAAAGUGCAUAGUUAUGAGAAUAUCUAGGCAUGAUCAUGUAUAUAGGCAUCACGUCCGCGACAAGUAGAUUGAAACAAUUCUGCAUCUACUACUAUUACUUAACACAUCGACCGCUAUCCAGCAUGCAUCUAGAGUAUUAAGUUCAUAAGAACAGAGUAACGCAUUAGGAAAGAUGACAUGAUGUAGAGGGAUAAACUCAAGCAAUAUGAUAUAAACCCCAUCUUUUUAUCCUUGUUGGCAACAAUACAAUAUGUGCCUUGCUGCCCCUGCUGUCACUGGGAAAGGACACCGCAAGAUUGAACCCAAAGCUAAGCACUUCUCCAAUUGCAAGAAAGAUCAAUCUAGUAGGCCAAACCAAACUGAUAAUUUGAAGAGACUUGCAAAGAUAACCAAUCAUACAUAAAAUAAUUCAGAGGAGAUAAAAAUAUUUCUCAUAGAUAAACUUGAUCAUAAACCCACAAUUCAUCGGAUCUCGACAAACACACCGCAAAAGAGUUACAUCAAAUAGAUCUCCAAGAAGAUCAAGGAUAACUUUGCAUUGAGAUUCAAAGAGAGAGAAGAAGCCAUCUAGCUAAUAACUAUGGACCCGAAGGUCUGUGGUAAACUACUCACAACUCAUCGGAGAGGCCUCGACGAUGAUGUAGAAGCCCUCCGUGAUCAAUUCCCCCUCUGGCGGAGCGCCAGAAAAUGCUCCAAGAUGGGAUCCCGUGGAUACAGAAUGCUGCGGCAGUGGAAAUAGGGUUUCGUGGUGUUCCUGGAUGUUUUCGGGGUACGUAGAUAUAUAUAGGAGAAGGAAGUCGGUCAGGGGAGCCACGAGGGGCCCACGGGGGUGGAGGCGCGCCCACCCCCCUAGGGCGCAUCUUGCACCCUCGUGGCCACCUCAGCUGCUUCUUGACGUCCACUCCAAGUCUCCUGGAUUGCGUUUGUUCCAAAAAGAUCGCUCCCGAAGGUUUCAUUCCGUUUGGACUCUGUUUGAUAUUCCUUUUCUUCGGAAGACUGAAAUAGGCAAAAAAACAGCAAUUCGGGUUCGGCCACCGGUUAGUAGGUUAGUCCCAAAAAUGAUAUAAAAGUCUAAAGUAAAGGCCAUAAACAUCCAAAACGGGUAAUAUAAUAGCAUGGAGCAAUCAAAAAUUAUAGAUACGUUGGAGACAUAUCACCAUCGAGGAUAAAAAGAUGGGGUUUUCAUCAUAUUGCUUGAGUUAAUCCCGCGACAUCAUGUCAUCUUGCUUAUUGCGUUACUCUAUUCUUAUGAACUUAAUAAUCUAGAUGCAGGCAGGAGUCGGUCGAUGUAUGGAGUAAUAGUAGUAGAUGCAGAAUCAUUUCGGUCUACUUGAAACGGACGUGAUGCCUAUAUUCAUGAUCAUUGCCUUACAUAUCGUCAUAAGUUUGCGCUUUUCUAGGAAUUGGUCGGCAAUAAUUUGUUCACCCACCGUAUUAAUUCCUAUCUUGAGAGAAGCCUCUAGUGAAACCUAUGCCCCCCGAGUCUAUUUUACAUCAUAUUAGUUUCCCGUCAACUUGCAAAUUUCCGUCAUCGUUUCUUUAUUUUGCAAUCUUUACUUUCCGUUCCAUAAACCAAAAAUACCAAAAAUAUUACUUUAACGUUUAUCCAUCUAUAUCAGAUCUCACUUUGCGAAUAACCGUGAAGGGAUUGACAACCCCUUUGUCGCGUUGGUUGCAAGUUGGUGUUUGUUUGUGCAGGUAUUCGAUGGCUUGUUGUGUAGUCUCCUACUGGAUUGAUACCUUGGUUCUCAAAACUGAGGAAAAUACUUACGCUACUUUGAUGCAUCACCCUUUCCUCUUCAAGGGAAAAAUCAACGCAUGCUCAAGAGGUAGCAGUACCCCCAACUAUCCUUCUCUAUUUCGCAAUAGCUUGCACUGUAGAUUACCUGACUUCUCUCCUCCAUGUUGAAGGAUUUGUUCCCCUCACGUGCGGCUUCUAAUCAGGAAUAGGCUAUGUGUACAUUUGUUCUUUUUUGCCACCAGAAUAUGGACGCAUGCCCGUGACUCUUACCAACACAACUCUAACACAUCACUCUCUUCAUUUUCAGGCCACAAGUUCCAUGGACAAGGCCCGAGGCGGCGUUACCAUGGUGAUAGAGCAUCGUAGUGAGGACACCAUCCCGCCGGACGACCGUACCUGCAUUAUUUGGAUAUAUGGGAUGGACUUGAAUCUGAUUUUGCUCUCUGCCUCCCGUCUGAUGGACCUUUCGAGAAGAUUACUGAUAAAAACGUAAAUAACUCUCGAAAUUGCACCAAAAAAAUCAAUAUCAGACGGGGGAGAACGUUUAGCGCAAAAAUCCCACCGCCAAAAAUGCACUACCAAAUCAAGGAAUACAUAUUUACGUGAUACCCCAUUUCGAUAUUUCGGUGUCAAAAAUUGUUGUCGGCGGUGCACGGUUACGUCCCCGGCCGCAGACAUAGACGAGCGGCUGAUUCCUUUCCUUCUCCUUGUCCGACAACUGAUCUGUUUCUUCUUUGUACUCCCCCAAAUAUGAUCAUUGUCGCCGCCGCUGCACAUGCUCCUUGUGCGAGCGUGAAGGCCUCCGAGUGGUGGUAUUAAGACACGAGUGGCCUGCAGUGUGAUACGUCUCCAACAUAUAUAUAACUUUUGAAUGUUUUAUAUGCAUUAAUAUGCUAUUUUAUAUCAUUUUUUGGAACUAACCUAUUAACCUAGUGUCCAGUGACAGUUGCUGUUUUUCCUUGUUUUGCUCUAUAAUAGAAAAUCAAUACCGAAGAUAUUUCUUGGACCAGAAGACAACCACAAAGCUUUUGGAGGAGGCCAGGAGAGCCACAAGUGGGCCGCAAGCUCACAGGGCAUGCCCCAGGGGGCGCCCAACAAGCUUGUGGGCCCCGCGUAGCCCCCCUAACCCUAAUUUGAGCUCUAUAAAUACCCAAAUAUUCCCCCGUACGCUAGGGGGCACACCAAAAAUACUUUUCCGCCAACGCAAGCUUCUGUUCUUGUGAGAUCCCAUCUUGGGGCCUUUUCUGGCACUCUGCUAGAGGGGGAUUCGAUCACAAAGGGGCUCUACAUCAACCUUGUUGCCCUUUCGAUGAUGCGUGAGUAGUUUACCACGGACCUAAGGGUCCAUAGCUAGUAGCUAGAUGGCUUCUUCUCUCUCUUUGAUCUUCAAUACAAUGUUCUUGGAGAUCUAUUUGAUGUAAUCUUCUUUUGCAGUGUGUUUGUUGAGAUCCGAUGAAUUGUAGGUUUAUGACCAGUUUAUCUAUAUGAAUAUUAUUUGAGUCUUCUCUGAACUCUAUUAUGCAUGAUUAAGAUAGCUUUGUAUUUCUCUCCGAUCUAUUGAUUUGGUUUGGCUAACUAGAUUGAUCUAUCUUGCAAUGGGAGAGGUGCUUUGUGAUGGGUUCAAUCUUGUGGUGCCCUCACCAGUGACAGUAGGGGUAGGGAGGCAAGUAUUUGUACUGUUGUCAUUAAGGAUAAAAAGAUGUGGUCUUUACCAGAUUGCUUGGAUCUAUUCCUCUACACCAUGUCAUCUUGCUUAAGGCGUUAUGCUACUUCUUGAGUUUGCGUUGAUUUUUUCCUUGAAGAAGAAAGGGUGAUGUAUCAAGUAGAGAUAAUUAUUUCCCUUAGUUAAGAACCAAGGUAUCAAUCCAGUAGGAGGCACAAGCAAGUCUCCAAUUUAUGCACCUACAAAAACUAACAAACACUUGCGCACAACACGAAAAAGGGGCUAUCAAUCCUUUCACAGUCAUGAACAAGGGUGAGAUCUAAUAGAGAUAGGUAUAAAAGAUAAAUAAAAGAGCAAACUAAAGUAAAUCUAAAUAAAUUGCAGCAAGGUAUUUUUGGGUUUUUUGGUUUAUAGAUCUGAAAAUAUAUGAUGGAAUAUAGAUCCGGGGGCCAUAGGUUUCACUAGAGACUUCUCUCUUGAAAGAAAACAUAUGGUGGGUAAAUAAAUUACUGUCGAGCAAUUGAUAGAAAAGAGCAAAGUUAUGACGAUAUCUAAGGAAAUGAUCAUGAAUAUAUGCAUCACGUCUGUGUCAAGUAGACCGAAACGAUUCUGCAUCUACUACUAUUACUCCACACAUCAACCGCUAUCCAGGAUGCAUCUAGAGUAUUAAGUUCAUAAGAACGGAGUAACACCUUAAGUAAGAUGACAUGAUGUAGAGGGAUAAACUCAAGAAAUAUGAUGAAUACCCCAUCUUUUUAUCCUUGAUGGUAACAAUACAAUACAUGCCUCGCUACCCCUACUUUGUCACUGGGUGAGGACACCACAAGAUUGAACCCAAAACUAAGCACCUCUCCCAUUGCAAAAGUACCAGUUUAGUUGGCCAAACCAAACUGAUAAUUUGAAGAGAAAUACAAAGAUAUUUUAUCAUGCAUAAAAGAUUUUAGAAAAGACUCAAAUAAUAUUCAUAGAUAAUCUGAUCAUAAAUCCACAAUUCAUCAGAUCUCGACAAACACACCGCAAAAGAAUAUUACAUCAGAUAGAACUCCAAGAACAUCGAGGAGAACAUGGUAUUGAAGAUCAUAGAUAGAGAAGAAGCCAUCUAGAUACUAGCUAUGGACCCUUAGAUCCGUGGUAAACUACUCACGCUUCGUCUGAAGGGCAGCAAGAUUGAUGUAGAUGCCCUCCUUGAUCGAAUCCCUCCGACAGCGUGCCAGAAAAGGCCCCAAGAUGGAAUCUCACGGGAACAUAGGCUUGCGGCGGCGGAAAAGUAUUUUGGUGGAUGCCUCUAAUGAUUUGGGAAUAUUUGGGAAUUUAUAGUGCAAGAAUUAGGGUUGGAGGACUCCCGAGGGGCCCACAAGCCCUCUGGGCGCCCCCUUGGGGCGCGCCUAGGAGACUUGUGGCCUCCUCGGGAGGCUUCUGGGCCCCUCUCCAAGUCUUCUGAAUGUCUUCGGGUCCAAGAAAGAUCAUCGCGAAAGUUUUAUUCCGUUUGGACUCUGUUUGAUAUUCCUUUUCUAUAAAACUCAAAAAACAGGAAAAAACAGAAACUGGCAUUGGGCUCUAGGUUAAUAAAUAGUCCAAAAAUAAUAUAAACUAGCAUAUUAAUGCAUAUAAAACUUCCAAAAUAUAUAAUAUAAUAGCAUGGAACAAUAAAUAACUAUAGAUAGGUUGGAGACGUAUCACGUUACUCCGUUCUUGUUAACUUAAUACACUAGAUGCAUGUUGGAUAGCGGUCGAUGUGUGGAGUAAUAGUAGUAGAUACUGGCAGGAGUCGGUCUACUUGUCAUGGACGUGAUGCCUAUAUUCAUGAUCAUUACCUUAGAUAUCGUGAUAACUAUGUGCUUUUCUAUCAAUUGCUCAACAGUAAUUUGUUUACCCACCAUAUGCUUUCUUCAAGAAAGAAGCCUCUAGUGAAACUUAUGGCCCCCGGGUCUAUUUUUACCAUAUUAUUUUCAGAUCUAUAAAACCAAAAACCCAAAAAUACCUUGCUGCAAUUUGUUUAUCUUUACUUUAUUUUACACUUUUACUUAUCUUUUAUACCUAUCUAUAUGAAAUCUCACUCUUGCUAGUGACCGUGAAGGGAUUGACAACCCCGUUUUUGCGUUGUGUGCAAGUGUUUGUUAGUUUGUGUAGGUGCAUCUAUUGGAGACUUCUGUGUUCCUCCUACUGGAUUGAUACCUUGGUUCCUAACAAAGGGAAAUACUUAUCUCUACUUUGCUGCAUCACCCUUUCCUCUCACUAUUGCAGGAUUCUGCUAACGCGACACUACGAUCAGAGACCCUUUGACGAAACUGCGUGGGAUGCAUUAAUCGCAAAUCGGGAUGUAUAAAAACCAUCAAAAAAGAUGCAAAACAUUUGUGAUGGCGGAGACAUCAAACACGGUUCAGAUUUUAGUUACGUGUGUGAUGCGGGGCCUAUGUGAUCCAGAAGAACUGUUUGAGAUGAGGCGGAACAACAGAUACAGGCAGCCAUAUCAAUAUGUGUGCGAUAUAUACGACAUAUAGUUCGCUAUGAUGAACUGUGUGUUAUUAGGGAAUGCAACAGAAACGGUCAACCAGAUCAAGGUGUGUGUGAUAUACGACAUACGGUUCACUCGGAUGAAUUGUUUUUGAUCAUGGAAGAGAACAGAAAUGGUUCAACUUAACAAGAUGUGUGUGAUAUGCGGCAUACAGUUCACAUAGAUGAACUAUUUGCGAUGAGCCAAAAGAACACAAAUGAAUCAUGUAAACAAGAUGUGUGUGGUUUGAAACAAACAGCCCACUCAAGCGAGCAACCACGUGAUCAACCUUCUGGCACCCCGUGGGAGGGCGCAACCAUAGGACACGAUGGUGAUAUCUUGACCUUGUGUGAUAGUGGGCAGACACGUACACGUACAUCCAAGAAAGCGGGCCCACAUUUCGGGCUUCCGAUGUGUGGCAUAUAGUUGAUCAAAAAGAAUUGUUUGUGAUGAACUAGAACAACAGAAAUGGGCUUUGUAUGCCCAGAACUAUCAAUAAAUUUUGACCUUGUUUCUCGUCACAUUGCAGAUUACAACGUAAUAAGUAAUUGCAAAUCUGUUCACACCUAUCAAACUAAUAUGUGUUCACACUUAGCACCGAGCUAUAAAAACUACCCACUCGAAAAGUACUUCACAAUUCUGAGGGAGUCCUGGAUUAGGGGGUAUCCAGACAACCGGACUAUAUACUUUGGCCAGACUAAUGGACCAUGAAGAUACAAGACUCAAGACUUCGUCCCGUGUCCGGAUGGGACUCUCCUUUGCGUGGAGGACAAGCUUGGCGAUCCGGAUAUUAGAUCUCCUUCUUUGUAACCGACUCUGUGUAAACCCUAGCCCCCUCCAGUGUCUAUAUAAACCGGAGGGUUUAGUCCGUAGAGGAACAAUCAUAAUCAUCAUAGGAUAGCUUCUACGGUUUAGCCUCUACGAUCUCGUGGUAGAUCAACUCUUGUAAUACUCAUAUCAUCAAGAUAAAUCAAGCAGGAAGUAGGGUUUUACCACCAUCGAGAGGGCCCGAACCUGGGUAAAACAUUGUGUCCCCUGCCUCCUGUUACCAUUAGCCUUAGAUGCACAGAUCGGGACCCCCUACCCGAGAUCCGCCGGUUUUGACACCGACAUUGGUGCUUUCAUUGAGAGUUCCUCUAUGUCGUCGCUGCAAGGCUCGAUGGCUCGUCUCGUUGUCAAGGACGACAUCACCUCUAGGGGAGCUCUGGCGGCAGGCCAUACUCUCCGACUAGUGGCUUCGUCAUGGUCGCCCGAUCGGCUGCCACACCGAUGAUGACCUCUCGGGUCAUCAAAAACAGCCUCCACGUCAAUUCGAAACUCGCCGAACAGAUGGAUCCAAUGGAGCUCUCCUCCCUUAAUGAGCUCUUGGAUCGCAUCGCCGCUUUGGGAGUCGCUACAGAAUAUGAUCUAAUUGGGCUUAAACCCAACUAAAGGGAUAUUAAAUCCCCGCCGGUCACCCACGAGAUAGCGGUAGUGGAAGAGCCACACAUGGAUUAUCCCUCUACUUUGAGGACAAACUAUGUCCGGAUUACCGAGCUCUCUGAGCCGGAUACCUCUUCACGAGAGGACACGACCCAGACCCCAAACCCAGAAUCGGGCAACGGGCCAGAAAAAUCGGGCAACAUCCCAGAGCCCGAGCUGCCAAGCCCGGAAGCCCCUCUGCCCCUGGGUGUUAGAUCGGAUCAGAAUCUAGAUUUAACUACACCCGCCCACCCAGACUUAAGCCGUCUCUCCCAUAUCAGACAAGAGCCCCAAGAGAUAGUACAUCGCUACUAGGCCAGAUUCCUCCUUGUGAUAAACAAGGUCAAGGACUGUCGCGAGGAAGACGCAAUCUCACUCUUCUACAAAAAUUGCCCGAACAAAGGGAUCCUUAAUGCUAUAAGUCGCCGCGACAUAGUACACUUCGUAUACCUAGCAGCCAUGGUACAGAGGUACUGUGCGAUGGAAAGCGCCUGGAAAACCCAAACAGACUUUUGGGAUAAUCCGGCUCUCACUAAACCCUUUGUCCGAGCUAAAAGGGCAAACUCUCGUAAGUUACCCAAUCUAAUUCCCAAAAAACCAAAGCCCACUCCAAGGCGUGGAACCGUAUUGGAAGAAUGGCUCAAUGGGCCAUGCAAAAUUCACAGCACGCCGGAUACUGUGCCAACGCAUAGCCUUAGAGCAUGUUGGAUACUCCGGCAGGUAGCAACAAGCGACGCAGAUCUUCUUGUAAACCAUAAAGCAGGGCAACAUCCCGCCGAAGACAACAAUGCAGUACUGAUAGUCUUCGAGACUUUCGCCUCGAAUAAUAGGCGCAAGCGAGCUCAUCAAAAUUUUGCUGAAAUCUGCCACCUGGCAAAAAUAGAUCCAUGGAACGACACUACUAUAACUUUCAGUGCCAGUGACGAACCGCAAUUCCAGACAGUCCGGGCACCAGCCGCUUUGGUCCUUAGCCCAAUCAUGGACGGCUUUCAGCUCACUAAAGUACUCAUGGAUGGCGGAAGCGGAUUAAACUUGAUCUAUGAAGAAACACUCAACAAUAUGGUAAUUGAUAAAAGCCGCAUUGAGAAAAGCGGCACGACCUUCAGGGGAAUCAUCCCUAGUCAGGAGGCACGGUGUGCGGGAAAAAUCACACUCGAUGUGGUAUUCAGCACCCCGGAGAAUUACAGGUCUGAAGAAAUCACAUUCCAAGUGGCUCCUUUCAGCAGCGGAUACCAUGCCCUUUUAGGGCGGGACGCAUUCACGAGCUUUCAAGCUAUACCCCAUUACGGGUACAUGAACCUGAAAAUGCCCAGACCCAAUGGAAUCAUCACUCUAGCUAGUGAUCCGGACGUCGCACUCCGCGCCGAAAAUAAAACUGCAGCACUAGCCCUGGAAGCAUUAUCCGAAGCCCUAGCGGCCGAAGAACUAACAACGCUGCGUGCCACAGUGGACAGGGACGACGUGAUACUCGACAAACGACCCAAGUCCACCUCAUUUAAACCCGCAGACGAGAUAGUCAAAUUCCAGGUCCAUCCAACGGGCCCCACAAAGAUAGCUUCCAUCGGGACACAGUUGAGCCCCACAAUGGACGCCGCACUACGAGACUUCCUACGCGAGAAUUGGGACAUUUUCGCCUGGCAUCCUUCAGACAUGUCGGGCAUCCCACGCAGGCUGGCCGAACACAGCCUCAAUAUACUGAAAGGAUACAAGCCAGUCAAAUAGACUCUUAGGCGCUUCUCAGAGCCUAAACGGCAAGCCAUGGGAGAAGAGCUAGCCAAGCUACUCAAGGCCGGAUUCAUUAGAGAUACCAAGCAUCUGGAUUGGCUGGCAAAUCUGGUAAUGGUACCAAAGAAGGACGAGUCCUGGUGCCUAUGCGUCGAUUUCAAAGACCUCAACAAGGCUUGCCCCAAGGAUCCAUUCCCCUCCCUCGCAUCGCCCAAAUCAUCAACGCCACCGCCGGGCACAACUCACUAUGUUUCCUCGAUGCAUACUCCGGAUACCAUCAAAUAAAGAUGGCAGAGUCCGACCAAGCCGCAACGGCCUUCUUUACGCCAUAUGGUCCCUUAUGCUUCAACACACUACUAGGGAAAACCUUAUACAUAGAACUUUACCAGUAGUGAAGGUCAAAAAAGCACGUUGGUGCUAAGUAGUAGUAGCGCGCCUGAGAAUACCGCGCUGCAGAUAAAGUUCUAGCAGUAGCGCGUCUUGCUCUAAACACGUUACUACUAAAAUUCCCACGGCUUAGCCGAUAGGCUACACAUAGUAGUAGCGACCUAUAACGAACCGCGCUACCGCUACUUUAUUUGUAGCAGCGCGUUUUAAACUAAACUCGCUACUACUAAAGGAUAUAAAAUUAAAUGGAAAGAAAAUAGAAAGGUAAUUGAAAAUGAAAGAAAUAGAAUAAGGUGAAAGGAAAAAAAUAAAAUGUGAAGAAAACUAAAUGAAAAAGGGAAAAAAAGAGAAAGGAGUAGCAGUAGCGUGUAUCCUAGAACGCGCUGUAGCUAACGUAGCAGCAGCGUUCUUCCUGGAACGCGCUACUGCUACUUCUGACUUAACCUCGGGGUUCGUCCUUCCCCACGGCCACUUCCCCCAAAUCCAACUCUUCACUCUCGCCGUCGCCGCUGCCGUUGCCCGUCGGCCGCCACGCGCUCUCCGCACACCCUCUACGCUGCCCCGACCCCAGAUUCAACGUCGCCCCCGCCCCGACCUCAACGCCGCCCGGACGCCGCCCCCGACCCCGACCUCGACGCCGCCAUCCGCCGCGCGCCCGAGCCCCGACCCUGACCUCGACGCCGCCCUGCCCCUCCCUCGUCGCAGGAACCUGAGGUGAGCACGCCUGCUCCUCCCUCUCCCCUACCUUUGCCUAGGGUUUCUUUAUAUUUUAGUUGCAUCAAAUUAAUUAGUUAGGGUUCAUGUAAGAGUGGAAACAAAUCGGAUGCAGAUGCGGCUCAAAUGAGUUAGGGUUCAUGUAAGGGUGGAAACGAAUCAAAUUUCUAAGAUGAAUCAUAAAAUGAGUAAAAUUUGACCACUUAUUUCACUUUAUAAUUGGAUAAUUGGAAUAUCCGCUACCACUUUCCACCCCUAUAGGUUCAUCAAAUUAGAUGGUAAUUAGGGCAGUAGUUCCUAGGUACUAAUUAGUUAGUAAGAACUAGGUACUAAUUAGGUACUAGAAUAUUUUUAUUUAUAGUAAGUUUAUUUUUAGUAAGAACUAGUUGAAUUAAUAUAACUAGUUAGUAAGACUUGUUGCUAUUUUUUAGUUAAAGCAAUUUUUCCCGCCUCAACGUGGACGAUGCCUAUCCCGCAUCCUCGUCAUCGAGUCGGCGGAGGACGACACCUGCUUGACCAGGUGGGCCAUGUCCGGGACUGGGCUCCGCCGGGGUGGUACUGGGAGGCGCUACCUAACGGGGAGCGCAGGUUGGUGAGGAGCCAGCCUGUCGUUGACCCGAACCUUCUUUGGUGGCGGUCGCGUGGGCCAGUGACAGUCCAGAGGCUCGAGGACUCCGCGGAGGUGGUGCGUCACCGUGUCAGUGAGGAGGACGCGCACGUCCGUCGCUACUUGUUUGCGUUGGAGCACAGGUUCUCCAAUACCUGGCAGGUUCUCCAGGGAUUUCACUGGAGCUAUGAUCCCGUGAUGGUUCCUUUUCUGCGGGUGUCCACUGCCCGCGCCGGUACCCAUCGUGUGCUAGGGUUUUAGUUGUAUUAGUGAUGUUAUAUGUAUGACACUAUUCGUGAUGUAUUAGUGAUAAUAUUUGACGAUGUACGAACACAUGAGAUGAUUUACUUUUGCUUAUUGAAUGCAUGUUAAUUUGAGUCCUAUAAGAUAUUUUGAAAUGUAUAUCUUGUGUUGCUCAAUAUCAAAGUGGCCGGUCAUGUUUGCAGGUUACUCCUCCGAGUGGCCUAUGUUUUGCCGGAGUGUUGAUUCAUUUCCGUUCCGGCAAAUUUCGGGCGCUCGAUAUGUGCUAUUUUUGCAAAGGUCAUGCCGGAUUUUUCCGUGAAUUUUGGCAUGAUUUGUGCCAGAAUAUGUAGGAAAUAUCGAGUGCCCCGGAUUUGUGUGUUGAGUAUCCUGGUAGUUGUUUUCGAUCGGUUUUCAAUUAAUGUUUUAACUGUGAACAUAGGAAAUGUCUGACGACGAAAAGGAUUUCGGUAUUUGCAAAUACUGCGAAGACGAGCGCGGCCUGUGCGACGGAAUCUUCCUAGAUGAUGAUAGACACUUCAGCAUCAAGCUGGACGAGAACUUCGAAGUGGAUACAGUAAGUCACAACGACAAGUCUUUUUUCGUAAUUAAGCAUGACAUUUGCUUCAUUUGCUUCAACUUAUAAUUUAAGCAUGACAUUAAGCAUGACAAGUCUUUUUUUACUAUUCUACUAGCGUAUCCCCUGCCAUGCAAGAGUUUUUGUAUUGGAUAAGAUAGGUUUCAGUCGUACUAUGGAGGAAAAGAAAAUUUUACUUGAAGACCGAGCAUGGUUAUAUUUUCAACGUAAAAUUAUACAAUUCAGACGACUACACCUAUUUUGGAUGCAAAACAUGGCGAGCACUAUGCAAGACUUAUGCAUUUGAGCCUGAUAUGGUUAUCACCUUUGAUAUUCGUCCGGAAGAUGAUAUUGAAGGUAAUACCGACAUCUGGGUCGAUGUGCAGACGCUUCUAGUUAUACCAUUAUGUAAGUUUCUCAACCAUAUUUAUGUCUCUGAUAUUGUUUAUUCAAAAAUAGUUGACAACUAAUUUGUAUUGUCAGCUUAUUUUGGUGCAAGCAAACAUGUCCAGCGCUUGAUAGACAGGACCGUAUACUGUCCCGGAGCUGAACUCAACUACGAGGAGCUCAGUCAUUAUGUUUCAUGGCUUGAGGAUCUUGAUACUGUCAAGACAAAUUUUCUUCCUGCAUUUAGAAAUGUUAGUACUGAAAAUGUGCGACCAAUAGUGUUCGUAAUGAACUACGGUCACAUCUAUUUAGGAAGGAUGGUAAGAUUUUUACUAUUUGUCCACAGUGCAUCUUUUCCAUACAUUAUUUGAAGGUAAACUUCAUUGCUAAGUAUGUUACCAUACGAUGUUCUUCAACAGGGACUCCCGAUGAAUGUUGUGCCUUAUGGGAUCGAGACUAAAGGUAACAUGAGUAUUAUCAGCUUACGGCCAAGAUAUCCUACAGAUUACUUUAGUUCAUUCAAGAUUAGCGACGGAUGCUUAAUAGUGCAAGACUGGACCAAAUAUGUGAUGGGGGAGCGUAGAGAAGUACUAGGGGGCAGCAAACAGAUGCGCUACCCAUGAUUAGGAGACAGGUUCAUCUGCAUGCUCCAACUUGAUCAAGGAGGAGAGCUAUACAUGUUUUAUGUUAUUUUACCUAAGAGAGAGCAGCAGGAGUGCUUAGCUAGCUAGAAAUGAGUUUGAGGAUGAUGAUGUGCUACACUAUUACUAUGAUGAUAAAAUAGCUAGUGUUGGUGGUAAUGACUAUGAUGAUUAUUAUUAGCUAGUGUUAGUGGUGAUUAAAUAAAUAUUGUUGGUGGUAAUGACUAUGAUGAUGAUUAAAUAGCUUGUGCUGGCGGAUUAGAUUCAAGUGGAAGCAACAUGUGGUGCACAUCAAAAGUACUACUAGUCCAAACUAGAUCAAGUUUGGAUUAGUAGUAUACUUUUGACAUGCACCACAUAUUGCCUCCACUUGAACCUAAUCCACCUUCAUUUGGCACAUUGUUAUGGACAUAAUGAUGUAAACCUCAUAAUUGGUAUUGUACCAAUAUUUGUACGAUGGCGCAUAAAUACACUAAAAAUAAAAAAUUAAAAAAGAAUACUAGUAGCGAUGGAGAGAAAACACGCUGCCAGUAGUUACAUUAGCAGUAGCGUGGGAGUGAACAAACGUUGCAGCUAUUUAUACUAGCAGUAGCGCGUGCGGGCACGCGUUACUGCUAAGCAAUAGCUGUAGCGCCUUAUUAGUAGCGCGCCUACCCGCGCUACUAGUGAGCACAAAACCAGCGCUACUGCUAGGGUUUUCCCUAGUAGUGACACUAUGCCUUUCGGGCUUAAAAAUGCCGGCGCAACCAAUCAACGCAUGAUUCAAACAUGCCUGGAGAAGUAAAUCGGCAAAACAGUGGAGGCAUAUGUGGACGACGUGGUCAUAAAAACAAGACACGUCGAAACCUUAAUAGAUGACUUGAGACUUACAUUCGACAACCUCCGAACAUACGACAUCAAGCUAAACCCGGAAAAAUGUGUUUUUGGGGUACCCUAUAGGAAGUUGCUCGGCUUCAUCGUUUCCAAUAGAGGAAUCGAAGCAAGUCCGGCAAAAAUCCAAGCUCUGUCACUGUUGGCUAUCCCAACAGACCUCAAGCAUAUCCAGAAACUAGCUGGAUGUGUGGCUACCUUAAGCCGCUUUAUCUCCCGAUUAGGAGAAAAGGCACUACCUCUUUACCGCCUUCUUCGACGCACCGAACACUUCGUGUGGACGGAUGCAGCUGCGGCCAGACUGGAUGAAUUAAAGACCCUAUUGGCUAGUAAUCAUGUGCUGACAGUGCCAAAUAUUGGCGAACUUAUGCUACUGUACAUAGCUGCAACACAUCAAGUUGUCAGCGCAGUGCUCGUCGUCGAACGAGAAGCAGACGGAUACAAAUUCCCGCUCCAAAAGCCGGUAUAUUACGUGUCCACUCUCCUCACCCCAUGCAAAUCCCGAUACCCACACUAUCAAAAGAUAGCAUACGCGGUCUUCAUGGCAUCCCGGAAGCUACGACACUACUUCCAGGAGUGUUCAAUUACGGUGACCUCCGAAGUACCACUCAACGACAUAAUAAACAACCGUGACGAAACAGGAUGGAUUGCUAAAUGGGCCAUCGAGCUCCUUCCGUUCGACAUAACAGACAAACCACGGCGGGCCAUUAAGUCGGAAGUAUUGUGUCACGCCCAAUAUGCGACCCUAUCCAAAAGGAACUCGAAGGUCCCACCAAGGAUAGACCCGCAUAUUGAGACGCUUUUGCAAGGUGGAUAUCAUUACAUCAACAUUACAUAAUAGAUGGGGAUACAUCCAAAACAUACAAUGUCACAUGAAUACAACAAUACAACAUACAAGAACAACAUCCGACUACGGAUGAAUCAUAAACAGAAACUCAAACAAUAUCCACCCUGCUAGCCCAGGCUGCCGACCUGGAACCUAUCCCCUGAUCGAAGAAGAAGCAGAAGAAGAACUCCAAACAAGCAAACAUCGCUCUCGCGUCAAGAACAUCACAUAACCUGUACCUGCAACUGUUGUUGUAGUAAUCUAUGAGCCACGAGGACUCAGCAAUCCCAUUACCAUGGGUAUCAAGACUAGCAAAGCUUAAUGGGAAAGGAAGGGGUAAAGUGGUGAGGUUGCAGCAGCGACUAAGCAUGAUAUGGUGGCUAAGCAUACGCAAAUAAGAGUGAGAAGAGAAGCAAAGGAAUGGUCGUGAAGCUAGCAAUGAUCAAGAGGUGAUCCUGAACUCCUACUUACGUCAAUCAUAACACAGAAACCGUGUUCACUUCCCGGACUCCGCCGAGAAGAGACCAUCACGGCUACACACGCGGUUGAUGCGUUUUAUUUCGGAUCUGGUGUCAAGUUAUCUACAACCGGACAUUAACAAAUUCCCAUCUGCCACAUAACCGCGGGCACGGCUCUCGAAAGUUUAUACCCUGCAGGGGUGUCCCAACUUAGCCCAUGACAAGCUCUCGCGAUCAACGAAGGAAUAGACCUUCUCCCAGGAAGACCCGAUCAGUCUCGGAAUCCCGGUUUACAAGACAUUUCUACAAUGGUAAAACAAGACCAGCAAAGCCGCCCGAUGCGCCGACAAUCCCGAUAGGAACUGCACAUAUCUCGUUCUCAGGGCAACACCGGAUAAGUCAAGCUACGAGUAAAACCAGACUUCGAGUUUCCCCGAGGUGGCCCCGCAGGUUGCUCGUUUCAGACCAACACUUAGAUAAGCACUGGCCCGGGGGGGGCUAAAAUAAAGAUGACCCUUGGGUUAAUUACUCCCAAGGGAAAGGUAGGUGGUGGUGAGGCAAAUGGUAAAACCAAGGUUGGGCCUUGCUGGACAAGUUUUAUUCAAAGCAAACUGUCAGGGGGGUCCCAUAAAUCACCCGACCGCGUUUGGAACGCAAAUCCGGGAACAUAACACCGGUAUGACGGAAACUAGGGCUGCAAGAGUGGAACAAAACACCAGGCAUAAGGCCGAGCCUUCCACCCUUUACCAAGUAUAUAGAUGCAUUAAUAAUAUAAGAGAUAUUGUGAUAUCCCAACAAAACCCUGUCCACCAUGGAGAAAUCUUCAACUUCACCUGCAACUAGCAAUGCUAUAAGAGGGGCUGAGCAAAAGCGGUAACAUAGCCAAUCAAUGGUUUGCAAAGGAAAGGUGUCAAAGGUUAGAGGUUCAUGGCAAUAUGGGAUGGCUUGCAGAGCAAAUGAUAGGUUACGCAGCAUAGCGAUAGAACGAAGCAACUAGCAUAGCAAUGAUAGUAGUGAGAUCCAGGGUAGCAGUCAUCUUGCCUGAAAUCCCGCAAGGAAGAAGAACGAGUCCAUGAAGAAGAUGAAGCCACGAAGACGAACCAAGCGUAGACGAACGCAUCCUCACGAUCGCAACGAAACGGGAACUAUCGAGAAGAAGCACACAACAUAGUAAACACACCACACAUGAACAAGACAUGAUGCACAACAAGCAUGAUGCAUGACAAAGCUACAUGAAGCUACUCAUGGCAAGAGAUGAUGCAAACAAGAACAACACAUCAAGGCAAGUUUGAAUGAGGCCGGAAACAACAUAUAACAAUUCCGGUAAGUCCUCAUAUGCAAAUUUCGAAAUUGGUCCAGAUCUGAACAAACCUUAUGUUCAAGUAGUUAAACAUCAAGUUAAGAUGCACCAAGAUGAUCUACACGAAAUUCUAAUCAAGUUACAUAUGAAGUUCAUUAGAUUCGGAGCUACGACCUAGAAGAUAUGAGCAAAACAAGUUAGGCAUGGCAUUGAUGCAAAAUGCAUACAAACAUCAAGCAAACACACCAAAACAAGGAUGCAACAUGGUAAUAUGAAACUACAUGCAAAAUCAAGCAAGUUUCAUAUAGAGCACACUCAAAACGGAGCAACGGUGCAACACAUACACACUAUGCAAGUCAUAACAACAAUCUGUCCAAAACAGCAACUAGGCAUAUUGCAAGCAUCAAAACAAUAUGCUACAGCACCCCAACAUAAUAACAAAAGGCAUGGGCAUGAAGUACUGGUAAAGGACAACAAAACAUGAACACUGAGCUAUCUCCAGAAACAACUAGAACAUGCUCAAAAAGACAUGGUAAGAUUGCAAAUAAUAACAGUUUCAGACGUUAGCAGAAAUAACAUCAGGUUGCAAUGUUUAGAGCUAUCAAACAACAUGUUACAGGAACUUAUCAUGGCAAACAAAGACAUGGCAUGAAUCUACUAAAAGCAUAGAUCAAAAGUCCCUUACUGGCCAUGAGCCAAAAAGGAUCAGAAAAUAUGAUGGCACCCAUGUAAACAGCGCAAGUUAUAUUACAGAUUCAUACAUGGUAGGAACAACAAUAAGUAGGCAUGUUGGUGAGCUUGAACCACUCAUCAAAGAGCAAUACAUGGCAUGGCAAGGCAACCAAUAGUAAUAAGACAUGCUUAUGAAGCUAAGCAUGGCAAUAGCAAGUUCAUAGGGUUCAUGGAUCACUAGGAAACAAUCAUGGAAACAUUGAACUUAAUGUUAACAGGCUGACAGCAACAUUUUCAAGCAACUUUGGAGCAAGAUAUGAACAAUCUACAACAAGCUAUAAUUGCAACCAAGGGCAUGAAUGGAUAUAGUAAGACAUGUAUAUCAAAACAUGUUUAUAGAACAUCUUCAUAUUAUGCAUAGAAUGAUUAGUAGAAGCAUGUUAACAUAGCAACAAAAUAUAACAGAAUCUGUCAGGAAAACAGCAACAGCAACUACCCUACUUAGCAAGCUUGAUACACUCAGCACACAACUCACAAAAAUACAUGGUUAACACCUCUGGAAAGAUGGCAUAGCAUAGAUCAACAUACAUGUAGACAUCAACCUCAUAGGAUGCACACAUCAAUCAUGGCAAAAAUGAUAAAUGAGCAACUUAUAAAAGUUUCAGCAGGUUAACAUCAACAUGCACUCUUCCAACAGCAUUUCAGGCACCAAGAUGAGCUCAAAUGAAAAUGAUGCAAUGGAAUGAAAUGAAGCACUCUUCGAGGCGAACAAUUUGACAUAUUAUAUGCACGAAACGGAGCUACGGAUGCAGAGAUGCAGCAGGUCAAACAUGGCAUGAAAAUAUUACAGAAAUCCGGGGACUUAGGCAUUUUUUUACUUCCUGGAAAAGUCAACCCGGGACGGAGGCGUUCCGGGAUGGAGCGGAUCUGGACACGCGGGAGUGUUUGAUUCAGGGGUCGGGUGGAUCUGAUCCAGAUCCGGACGGAGAUGGGUCCGGCGGCGGCGGCUCGCCGGAGUUUCGCCGGAGACGGGGCGGCACGGCGAGGGGGCGCCGGAGCUUGAGGGGACGGCGCGGGGCGGCGCCGCUCGGUGCGGGGGCACAGAGGAGAGCGCGGGCAGCGGCUCGGGCCGGUGCCNNNNNNNNNNNNNNNNNNNNNNNNNNNNNNNNNNNNNNNNNNNNNNNNNNNNNNNNNNNNNNNNNNNNNNNNNNNNNNNNNNNNNNNNNNNNNNNNNNNNNNNNNNNNNNNNNNNNNNNNNNNNNNNNNNNNNNNNNNNNNNNNNNNNNNNNNNNNNNNNNNNNNNNNNNNNNNNNNNNNNNNNNNNNNNNNNNNNNNNNNNNNNNNNNNNNNNNNNNNNNNNNNNNNNNNNNNNNNNNNNNNNNNNNNNNNNNNNNNNNNNNNNNNNNNNNNNNNNNNNNNNNNNNNNNNNNNNNNNNNNNNNNNNNNNNNNNNNNNNNNNNNNNNNNNNNNNNNNNNNNNNNNNNNNNNNNNNNNNNNNNNNNNNNNNNNNNNNNNNNNNNNNNNNNNNNNNNNNNNNNNNNNNNNNNNNNNNNNNNNNNNNNNNNNNNNNNNNNNNNNNNNNNNNNNNNNNNNNNNNNNNNNNNNNNNNNNNNNNNNNNNNNNNNNNNNNNNNNNNNNNNNNNNNNNNNNNNNNNNNNNNNNNNNNNNNNNNNNNNNNNNNNNNNNNNNNNNNNNNNNNNNNNNNNNNNNNNNNNNNNNNNNNNNNNNNNNNCGGGCCCAGCUUGGGCCCCGCGGGCCGGCGGCGGUGGGAGGCGGCGGCGCAUCACGUGGCGGACGCCGGUUCGCCGGGCACGGCGGCGGACGUGUCCAGCGCGGAUCGGACGUGUCCGGCGGCGCGGAGAGGAGCGGGGCUAGGGUUAGGGUGGAAAUGAUCCGGGAUUUUUGGAGGGGGAGACCUAUUUAUAGGUAGAGGGAGCUAGGAGAGUCCAAAUGAGGUGCGGUUUUCGGCCACGCGAUCGUGAUCGAACGACCGAGAGCAUGGAGGGGGUUAAGAUGGGUUUUGGGCCACUUUGGAAGGGGUGUUGGGCUGCAACAAAAGAGGCUUCUACGGUUACCCGGUUAACCGUUGGAGUCUCAAACGACCUCCAAAUGGCACGAAACUUGACAGGCGGUCUACCGGUGCUAUACCAAGGCCGCUUGGCAAACCUCGGGCCAUUCCGAGAAAGUUUAACACCAGCACACGAAAAGAGACAAGAGGGGGACGCCGGAGGACAUAGAAGUGCCGGAUUGCAAAACGGACAACGGGGAAAAGGCUCGGAUGCAUGAAACGAACACGUAUGCAAAAUGAAAUGCACAAGAUGACAUGAUAAAAUGCAACACGCAAGCAAAUGGCAUGGCAAUGACGGCGAAUAACUGGCGGACACCUGGCGCAACGAAUCCGGGGCGUUACAACACUCCUCCACUAACAAGAGAUCUCGUCCCGAGAUCUUAGGACCGAGACGGAAGAGAAAAAGGAUGAGGUGAAACAAGAACUCAAGAGAAGAAGCCAAGAAUUGAGAGCACUUGAGAAGAAGAGAGGAACAACGAGAAUGACGAGAAUCGAAAGCUCACGGAAUCAGAUAGACUAUGAAAUCACUCGUGACAUACUCCGGAUGGAUGAAAAAGAAUUGCACGACUGGAAACAAUUUGAUAGGAUAACAUCGUGCUAGCACCGCGAAUCUCCGGGGAACAGACAAGAUUUAGAGGAAAAACUCUUCUUCGGUCUUCAAACGACGACGAGAAACACCGCCAAAAUUACUGAGGUACUCCGGGAGAAUGAAAAGCGAAGAGGUUGAGCCAACAAUGAAAAGAAUUUGAAAGCGAUCUUGGAGAAGGCAUGUGACUGAUGAAAUUUAUUCUUACGUCACACUUGAAAAGAAUUGAGAAUAACUCCGGGGAAUUAGAAGAGUCAGGUAAGAUCCUGGAAAAAGACCUGUGGGUUAGGGCCCACUAAAGGAACACCGAUGGAAAGGAUUGUUGAACAGAUAGAUGAUGCACCGGAACAAUUGAAAUAUUUGAAUGAGGUGACAACCUCGAAUUAAUUGGAACACAGACGAAUCUCCUGAGAUGUCUUGAACACUCCAGAAGGAUAAACUGGCGAGAGGCGAACGAGCAAGGGGAAAACAUUUGAGCCGAGGAAAAGAAUACGAUCAACACCGAAAAACUUGAAUUGAGUCCACCGGAGAAGAAAAAGAGAUGAAGAAUGACGAACGAGACGAGAAUUCACCGGUAGAAAUAAUUGAGGGAAGACUGAAGAGACUCCGUACGAAUGAAAUAGAUGGUCGAGAGGGAGUCAGACUCCAGGAAGAAGAGGGUGGGAGGGCGGGAAAAGCAGAGGCAACUUGGAAGGGGAAAUCGACGACUAUCUUGAAGAGAAAACAGUGGUUGAAAUAAUUGAGGAAAGGAAGCAAAGACUUCGCACGAGUAGGAUGGAUACUCGAUUACGGACUCCGGCUCCGAGAAGGAAAAGGUGUGGGCGGGUGGGAAAAACAAAGACAACUUCGGACAGGGAAAAACAACGAUGUCGAAAAGAGCCGAGGAUUGAUCUCGCGAAAGACAAAGAGGUUCGAGUCGACUUGACGAGAGAUGCACCGGAUGAAAAGAGCUGAGAACCAACUAUCGGAAAACCAACUGCGUGAUCCUAAAGAAAAAUUUGAAGGGGAAGAGGAGUAGUUCAAAACACCUACGUCAAGAUUCCUCACCAGAGCGACGAAGGGGCAGAGGAAUAAAAAGAAUUCCUACUCUCCGAUAUAACUAGACUCAGAAAACAGUUUUCUUCUAGACUCAACAGCAGCCAAACUACACGAUCAAUCAAGGGGGGCUCCUAAGGUCGGUCGAGGCUCUGAUACCAACUUGUCAUGCCCAAUAUGCGACCCUAUCCAAAAGGAACUCGAAGGUCCCACCAUGGAUAGACCCGCAUAUUGAGACGCUUUUGCAAGGUGGAUAUCAUUACAUCAACAUUACAUAAUAGAUGGGGAUACAUCCAAAACAUACAAUGUCACAUGAAUACAACAAUACAACAUACAAGAACAACAUCCGACUACGGAUGAAUCAUAAACAGAAACUCAAACAAUAUCCACCCUGCUAGCCCAGGCUGCCGACCUGGAACCUAUCCCCUGAUCGAAGAAGAAGCAGAAGAAGAACUCCAAACAAGCAAACAUCACUCUCGCGUCAAGAACAUCGCAUAACCUGUACCUGCAACUGUUGUUGUAGUAAUCUGUGAGCCACGAGGACUUAGCAAUCCCAUUACCAUGGGUAUCAAGACUAGAAAAGCUUAAUGGGAAAGGAAGGGGUAAAGUGGUGAGGUUGCAGCAGCGAGUAAGCAUGAUAUGGUGGCUAAGCAUACGCAAAUAAGAGCGAGAAGAGAAGCAAAGGAACGGUCGUGAAGCUAGCAAUGAUCAAGAGGUGAUCCUGAACUCCUACUUACGUCAAUCAUAACACACAAACCGUGUUCACUUCCUGGACUCCGCCGAGAAGAGACCAUCACGGCUACACACGCGGUUGAUGCGUUUUAUUUCGGAUCUGGUGUCAAGUUAUCUACAACCGGACAUUAACAAAUUCCCAUCUGCCACAUAACCGCGGGCACGGCUCUCGAAAGUUUAUACCUUGCAGGGGUGUCCCAACAUAGCCCAUGACAAGCUCUCGCGAUCAACGAAGGAAUAGACCUUCUCCCAGGAAGACCCAAUCAGUCUCGGAAUCCCGGUUUACAAGACAUUUCAACAAUGGUAAAACAAGACCAGCAAAGCCGCCCGAUGCGCCGAUCAUCCCGAUAGGAUCUGCACAUAUCUCGUUCUCAGGGCAACACCGGAUAAGUCAAGCUACGAGUAAAACCAGACUUCGAGUUUCCCCAAGGUGGCCUCGCAGGUUGCUCGUUUCGGACCAACACUUAGACAAGCACUGGCCCGGGGGGGGGGCUAAAAUAAAGAUGACCCUUGGGUUAAUUACUCCCAAGGGAAAGGUAGGUGGUGGUGAGGCAAAUGGUAAAACCAAGGUUGGGCCUUGCUGGACAAGUUUUAUUCAAAGCGAACUGUCAGGGGGGUCCCAUAAAUCACCCGACCGCGUUUGGAACGCAAAUCCAGGAACAUAACACCGGUAUGACGGAAACUAGGGCUGCAAGAGUGGAACAAAACACCAGGCAUAAGGCCGAGCCUUCCACCCUUUACCAAGUAUAUAGAUGCAUUAAUAAUAUAAGAGAUAUUGUGAUAUCCCAACAAAACCCUGUCCACCAUGGAGAAAUCUUCAACUUCACCUGCAACUAGCAACGCUAUAAGAGGGGCUGAGCAAAAGCGGUAACAUAGCCAAUCAAUGGUUUGCAAAGGAAAGGUGUCAAAGGUUAGAGGUUCAUGGCAAUAUGGGAUGGCUUGCAGAGCAAAUGAUAGGUUACGCAGCAUAGCGAUAGAACGAAGCAACUAGCAUAGCAAUGAUAGUAGUGAGAUCCAGGGUAGCAGUCAUCUUGCCUGAAAUCCCGCAAGGAAGAAGAACGAGUCCAUGAAGAAGAUGAAGCCACGAAGACGAACCAAGCGUAGACGAACGCAUCCUCACGAUCGCAACGAAACGGGAACUAUCGAGAAGAAGCACACAACAUAGUAAACACACCACACAUGAACAAGACAUGAUGCACAACAAGCAUGAUGCAUGACAAAGCUACAUGAAGCCACUCAUGGCAAGAGAUGAUGCAAACAAGAACAACACAUCAAGGCAAGUUUGAAUGAGGCCGGAAACAACAUAUAACAAUUCCGGUAAGUCCUCAUAUGCAAAUUUCGAAAUUGGUCCAGAUCUGAACAAACCUUAUGUUCAAGUAGUUAAACAGCAAGUUAAGAUGCACCAAGAUGAUCUACACGAAAUUCUAGUCAAGUUACAUAUGAAGUUCAUUAGAUUCGGAGCUACGACCUAGAAGAUAUGAGCAAAACAAGUUAGGCAUGGCAUUGAUGCAAAAUGCAUACAAACAUCAAGCAAACACACCAAAACAAGGAUGCAACAUGGUAAUAUGAAACUACAUGCAAAAUCAAGCAAGUUUCAUAUAGAGCACACUCAAAACGGAGCAACGGUGCAACACAUACACACUAUGCAAGUCAUAACAACAAUCUGUCCAAAACAGCAACUAGGCAUAUUGCAAGCAUCAAAACAAUAUGCUACAGCACCCCAACAUAAUAACAAAAGGCAUGGGCAUGAAGUACUGGUAAAGGACAACAAAACAUGAACACUGAGCUAUCUCCAGAAACAACUAGAACAUGCUCAAAAAGACAUGGUAAGAUUGCAAAUAAUAACAGUUUCAGACUUUAGCAGAAAUAACAUCAGGUUGCAAUGUUUAGAGCUAUCAAACAACAUGUUACAGGAACUUAUCAUGGCAAACAAAGACAUGGCAUGAAUCUACUAAAAGCAUAGAUCAAAAGUCCCUUAAUGGCCAUGAGCCAAAAAGGAUCAGAAAAUAUGAUGGCACCCAUGUAAACAGGGCAAGUUAUAUUACAGAUUCAUACAUGGCAGGAACAACAAUAAGUAGGCAUGUUGGUGAGCUUGAACAACUCACCACAGAGCAAUACAUGGCAUGGCAAGGCAACCAACAGUAAGAAGACAUGCUUAUGAAGCUAAUCAUGGAAAUAGAAAGUUCAUAGGGUUCAUGGAUCACUAGGAAACAAUCAUGGAAACGUUGAACUUAAUGUUAACAGGCUGACAGCAACAUUUUCAAGCAACUUUGGAGCAAGAUAUGAACAAUCUACAGCAAGCUAUAAUUGCAACCAAGGGCAUGAAUGGAUAGAGUAAGACAUGUAUCAAAACAUGUUUAUAGAACAUCUCCAGAUUAUGCAUAGAAUGAUUAGUAGAAGCAUGUUAAUAUAGCAACAAAAUAUAACAGAAUCUGUCAGGAAAACAGCAACAACAACUACCCUACUUAGCAAGCUUGAUACACUCAGCACACAACUCACAAAAAUACAUGGUUAACACCUCUGAAAACAUGGCAUAGCAUAGAUCAACAUACAUGUAGACAUCAAACUCAUAGGAUGCACACAUCAAUCAUGGCAAAAAUGAUAAAUGAGCAAGUUAUAAUAGUUUCAGCAGGUUAACAUCAACAUGCACUCUUCCAACAGCAUUUCGGGCACCAAGAUGAGCUCAAAUGAAAAUGAUGCAAUGGAAUGAAAUUAAGUACUCUUCGAGACGAACAAUUUGACAUAUUAUACGCACGAAACAGAGCUACGGAUGCAGAGAUGCAGCAGGUCAAACAUGGCAUGAAAAUAUUACAGAAAUCCGGGGACUUAGGCAUUUUUUUACCUCCGGGAAAAGUCAACCCGGGACGGAGCGGAUCUGGACACGCGGGAGUGUUUGGUUUGGGGGUCGGGUGGAUCUGAUCCAGAUCCGGACGGAGACGGGUCCGGCGGCGGCGGCUCGCCGGAGUUUCGCCGGAGACGGGGCGGCGCGGCGAGGGGGCGCCGGAGCUUGAGGGGACGGCGCGGGGCGGCGCCGCUCGGUGCGGNNNNNNNNNNNNNNNNNNNNNNNNNNNNNNNNNNNNNNNNNNNNNNNNNNNNNNNNNNNNNNNNNNNNNNNNNNNNNNNNNNNNNNNNNNNNNNNNNNNNNNNNNNNNNNNNNNNNNNNNNNNNNNNNNNNNNNNNNNNNNNNNNNNNNNNNNNNNNNNNNNNNNNNNNNNNNNNNNNNNNNNNNNNNNNNNNNNNNNNNNNNNNNNNNNNNNNNNNNNNNNNNNNNNNNNNNNNNNNNNNNNNNNNNNNNNNNNNNNNNNNNNNNNNNNNNNNNNNNNNNNNNNNNNNNNNNNNNNNNNNNNNNNNNNNNNNNNNNNNNNNNNNNNNNNNNNNNNNNNNNNNNNNNNNNNNNNNNNNNNNNNNNNNNNNNNNNNNNNNNNNNNNNNNNNNNNNNNNNNNNNNNNNNNNNNNNNNNNNNNNNNNNNNNNNNNNNNNNNNNNNNNNNNNNNNNNNNNNNNNNNNNNNNNNNNNNNNNNNNNNNNNNNNNNNNNNNNNNNNNNNNNNNNNNNNNNNNNNNNNNNNNNNNNNNNNNNNNNNNNNNNNNNNNNNNNNNNNNNNNNNNNNNNNNNNNNNNNNNNNNNNNNNNNNNNNNNNNNNNNNNNNNNCCCUGCUCGGGGCCCGCGGGCCGGCAGCGGUGGGAGGCGGCGGCGCAUCACGUGGAGGACGACGGUUCGCCGGGCGCGGCGGCGGACGUGUCCAGCGCGGAUCGGACGUGUCCGGCGGCGCGGAGAGGAGCGGGGCUAGGGUUAGGGUGGAAAUGAUCCGGGAUUUUUGGAGCGGGAGACUUAUUUAUAGGUAGAGGGAGCUAGGAGAGUCCAAAUGAGAUGCUGUUUUCGGCCACGCGGUCGUGAUCGAACGACCGAGAGCAUGGAGGGGGUUAAGAUGGGUUUUGUGCCACUUUGGAAGGGGUGUUGAGCUGCAACAAAAGAGGCUUCUGCGGUUACCCGGUUAACCAUUGGAGUCUCAAACGACCUCCAAAUGGCACGAAACUUGACAGGCGGUCUACCGGUGCUAUACCAAGGCCGCUUGGCAAACCUCGGGCCAUUCCGAGAAAGUUUAACACCCGCAUACGAAAAGAGACAAGAGGGGGACGCCGGAGGACAUAGGAGUGCCGGAUUGCAAAACGGACAACGGGGAAAAUGCUCGGAUGCAUGAAACGAACACGUAUGCAAAAUGAAAUGCACAAGAUGACAUGAUAAAAUGCAACACGCAAGCAAAUGGCAUGGCAACGACGGCGAAUAACUGGCGGACACCUGGCGCAAUGAAUCCGGGGCGUUACAUAUUGGCUAACUUUGUCACCGAAUGGACAGAAGUCAAACUCCCUAAAGAGUACGGCGCGUACUCUAAUUGGAUCAUGCAGUUUGAUGGCUCUAAAAUGCUGGCCGGAUUGGUAGCAGGUGUAGUCCUGACUUCCCCCACCGGAGACACGGUCCAAUAUGUACUCCAAAUAUUAUACACAGACUCCAACAACGCAGCCGAAUACAGGGCUCUGUUGCAUGGUCUUCGGAUGGCAGUCUCUAUGGGCAUCCAAUGCCUGGAGGUGCGAGGGGACUCAAACCUCGCAAUAUCACAAAUAAAUGGAGAUUUUGAUGCCAAGGAUCCGAAAAUGGCGGCCUACCGCAACACCAUCCUCAAAAUGUCAGCUCGGUUCGAGGGGCUCGAAUUCCACCAUGUGGCUCGAGAAAACAAUCAAGCAGCGGACAUCCUCACCCGCCUCGGCGCUAAACGCGACCCCGUCCCACCAAACAUAUUCCUGGAAAGGCUGUUCAAGCCAUCCAUGGUAUGGGAAGGGGAGUCCGGCAACAUUUUCCCAGAUCUGAAUACAACCCCAGAUUCCAAACCAUCUGAUGUAAUCGGCGGCUCCGCCACCGAAAUAACACCUUUGGCCAACGAAAUCAUGGCUGUAAUCUCCUCGUGGACCGAGCCUUUCAUGGCCUACCUAAAUAGGCAGGAGCUCCCCGAGGACCAAAAUGAAGCACGUUGUAUUGUGCGGCGUUCCAAGGCCUACAAAGUCCAUGAGGGAGAACUCUAUAAUAAAAGUGCAACCGGAGUGCUCCAAAGAUGCAUCUCCGAAGAGGAAGGGCGACAACUCUUGGCUAAAAUCCACGCCGGACUCGGCGGGCACCACGCUACGGCUCGGGCACUUGUCAGCAAGGCCUUCCGUACAGGUUUUUAUUUGCCGACAGCCCAAGCAGAUGCACAAGACCUUGUCCAACACUGCGUCGGUUGCUAGCUCUUUGCCAAUCACAGCCAUAUGCCCCCUAUCGCUCUCCAAACAAUCCCCAUUACGUGGCCCUUCGUGGUAUGGGGGCUGGAUAUGGUCGGACCCCUUAAAGGGGCAAGCCAUAAGAAAAAAUACUUAUUCAUCAUGGUGGACAAGUUCACCAAAUGGAUAGAAGCCAAACCAGUUAAAACGGCCGAAUCUGGCCAGUGAUAGACUUCAUAUCAGGGGUUGUACACCGUUACGGUGUCCCACACAGCAACAUCACUGACAAUGGCUCAAACUUCACAGCCGAUGAAGUGAAAACUUGGUGCGGCAACAUGGGCAUUAAGCUCGAUUACGCCUCCGUCUACCAUCCCCAAACAAACGGCCAGGUCGAACGUGCAAACGGUCUCAGCAUGAGCGGCAUCAAACCCAGACUAGUGCGGUCCUUGACAGAAUCGGACACGCCCUGGGUCGAGGAGCUCGACUCCGUACUUUGGGGGUUGCGGACCACGCCGAAUCGCACCACCGGAUACACACCAUUUUUUAUGGUGUACGACGCAGAAGCAGUACUACCCUGCGACAUAAUCCACGACUCACCUCGCGUGCGCAUGUACGAAGAGAAGGAAGCCGAGUUAGAUCGGCAGGACAACUUAGAUUCCCUAGAGGAGGAGCGCGAUGUUGCAAAAGCCCGUUCCGCAUUCUAUCAGCAGCAGGCUCGACGGUAUCAAAGUAGAGAAGUGCGGGCCAAAACUUAUAAUGUUGGCGAACUCGUUCUAUGCCUACCGGACAAGAAGAAGGACAAGCUCAAACCUAAGUGGGAGGGUCCCUUCAUUGUUGAUAAAGUUCUCACCGGAGGAGAGUACCGCCUGCGUAAUGCAUCCGAUAACAGACUCGAGCCGAACCAUGGAACGCGGCCAGACUCCGGAGAUUCUAUGCCUAGUGCCGAACUCAGUUUUCGUCUCCUUACCCCCGCUCUUUUAAUUAUGUUCCUCCCCUUUUUCCUUUCUCGCCCUUUUUCCCUUCUUCACACAAAGUAUUCAAUACAGUGCGGAUGCUUGGAUCACUCCGGCUGCACCAUGUGUGUAAACCAUACCUGGGGGCUUCCUAUACGGAAGCUAAAUAUAAUUACUUUCAUGGCUUCUUGCCUAUCACAUAUGCGUUCUUUUUCCAUAUAUGCCUUUUCUUCACCAUUAUAUGCAUCGAUAUGACUUAAGAUGUGGCCAUGCUGGGUUGCUUGGCUCUUGUGUUUAUGCCCUACGUUCCCGUUAAUUCGGCUAGGGCAAAGGGGAGCACCUCUACGAUUGUUACUGACGGUUCAGCCGGAUGUGUACCUCAGACUAGGUGAAGCAGAAAGCUAGCGUUCUUAAGGGCAUAUUCGGUCGGUGAACAAAAGAUAUUUCUUUCAUUUAUUACAACGUGAACCCCCAGAAGUUUUUUAUCCUGCGUUUCUGUUCGUAGCCCGGACAUGUAUAUCGGUGCAUGCAUACCCAGGGAAAGGAACCCCUAACGGAACUAUUCUCCCUGGAAGACGUUUCUUACUAUCCAUGUAAUAUAACAUAGCUAGUUGGGUACUUGUCUGUUCAAGCACUUAUGACCCCUAUGCCUGGUUUCCACGCAUAUCCCGGUUCUGCAUAACUGAGCGGGUAUUCGGAUACACCCUAGACUGUUGGAUCCAGGCGCUGAAGCAAAAAGGUCCGCCAUGACAAAUGAUUUUUAAUCCGGCUAGGGACUACAUAUAUCCAUUGAAUUACAUAGUCACUUGGACUGACUAUAUUCUUCCUCUAUACCGUCCAACAGGCUAUCUAGCUUGCAAUCCUGUUGGGAAUACUUUGCGGCUAACGCUACCUGGUCAUACACCAGACUCACGGGAAUUUCUUGCCCAUCUGGCCCCGCCGGUCCUACUUCGGCCAUAUGGUUCGGGUCAAGCUUGGUGUAGCGCGUCUUCACCAUGGCCCAGGCUUCCCUUGCACCUUGUCAGCAGGCUGACAUCUUCCACAACCGGAAGCAUCGCGGUGCUCCUUGGAGCAUAUCCACGAGCUCCCCCAUGCCUCUUGGAAGGGAAGUGGAUGGCAACAAGGCCUGGGCAAUACCCUGCAUCACCUGCCGAACUCGUUCGUGCAGCUGUGAGAGGUCUUGCAGUAAAUCGCCUGCGGACCCGAGCAUCUCCUCUUCAGGACGGCCCAUCAACAUACCUACAGAUAUAAACUCUUUUAAUAUGCUUCCUCACCUAGUUGUACUACAAUUCGUUUAGGCACUUACCAUAAAUGCCGCGAUGAAGCCUUCGGUUCUCCUUCAUGGAGUCCGCCAGCUGAGCUCGAACAUCUGAUAAUUCGACGCCCAGCCGGACAUUGGCAUCUUGGAGAUUGUUUUUCUCCCGCCUAACCUGCGUAAGCACACGCUCGCCAGCCUUCAGCUGUCUUUGGAGAUGCGACUCGCUAUCUCUUACGAUCUCCGGAUUCGUCCCGAGAUUGUCUGCAGAAUUUUCUGUUAGACUUAUGAUGCAAGCCAAUUGCUAACUGGUAUAUUCCUUUAAGAUUUCUCUAUUGAGACAAAUGUUACCAGAUGAGGCUUUCUGGGAUUCCCCUAGUUUGGCAACUGCGUCCCUCAGCUGGGUCUUGCACUCCUCCAACUCUUGAGACAAUUGGGUAUUCUUCUCUACAAGAAACUAUGCAUAAAAUGAUCCUUAAAUUAGUUGUUCCAACCGUUUCAAGUCCCAGGGGCUACUGCUAUACAUGCUUAUCAAAUUUCCUUACCCGUAUAUCUUUUGCAUACUGGUCCGUCGCUCGGGCCAGCCCGCCUUGAGCAGCUCGGAUGUAUGCAUCUCCCGAAUUGAAAGCAUUAAAUGCCUCUUCGGAAAAGAUGCUAUUGCAAAGUACGGCCCGUCGGCGCCGGUGAUUCAUGGCACUCUCUACUUCGGAAUUUGUGGCGGAGUGCAUAUCCACAUCCUCUAUCGGAGGACAAUUCCGCAUCGGCCCCGCAUCAGCCUCCUCUCUCGAAGCCGGUUCUGCAAUCCGGCUGGUAGAGGCGUGACCGGCAGGAUCUCCGGAUAUAGUCCGGCGACUCCUCUUUCUGCCAGAACACGAAGGACGCUGUUACAUUUCAAACACGAUAAUCACAGAGCAGGUUUUUGCCAUACCUCUGUAAUGGCAUUUUGGCCCUAACUGCCUUCCUCUUAAGCCUGCCUGACCCGGACGCCCUUUGCCGACGAGCCCCCAGGGGCUCGGCACCACGUUCCGAUGGUCGUCUCUAUAAAAAUACGAUAUUUUAUGCAUAAGGCAUGGUAUAAAAAGGAGUCCUCUUCAGAGGAUAAGGUUUCGGAUUUGCUUACACGCGAUGCAGGUAGCAGUCCGGGAUAGUCGGCGAUAAUAGCCACCGAGGCGCCAUCGCAGCCGGCCUGAUAAAAUGUCUCGUUGACAAGCUCCAUAGAUAUAUCCGGAUCUUCUUCAAGUCCUGGAUUGAAGGCCCUUCCAGGGUCCUCUGGCUGCGGGGAGGGGCUGUUGAAUCCUUCCACGGCCCUCCUCAGUUCCUGCCCAGAAAUAUCAAGGUGAAUGAUUGUGAUGAAGGGCGCCAGAAUGAAUAGAGUGGGGGAAAGAGUGAUGACUUACCAAGCUUGGGGGGUUGUACAUGGAAAAUCCAUCCCACGGUUUAAUACAAAGGAAUUCUUCUUCUUCUCCUUUAUACAAAUUAGACAGUAUUCUCGCCAGAGCAGUGGCGGAGUCCGGACCUUUACGACCACAGCGGGUGGCAUAAUCUUCCCCAUUGAAGUGCCACAUGGGCUACCCCUGAUAUUGAAGUGGCUGCACCCCCCGCAUUAUGCAUAUUGCUAUAACCUGGACUAUUGUCAGCCCUGAUUUGGCCAGUGUCUUUAUCCUGCUUAUCAAGAAGUGGACUUCUCUGGUAUCUUCCUAUUAGGGGCCCCGAGGGCGCCAACUUCGGCGUGUCUUCGGUGAAGCAUUAUUGAACUCAGGGAGGCCCGUCCAGAUUGGAUCCGGAAGGGGAAUGUCAUCAACAUAAAACCACUCCGAGGGCCAGUUUUCAGAUGCCUUCUUGGGAGUACUGGACAGGUAUCUGGUCUCGGCGACGCGCCAUAUUUCGGCUCCGCCCACUUGACAUAUGGAUUCCCCCUGGUUGCGAGGGACGAGGCAGAAUAACUUCUUCCAUAACUCGAAGUGAGCCUCGCAACCCGGAAAUAAUUCACAAAGGGCAACGUAUCCUGCGAUGUGCAGCACGGAGGCGGGGGUGAAGUUGUGCAACUGGAGGCCAUAGAACUCCAGGAGCCCGUGAAGGAAUGGGUGGAUUGGAAACCCGACGCCUCUUAGCAAAUAUGGGAUGAGGCAUACUCGCUCCCCCUGAGAUGGGAUAGGAAAUCUCUCCGCUUUCUCCCCGCCAUCAUAGGUGGCUAGUCCGGCUCGGACGGGGACCAUGAACGCCGGUGGAAGAAACCCUUGGGUCUGCAACUCUACUAAACGGCUAUAGGGAACAGAAGACUCUUCCCAAUCACCUGGCUUAGAGCUACAGGAGCGAGAAGAGGAGCUGCGGCGACCGGCCAUCUUGGAAUGGUUUUUUCCGGGCGCGAUCUGUUGGAUGCUUGCUCAAGGGAAGAAGGUGUGGUUUGGAUCUGAGGAUCCCCGUCUCUUCAAAUAGACGGUUAGCCUGCAGGGCCGGGGUGGCAAAUGUGAAAAUGCUCCGGCUCCUCGUAUUCGCUUGACACGUGGAGAUGGCCAUUAUUGAAGCACGGAAGCCGAGGAGUACAACAUUGAUGGGAAGCCGGACACUGUUUGUUACAAUAGGUACUUUGGAUUACGGAGAUGGAACCCGCCUUGCAAUGCUGAAGACAAUCUGCGCUCCGGACUCACCGUCAUUGAAGCCUGGUUCAGUGGCUACUGAGGGAGUCCUGGAUUAGGGGGUAUCCGGAUAGCCGGACUAUAUACUUUGGCCGGACUGAUGGACCAUGAAGAUACAAGACUCAAGACUUCGUCCCGUAGCCGGAUGGGACUCUCCUUUGCGUGGAGGACAAGCUUGGCGAUCCGGAUAUUAGAUCUCCUUCUUUGUAACCGACUCUAUGUAAACCCUAGCCCCCUCCGGUGUCUAUAUAAACCGGAGGGUUUAGUCCGUAGAGGAACAAUCAUAAUCAUCAUAGGCCAGCUUCUAGGGUUUAGCCUCUACGAUCUCGUGGUAGAUCAACUCCUCUAAUACUCAUAUCAUCAAGAUCAAUCAUGCAGGAAGUAGGGUUCUACCUCCAUCGUGAGGGCCCGAACCUGGGUAAAACAUCGUGUCCCCUGCCUCCUGUUACCAUUAGCCUUAGACGCACAGAUCGGGAACCCCUACCCGAGAUUCGCCGGUUUUGACACCGACAAGUUCCUCUCCUCAUCACCCACAAAACUGGUCUUUCCUGUCAAGUCAUUCCGCCAUGACCGGUAGGAGGAGUUUCGGGUGGACAUAUAACCAGGCAGCAAAGACCAAGGUCGUGGAAGCACUAGAGAGGUACCGCCGUGAAGCGGCAGCCAUGAUAACCCACAAGUAUAGGGGAUCGCAACAGUUUUCGAGGGUAGAGUAUUGAACCCAAAUUUAUUGAUUCGACACAAGGGGAGCCAAAGAAUAUUCUCAAAUAUUAGCAGUUGAGUUGUCAAUUCAACCACACCUGAAAGAUUUAAUAUCUGCAGCAAAGUAUUUAGUAGCAAAGUAGUAUGGAAGUAACGGUAACUGUGGCAAAAGUACCAGUAGCAGUUUUAUAGUAAUUGUAACAGCGGCAACGGUAAAGUAACUAAGCAAAGAUCAAUAUGUGAAAUGUUUUAGGCAUUGGAUCAGCGAUGGAUAACUAUGUCGGAUGCGAUUCCUCAUGUAGUUAUAACAUAGGGUGACAUAGAACUAGCUCCAGUUCAUCAAUGUAAUGUAGGCAUGUAUUCCGAAUAUAGUCAUACGUGCUUAUGGAAAAGAACUUGCAUGACAUCUUUUGUCCUACCCUCCCGUGGCAGCGGUGUCCUAUUGGAAACUAAGGGAUAUUAAGGCCUCCUUUUAAUAGAGUACCGGAUCAAAGCAUUAGCACUUAGUGAAUACAUGAACUCCUCAAACUACGUUCAUCACUGGGAGUGGUCCCGAUUAUUGUCACUUCGGGGUUGCAGGAUCAUAACACAUAGUAGGUGACUAUUGACUUGCAAGAUAGGAUCAAGAACUCACAUAUAUUCAUGAAAACAUAAUAGGUUCAGAUCUGAAAUCAUGGCACUCGGGCCCUAGUGACAAGCAUUAAGCAUAGCAAAGUCAUAGCAACAUCAUUCUUAGAACAUAAUGGAUACUAGGGAUCAAAACCUAACAAAACUAACUCGAUUACAUGGUAAAUCUCAUCCAAGCCAUCACCGUCCAGCAAGCCUACGAUGGAAUUACUCACGCACGAUGGUGAGCAUCAUGAAAUUGGUGAUGGAGGAUGGUUGAUGAUGAUAACGGCGACGGAUUCCCCUCUUCGGAUCUCCGAACGGACUCCAGUUCAGCCCUCCCGAGAGAGAUUAGGGCUUGGCGGUGGCUCUGUAUCGUAAAACGUGAUGAAUCCUUCUCUCUGAUUUUUUUCUCCCUGAACGUGAAUAUAUGGAGUUGGAGUUGAGGUCGGUGGAGCAUCAGGGGGCCCACGAGGUAAGGGGCACGCCCAGGGGGGUAGGCACGCCCCCACGCUCAUGGAUAGGGUGUGGGCCCCCUGGUCUUGAUUCUUUCGUCAGUAUUUUUUAUAAAUUCCAAAAGUAAUCUCCGUGAAGUUUCAGGUCAUUCCGAGAACUUUUAUUUCUGCACAAAAAUAACACCAUGGCAAUUCUGCUGAAAACAACGUCAGUCUGGGCUAGUUCCAUUCAAAUCAGGCAAGUUAUAGUCCAAAACAAGGGCAAAAGUGUUUGGAAAAGUAUAUACGAUGGAGACGUAUCAACUCCCCCAAGCUUAAACCUUUGCUUGUCCUCAAGCAAUUCAGUUGACAAACUGAAAGUGAUAAAGAAAAACUUUUACAAACUUUGUUUGCUCAUGUAGUUGUAAAUAUGUAAAGCCAGCAUUCAAAUUUUCAGCAAAAAUUACGAACUAACCACAUUCAAAAUAACAUCUAGGUCUCAUAUUUACUCCUAUCGAUGGCAUAAUCAACUAGCGAGCAAUAAUAAUAAAUCUCGGAUGACAACACUUUCUCAAAACAAUCAUAAUAUGAUAUAACUAGAUGGUAUCUCGCUAGCCCUUCCUGAGACCGCAAAACAUAAAUGCAGAGCACCUUUGAAGAUCAAGGACUGACUGGACAUUGUAAUUCAUGGUAAAAGAGAUCCAGUCAUAGUUAUACUGAAUAUAAAUUAAUAGUGAUGGAUGCAAAUGAUAGCGGUGCUCUACAAUUGGUGAUUUUUAAUAAGAGGAUGAUGACUCAAUAUAAAAGUAAAUAGAUAGGCCCUUCGCAGAGGGAAGCAGGGAUUUGUAGAGGUGCCAGAGCUCGAGUUUUGAAACAGAGAUAAAUAAUAUUUUGGGUGGCAUACUUUCAUUUCAACAUAACAACCAAGAGAUCUCGAUAUCUUCCAUGCUACACACAUUAUAGGCGGUUCCCAAACAGAAUGGUAAAGUUUACUCCCCCACCACCAACAAGCAUCAAUCCAUGGCUUACCCGAAAUAACGGAUGCCUCCAACUAACAACAAUUCUGGGGGAGUUUUGUUUGCAAUUAUUUUGGUUUGAGCAUGGGACUGGGCAUCCCGGUUACCGGCCAUUUUCUCGUGAGUAAGGAGUAGAGUCCACUCCUCGUGAGAAUAACCCACCUAGCAUGGAAUAUAUAGACAGCCCUAGUUGAUACAUGAGUUGUUCAAGCAUACAAAACAUAAUUUCAUUUGAGGGUUUAGAGUUUGGCACAUGCAAAUUUACUUGGAACGGCAGGUAAAUACCGCAUAUAGGAAGGUAUGGUGGACUCAUAUGGAAUAACUUUGGGGUUUAUGGAAGUGGAUGCACAAGCAGUAUUCCCCCUUAUUACAAGUGAAGGCUAGAAAGAGACUGGGAAGCGACCAACUAGAGAGCGACAACAGUCAUGAACAUGCAUUAAAAUUAAUCAACACUGAGUGCAAGCAUGAGUAGGAUAUAAAGCACCAUGAACAUAAAUAUCGUGGAGGCUAUGUUGAUUUUGCUUCAACUACAUGCGUGAACAUGUGCCAAGUCAAGCCACUCGAAUCGUUCAAAGGAGGAUACCACCCUAUCAUACCACAUCACAACCAUUUUAAUAGCAUGUUGGCACGCAAGGUAAACCAUUAUAAACUCCUAGCUAAUUAAGCAUGGCAUGAGCAACUAUAAUCUCUAAUUGUCAUUGCAAACAUGUUUCAUUCAUAAUAGGCUGAAUCGGGAAUGAUGAACUAAUCAUAUUUACAAAAACAAGAUAGGUCGAGUUCAUACCAGAUUCUCUCAUCUCAAUCAAACCAUCAUAUAUCGUCAUUAUUGCCUUUCACUUGCACGACCGAACAGUGUGGAUAAUAAUAAUAGUGCGCGUGCAUUGGACUAAGCUGGAAUCUGCAAGCAUUCAAUUCAAGGGAGAAGACAAGGUAAUAUGGGCUCUUGGUUAAAUCAAUAAUAAUGCAUAUGAGAGCCACUCAACAUUUUCAUCAUGGUCUUCUCCUCUCGACCCCCAAAGAAAAGAAAAGAAAUAAAACUAUUUACAUGGAAAGCUCCCAACAAGCAAAAGAAGAACGAAAAAUCUUUUUGGGUUUUCUUUUAAUUACUACUACUACAGGCAUGGAAAGUAAACUAGCUAAAAGCUAUAACUAUUUUUUUGGUUUUUCUUAAGGUUUUUCAAACACAAAAGAAGAAGGCUUAGAAAAGAAAAUAAUCUAGCAUGGAUAGUACAAUGAAAAAGUAUGAGCACCGACAACUAGAAUGAGUGUGUAAACAUGAAUGUAAUGUCGGUGAGGAAUACGUACUCCCCCAAGCUUAGGCUUUUGGCCUAAGUUGGUCUAUGGCCACUGCUGGCCUGGAGGAUAUCCAAAGUGGUAGUUGGGGUUCUACUGAGAUGCAGCAACUACUGCCUCAAGAGCUGCAGCUCUGAGACGAGCUGCCUCCGUCCUCCUCUCAUAUUCGUUCGCCUCCUCCCUAGUUAUAGCAUAUCUCCUUUUUGCCUGAAAGUCCAAGAAAGCAAGAACAGGAAGGGCAACAUGGACAGUGCGCUGUGUGUCAAAGAUUAGUCGGUAUUGGUUGGACUGUUCAUUCCUCUCAAGAAACUGAUGGCGAACCAUAGCACUAUAAUCUAGGUAAGCAGGAGGUAACUCUAUAUCAUUUUCAUGUAUGGGUACAUCAAGAUAAGUAGCUACACGAGUUGCAUAAAUUCCACCAAACAAAUCUCCACUUAUACCAUUGAGAUGCAACCUUCGUGCAACAAUGGCCCCCAAGUUAUAUUGUUUAUCACCUAAGACCGCACUCUUGAGGACACUAAGAUCUGGAACGCACAUAUGACAAGCUUCAUCUUUACCGUUAAUGCAUCUACCUAUAAAGAGAGCAUAAUGUAUGGAAGGAAAUGAAUGCUCCUAUGGUAGCUUGUGUGAUUUCUCUAGAUUUCCCCACAGUGAUACUAGCAAGAAAGUCUUUAUAUUCAGAUUAGCGAGGUUCACUAACACUGCCCCACUGCGGGAGUUUACAAGCAGUAUUAAAAUCUUCCAAGUCCAUGGUAUAUGAUUUAUCAUAAAGAUCAAAUAAAACAGUGUGAGAAUUGCAUGAGGAUGUAAAUUUAAACGUUCUCACAAAGGAAUCAGUUAGGUGGUAGUAUUGGGAGCACUUAUCUGACACGAAGUCCUCAAGAUCAGCAUUACGAACAUACGCGUCAAAUUCAUCCUUAAUGCCUACCUGGACCAUAAACUCCUCUGACGGCCAUUCACAAGACCGGACUUGAGCUUCCCUCGGUGGUUCAUAGUCCGGCUCACGUAUCGCGAGCCUUGGUCCUUGCUUUCUCAAGGAACCACCUUGGUAUGUUUUCCUAUGCAUUUUUCUUUCUCUGAAAAAUUCUGAAAUUUUAGUGAAUCAAAAUAAAAGUGAAGCAAACUCAACAAAAUUGAUAGCAACUAUUCCCACAAGUGCCUAAAGACUAUAUCAUGCAUUAAAACUACUUUGGGCCAUAUAAAUUUGACAUGCAAGCUCAAGAACAGGGUCACCUUAGCAGCAAAAAUUUGCAAUGAAUAAAGCACUAGAACAAAAACUAAUUGGACCAUUGGAGGAGUCACAUACCAAAGAACAAUCCCCCAAAAUAGUUUUGUGAAUGAAGCUUUGAGCAAGGAGAUCGAAAAUCGCAGCAAAACGAGCUAGGACACGAGUUUGAGCUGUGAGGGGAUUUUUUCUGGAGGAAGACGAAGUGUCUAGGUGCUGGAAUAAGUGGACGCAGGCCACAUGGGGCCCAUGAGGCAGGGGGCGCGCCCCAGGGGGGUGGGCGCGCCUUGGACCCCCGUGGCCAGGUGGUUGCUGAUACGUCUCCAACGUAUCUAUAAUUUUUUAUUGUUCCAUGCUAUUAUAUUACCCCUUUUGGAUGUUCAUGGGCUUUAUUUUACACUUCUAUAUCAUUUUUGGGACUAACCUACUAACCGGAGGCCCAGCCCAUAUUGAUGUUUUUUGCCAAUUUCAGUAUUUCGAAGAAAAGGAAUAUCAAACGGAGUCCAAACGGAAUGAAACCUUCGGGAACAUUAUUUUUGGAACAAAUCUUAUCCGGAGAGCCUGGAGUGCAAGUCAAGAAAGCUUCGAGGGCCCCACGACAUAGGAGGGCACCCCUCCCCCCUGUAGGGCGGGCCCCCCUAUCUCGUGGGCGCCUCGGGCGUCCACCGACGUACUUCUUCCUCCUAUAUAUGUCUACGUACCCCGAAAACAUCCAGGAGCACCACGAAACACAACUUCCACCGCCGUAACCUUCUGUAUCCGCGAGAUCCCAUCUUGGAGCCCUUACCGGCACUCUGCCGGAGGGGGAAGCAACCAUGGAGGGCCUCUACAUCAACAUCCUUGCCCCUCCGAUGAGUUGUGAGUAGUUUACCAUAGACCUACAGGUCCAUAGUUAUUAGCUAGAUGGCUUCUUCUCUCUUUUUGGAUCUCAAUACAAUGUUCUCCCCCUCUCUUGUGGAGAUCUAUUCGAUGUAAUCUCUUUUUGCGGUGUGUUUGUCGAGAUCCGAUGAAUUGUGGGUUUAUGAUCAAGUUUAUCUAUGAAUAAUAUUUGAAUCUUCUCUGAAUUCUUUUGUGUAUGAUUGAGUUAUCUUUGCAAGUCUCUUCGAAUUAUCAGUUUGGUUUGGCCUACUUGAUUGAUCUUUCUUGCCAUGGGAGAAGUGCUUAGCUUUGGGUUCAAUCUUGCGGUGUUCUUACCCAGUGACAGAAAGGGUUGCAAGACACGUAUUGUAUUGUUUCCAUCGAGGAUAACAAGAUGGGGUUUAUAUCAUAUUGCAUGUGUUUAUCCCACUACAUCAUGUCAUCUUGCUUAAUGCGUUGCUCUGUUCUUAAUGCGUUGAUUUUUCCCAAGACAACGCAGCCGAGAUGAGAAAUAUUCAAAAUAAGUUGGGGAAAGCCAGCAACAAAAGCCCGAGAAAAACUGAAAUGACGAAGAAAAUAUGGCGAAUAAAUUAGAGUUCCAACAUAAUUAUACAUAGACUCAUACAUGAAAGAUAAACCACAUGCCAGGUUCGACUACUCUCAUACAGGAAACAAAACAUCAUGACUCGUACGACUACAUCCGUACAGCAUCCUGACGACUGCGAAUACUCAGAAACUCUACUGAUCUGCUGGUGCUGCGGGGUCCUCUCCUGAAGCGAACUCGGAUCCUGAACUGACGAGGUUAACUAAGACCUCCGGGUUAAAGGUAACACGAUGACGCUGCCUCGAGGGCUCUCCCUCAGGGCAGGUGUAGGGUGAAGCAUCGGGGCAAUAGGAGUAGUGAGAAGUGAAACCCACUCAGCAGGAGCACUGAGGGGAUUCACGGUCGAGGCGCCUGAGCUACUCGGGGGAGUAACCGGUGAAACAGGGGAACUAGAACUGGCUGGAAUAUAAGGAGUAAAUCCCAUAUAUGCUGGAGCAGUGACAGAUCUAAUAGAGGCUAAAGCAGUACGAGCACGAGUCAGCUCUUGAGCCAGCUCGUGGAACAUAAGAUAGCUAGCAGUGAUAUAACGAGAAAGGUGGCUAACAACACUAUCAGACUCCGGAUCAAUGAUAGGGAAACGGACACGGCCAUUGUCGUGUAGAGAAGGAUAGUAGUAGAAACCUGGGUGGUUCUGCAUCCAGACCUCGUUGUAACGAAGCUCGACAAGGACCUCGGAUGCAGCAAACUGGACAGCCUGAGAAGCGGUAGAAGCGUAAACAUUCUGAGAGGUACGAGUGUAAGUGCUGGAAUCGGAACUGGUGCACAGAGUAAUCACUAUGUGAUACUCAUACACUGAGUCUGCUAGACGCUCCCGGUACACACGAUAGGCUGGGUCAUCACCGAGAGGAUACAACCGACACCACACGUUACGAAGGAGAUGCGGCGACGUGUACGACAUCAGCUGCAACUGGCACGGAUACGGUACUGGAGCCAUCUACACUCACAACCAUUAGUAGGUUAGCAAUAAAACAAGUGCAUGCAAUGCAACAACCAGCUACAAAUGCUACCGGCAGUCAACUAAAACUCAUAUCUAACGUCCAGUUAACACGUUGUAGUCUAGCAUCGCCUACAGUCAGCACGGCUCUGAUACCAAGCGUUGUGGCACCCCAGCUCAGAGCAACAGGUUUACCAUGCAUUGCCAGCCCAGAGACCAUGUCUUCUGGCAACACACAACAUCUUGGUACAGAAAACAAUCGCUUUAUUGAUGCUAGCGGAUCAAAUUUUAUAUUACAAUAGGUGGCGAGGCCAAGCGGCACACUUGGUGCGGCUGAACAAUAUGUACAUUAUUUAGUGAACAUAAAGGGGCCUCGAUCAUAACAACUACGCGGCAGCGGAGCAACAUCGUAGCAGAAACUCCAUACCACAGGGACACCACGACGUGGACACGAUCUAGACUCGGACAACACUCCUUUCCCACGAGACUUUCCUAAAAUCUGGCAUACACUACAAAAAAAUACACAUCCGUGACAUUUUGGGCCGAACGAAAUUUUUUUCUGUCAUACAUAUGACACUUCUAUGACGAUAAUUGUGACAAAACCCGGUAUUAUCAUAGAUGUGGUGGGCUCCUACUUCUAUGACAAAAAAUCAUGACAGAAAAUGGGCUUUUCGUCCUAGGCGGGCCGGAGACGUAACUGCAUGACAUUCUUUGGGCCGUCCAUGACGGGAAAAACCGUGGUAGAAGCAAGGGGGAGGAAAAUUUCGUGGAGUUGCCGGUUACGGUGGGAGGUCGGGGGCCGAGCGAUGCGCGUUUCUCUCGUACACGUACGCGCGUGUGUGCGAGGCGUUGGCUCUAAUUGAACCCGAGCGAGGCGUUGGGCUCUAACUGAACCCGAGCGACUGCACUGCAGGCUACGCGUUACUGAACCCGAGCGUUCGAUCGAUGGAUAUUAACUGAACCCAAUGGAGCGAUUCCUUUGCUACUGCUGCUAACUGAAGCCGAUCGAUUGGAUGAACAGUGAGCGUUGCCGGGGGGGUUGGAUGAACAGUGAGUGAUGGCGUUGCCUCUGGAUGAACAGGACCCCGUGGUGUGGAGGGCUGGAUGAAUAGUAGACGGUGGAGGGGUGGCCGUGGAGGGGUGGUUGAACAGAACCCCAUGGUGUGGAGGGCUGGAUGAACAGUAGACGGUUGAGGGGUGCCCGUGGAGGGGUGGUUGAACAGUAGCCGGUGGAGUAGCACGCGGUGGAGGCUGGAUGAACAGGAGCCCGUGGAGGCUGGAGGAGGUCGACGGUAGCCCGUGGAGGCUGGAGGAGGUCGACGGUGGAGAUGAACAGUAUCCCGUGGAGUCCCGUUUUGCGGUACGCCACACCCCUCCUGAUGAACAGGACCCCUGUUCGACCGUAGCACUCCAACACAAGUCCGUUUCGUCCGUUUUGCGGUACGCCACAUCCCUCCCGAUCAACAGGACCCCUGUUUCGACCGUAGGAGGUCCGUUUCGUCCGUUUUGCGGUACGCCACACCCCUCCCGAUUAACAGGACCACCGUUUCGACCGUAGGAGGUUCGUUUCCUCCGUUUUGCGGUAUGCCACACCCCUCCCGAUCAACAGGACCCCGUUCCGAACAUAGGAGGUCCGUUUCCUACGUUGUGCGGUACGCCAGGCCUCGUUUCCAUCGCCUGUUCCGUCCAAGCCCUCCCAAUGAACACGACCACGCAUUCCGUUCCGACCCAGCCGGUUGGUACCCAUGAACACGACGACAACGCUGUUUCUCCGUUCCGACCCAGCCAUGUAUGUAUGCGCGAGUAGGCGUUCGAGACCCUGCCCGUAUGUACGUAUGUGGCCAUAUUUUCUUUCUUGCACCCUCGCCGUUGUACGUACGUGUACAUGCUACGUGCGUGCCUCUACUACGACAUGUGCGCGCCUCUACUACGACACGUGCGUGCCUCUACAUCGACCAGUAUGUACGUACACGUUCAAGACCAGAAUGACAAUGCUACGUACGCUUCGACCAGGUGGGUCCCGACUAUUAGGCACUUUCGUGCCUGCAAAGAUGUGGCUGGUGGGUCCCAGCAGUCUGGGGGGCGAAUCAUUUUUUUUGCCCAGACGCACUUCCUUGCGUCCGAAGAUGUAGCUGGUGGGUCCCAGCAGUCAGGGGGGCGAAACAUUUUUCUUCGGACGUACUUCCUUGCAUGCGAAGGUGUAGUUGGUGGGUCCCAGCAGUCAGGGGGAAACAUUUUUUUCGCGAAAUACGGUGGCCCGUCCGGUGGGUCCCAGCUGUCAGGUGGAGGAAUGAUUAUUUUGCAUGUGAUAAGGAGGCUCUUCCUUGCAGUCGUCGUGGACCCAGCUGUCAGCCUCUCCACGCAGAGUACUCUUCCGAUGGAAGUCGGUCGUUGACCACAUUGACCAUGCCGCGCCGAGAGCACCAUGGCGGUGGACGAUGGCGAGGCCUAGGAAGGGGACGACGCGGAGCCGGGGAAGAUACAACAGUGGAUGCCCACGCGAAGAGGAGUACGAGGGUGAGGCUGCCGUCGCUGCAGAAUAAUAGGGGGUGUGGGUGAGUAGAGGGAUGGCCUGGCCAGCGGUGGGAGUAGUAGGGGCGGUGAGGCCUCCGCGGCAUCAUAGCCGGCCACGGGAGGCAGGAACACGCGGCACGACCGGCGCUGCUUUGGGCGGCUGGAGCACGAAGACCAAAGGUUGAAGAAGCACUACGGUCGUUGGAUGGACAUCGUACGGUCACUGGAGCUAGAGUCGUUCAUAUUGACUAAGUUGACAAAAGCCCUCCAUCCCCGUAAACUUAGUAGGCCCACAAGUCAGCCUCCCACCAAGGUGAGUCCCAGCUAGCGGGGGGAGUAUUCAUUUUUUUGUGCGUAAUAAGGAGGCAUUUCCAGUGGGUCCGAGCUGACAGCGGGGGGAACAUUUUUUUCGCGAAAUACAGAGACCCUUCCGGUGGUCCCAGCUAUCAGGUGGAGGAAUCAUUAUUUUGCAUGUAAUAAGGAGGCAUUUUCCUGUGUGGGCCCCUACUGUCAGCCUCUUCCGAUGGCUGUUGUUUGUUGACCAUGUUGACCUUGCCGCGCCGAGAGCACCAACGCGGUGGACGAGGGCGAGGCCCAGGAAGAGAACCACCCGAAGUCGGCGAAGCCACCACAGCGGAUGCCCACGCUGAGGGGAGAAUGAGCGCUGACUGGUCGGCUGCGGGGUGAGGCUGACGUCGCCGGAAAAUGACAGGAUGUGUGGGUGGUUAGAGGGAUGGCCUGGCGGCAGCACAGCCAGCAACGGGAGGAGGGAGUAGGCAGUCCCGCCGGCGCUGGUUUGGGCGGCUAGAGCAGGAAGAUCAAAGAUUGAAGAAGCACGGCGGCCGUUGGAUGGACAUCCAACAGUCACUGCUGUGUGUUGACUAAGUUGACAAAGCCUUGCAUACGCGUCAAAAAAAAUUUAGGACAGCGUCAUCGUCAACCUAGUAGGCCCAGAAGUCAGCCUCCAAAUCUGUGGAAAACAGCAUACAGCCCAUUAGCCAUUAUUUUCAAUAAUUUAUAGCCCAUUUGCUAAUUCUUAAGGAUAUUUGAAGCCCAUAUUCUUUCUAUUAGCAUUACAGACCAUAUAUUCUGGGCACUGCUAAAAAAUUCAACGAAAUUUUGCAUAUUUUGGUUGGGUCCGAACUCUUUUAAUCACGAAAUUUCAAGUCACGUUAAAAAUAGUUUUCAAAAAAUUAUAUCAAAAUAAAAUUCAAAAAACAAUUCUCCGCAAAAAAAUGAAUGAAAUUUAGAAUCUUAACUAGCAAGAUGCCCGUUCGUUGCACGGAACAUGAAGAUGCAUUUGUAUGAGUAGUUUAUCUUGUGGGAGAAAAGAUGAUAUUUUAAUGUAAUUGCCAGUUGGCUUUGGUUUUUAUAAGAGUAGAGAGUAGAGAAAUCCUGAAAAAAUGAUAUUUUAAUGCAAUUGCCGGUUGGCUUUGGAUUAAAAAUUUACAGCCCAUUUCUUACAGCUUAUAGCCCGUUUUCUGGGGAAGCCCAUUUCUUAUCCCUCCUCGUCUUGAAAGAUUUGCAGCCCAGCAGGGCUGAGAAAAGCAAGUAGGCCUCGGUUUUGGUAUUCUCCAAAAAAAAAGAACUGGGCUAGCCAAUUUCAGAAAGAAAAAAUAUAUCAGCUGGGCUCAUCAUGUGCUUAAUAAAAGUGUAAGCGUGGGCUAGACGGGCCACAGCCCCCGCACAGCGCGCAGUUGAGCUCCGUCUCUGAAACUAAAAAACAACUGGGCGAGCUGCUGGGUCCCUGGUGUUAUCCGCUUGUUGUGUAAUUUUCUCGUUUAUUGACUACAUUGACAAUGGUGUGGAACCUAGUUGUCAAACAAUUAGGAGGAAGUAUUUUUUUUGGCUUGUAAUAACGAGACACCUGCUUGCGAAAUGCAAUGAGCCUGGUGGGUCCCUACUGUCAGCCUCUCGACGUACAGUCAUCUCCUGAUUCCUCUUGGUUGUUGACGAUGUUGACAACGCCAGACGGCGGCAGGCACAGCGAGCUAAGCAAGGCGAAGAACGACGGCAAGGCCUCGGACAGGAACGAACAGCAGCCAUGGAAGAUGCGGCAGUGUAGUGGCAGGUGGAGGGGAGUACGAGGGCAACAACAUGCAAGUCAAGCAUACAAAUGGUACGAAAAGCCCGAGGAUUAAUUGUUCAUCAAAUUUUUAGACAAAACCCAGAUUGAACAUGAUAGUAACAUCUAACCCAACCACUCUUUUUUGCAGUCACAAACAAAUGGAUUGGUCUGAUCCAUAAAAUCAACAUCCUGUGCAAAAAAAAUUAUUACAGGAUGUCUACAACUUAUUGUAAAUAUAAGCCGAGCACGUUUAGAAGCCCAUUUGUCCACCUGAAACUUCUUUUUUUGCUGUUCAACAUGUUCAUCUGUGAGAAAUCUCUUGCUGUAAAAAUUAAGCCUCAUGGACAAUAGUAACCUCGCGUUCAACAGGAAGAAUGUGACAAAGCUUCUGUUUGCCUGGUUGGAUGCAUAUCGUCCCAUCAUUAUUGUCCUCAAACAAAUGUCAUGAGAACUGAGAAAAUCCUUGUGCUUGUUACGCCAACAAUUGGUUAUAUGUUUUUCUCCAUGUGGUUCUCCCUAAGUAGACAUGAAGAUUGAAAACAGUUAAGGUCUAAAAAAAGAGUAUGUCGAAAGAACGACAACUGAAUAGUUAAUUCUAGUAUAAUAUAUACGGGCUUUCAAUGUGCAUGAAAUCAUCACCUCUAUGUAUAAAUUCUCCAGAGAUCGAAAGCAUCGCAGCAAGCCAAUAAUUAUGUCCAGAUCAAAACUAUACAUACUGAUAUAUAUGAUCUUGACAGAAUCCAACAGCAUUAAUAGGCUAUCAAUGGACGAACUCUUCAUUGAGCAUAUAACAUAAUAUUAGUACCCAAAGUGUACUCAAGAUGAUUAAAACUUAUGUGCACAAAUGAAAAAUGCAGCAUUUGAUUACAAAUGUGUAGAUGAUCAUAUACGGUACCUGAAAAAGUGAGGAGCCAAACACCAACUCCUUGUGAUUAUUCAACGGGUCACGAAUUACACCCAAGGUCUCCAGUUUGGGCGCAGAGACGACAAUUAUUUCUGAAGAUGUAUAACAAUUAUGAAGGAGCAACCUUUCAAGUGAAGGGGCAUCUUCGAUGAUGAGCUGCUAUCCUUUAAAACAAAUUCCAAUGCUUUUAAGGUGAGGCGACUUUAUUUGGAGACAACUGAUACCGAUUUCUAUUCCCAAAACAAUCAGCAAGCGCUCCAGGGCAGGGCAACUGGAGUGGAUGAUGCUGUGCAGUGAGGCCUCCGACAGAUAAACCACCACAAGCGAAAGUUUUUUUAGCAGUGGGAGUCGAAUCAUUUGUACCAGAUCGUAUGGUAGAUGGCACCGGGCAAAGGUGGCAGUGUGGAGAGAGGAGGAAAACCGCGAGAUGGACAACGGUGGUGUAGGAACGUAUUUUUGGUAUGUUCGUGGCAUGAAACUUUCGUGGUAAUGGUAGAACUCAAACUGCUGGAGUUUUUUGAAUUCAGGGGAUGUCAGCCAAGCAUCCACCUUGCCGGGUAUGGACAGCAGGUAGCUUGUCGGGAUGCAGAGGCAUUGAACGAGGCCCUGCUGGCGAGAAGAGACGAUGGCUCUGAUGAGAUCAAAUUCAGGAAGGACAGAUAUCUGACGACAGUCUAGAUUGAGGGGCGCGGUGCCCCAUAGAGGGCGCCAACGAGUUGAGAGGACUUGUGUGCGGCAGCAAUCCUUGGUGGGGAGAAGCGAGAUGAUCUCCUCAAGGAUAACGCCCGGGAGAACGCUGAUGCGGUCCACCGAAGAUUCUACCGGUUCCUCAGAUCCGGGUGGGGGGGCUCGCCGUUUCUCCCUGUGCUACCGGGUGUGGGAUCUACAACCGGCAUCGCCGCUGGCGGGAGCCUCAUCUUCUUGGCGCUAGGGCCAGCCGACUCCAUUUUCCUUGUGGGCGUCGCACCGAGCUCACGGGUUUGAGCAGAGUAGCCAGAGACGAGCCUAGUGGCAGUGCGAGUGGGGAAGAAGGAGGGCUGGGGAUUUCUGUAGGAGUGGAAGAAGAGGAGCAGGUGUUUUCUAUACGAGUGAGGAAGAAGGUGAGCGGGGUUUUCUGGACGAGUGAGGAAGAUUGGGGAGCAGGGAGAAUUGGGUGGGGAGACGGAAGCGGGAGAGCGAGCUCUUCAUGUUUAUAAGGCCCGCUGCACUAACUACUCGCUUUUUCCCAAGAACCGCUCUCUUCUUUUGCGUUGGUGCAUGACUGGCCAUGCAUGCAGGAUGCAUGUGCCCGCCAGCCACUGCAUGCGCCUGGUUUGUUACUAGGCCUAUUUAAUAGGGUGGUUAUGGAGUAAAUUAAGGAGAUUUAUUUUCUCUGUGUGCAUCCACCAAAUUAGAGGAUGCGGUACUGGAUGCAGACACUCACAUUAAACUAACAUUCAGAAGAACAAAAGUUCAGCAUGUCUAUGCAUCUCAAUGAUUCACCAUACUAUAACCAAUAUACAAAGCUGUGAGAAGGUGUGGAAUAAAGAAAAUUGUCAAUGCUUCUCUGAGCAAAGGGCCUCCCUGCGCAUGCAUUAAUUUCCUAGGCAUGCUUGUUUCUUCUCAAUGUCGCGAGCACUUUGAGUAUGUUGGCAACUCCACAGCUAGCUAGCUGCCUCAUCUUGCAAUUGAUGCUGACACAUUUGCAGCAAACACAUGAGGCAAUAGAGAUGACUCAACAUGGGUCCAUAUUGUGCAGUUCCCCUGAUAUCAUAUUCAUUGUCCUGAAUCUGAAAAGAUAGGAAAACAGUAGCUAUAAUUAAAUGGUGUUGCAAAAUAGUAGCACAUAUCAAUAGCUCGGCGUGACAAAACACGAUCAUCUGGACUAAGGGGAUACUGACCUGCCUGAGGAAGAUUACAUAUAAUUUCAUAAGUCCUUGGUUGAUUUCCAACUUCGGCUGCACUGCUUGUUUGCUCCUCCACACAUGACAGGAUCGUUCCGCACUGCAUUCAGCAAGUCAACGUACGAAUAAGCUAAUUUCAUCUUGCGGUGGUCAUUGUACCUAGUUACGAAUGUAGGAAUACCUGGAGCACCAUGAGGUUAGCUGACAUCAGGUAGAUGCAGCCAUAUAAAUUUUGUGCGGUGCUACCAAAAUUGAUGUUUGUAUUCCUUCCCGUUAUGAGAAUUCUUCUUGAAGUUGGUAGAAUGUGACGGCUUGUUCUUUGCAUCAAACUUGCCUUUCCCCUGAGAUUUGUUCUUGUUGUUUUUGGGCUGGUUGGGCUGGAAGGUCUUCUCGUGUACCAUGUGGGCACUAGAAGCUCCUUCGGCAACCCGAGCACGUGUGUCUUUUGCUCUCGCCUUCUCCUCAAAAUCAAGAGUGCUAAUGAGAUACAAAACAGAAAACUCAUGUCUCUUGCUUUUCACAUAAGUAGCAAAAUCGUUCCACGAAGGUGGAAGCUUGGCAAUGAUGGUCCCAGCAACAAAUUUGUCCGGCAACACACACUUAAAGUACUCAAGUUCCUUAGAGAGUGCUUGUAUCUCAUGAGUCUGCUGAACAACAGAGCGCUCAUCAGUCAUCUUGUAGUCACAGAAUUGCUCCAUGACGUACAACUCAUUGCCAGCGCCCGAGGGCCCAAACGUGGCCUCGAGCGCAGCCCACAUGUCUUUGCCGCUGUCAAACGACAUAUAUGAAUCCACAAUGGAAUCGUCAAGAACACUCAGUAGGGCGGCUUUGAAGAGGUGAAAGUGCAACUAAUCCCCGGGUGGUUUUGGUAAUUAAUAACAACAUAUAUAUCAUUGAACUAAUAGUUACUUGAGAAUCAUUUCAGAAAGUUCAGUGAUAUGGGUAUGGCAAGGACUGAAGAAGUGGACCCCUCAAAAUGCUAAGGCAAGCAUUGGCAAAAGCUCAAGACUCCAUUUUUGGUUUAGUGAUCCAAGAUCACAUUGAGUCCAUAGGAAAAGCCAAUACUAUUAAAAGGGGAUGAGGUUAUGAUGAUGAUCUGGUUGCUCAAGUGCUUAGUGAUACAUCUCCUAAACUAUCAGCAAUUUUCACUGCUAUAUACACUCAUAAGUAGUCUCGGUCCCACCGAUAUUCCAAACUCAGUCACACCGAGAUGAACCACCUCAGCCAUAAGCCAAACCCAAGAAAACUCGGAUUUUCCGAUUCUGAACUCGGUCUCACCGAAACAUGAGUUGCCAAGCUUCUGUAACCUUCUGUCAUCAAAUCGGUGUCACCGAGAUGAUGAAGUCGGUCCCACCAAAACUGGCAUGCUCUUGUCAUUGCACGAAUCGGACUAACCGAGAUUGUAUUUUCGGUCCCACCGAAAAUCCCAACGUUCACAUUAUUUGAACUAUCGGUCUCACCGAGUUGUCCACUUCGGUCCCACCGAGAUUGCUCAAAUGUGUGUAACGGUUGGAUUUUGUGUGGAGGCUAUUUAUACCCCUCCACCCCCUCUUCAUUCGUGGAGAGAGCCAUCAGAAAGAACUACCACUCCUAUCUUAUAUUUCUGAGAAGAGAACUACCUACCCUUGUGUUGAGAUCAAGUUGCUCCACUCCCACCAUAUGAAGCUUGAUCUCUAGCCUUCCCAAGUUGCUUUCCACUCAAUCCUUUCUUCCACCACAGCCAUAUCAGUGAGGAGAGUUGAGUGUUGGGGAGAUUAUCAUUUGAAGCACAAGAGAAAGGAGUUCAUCAUCAUCUACAACAUCUAUUACCUUUUGGAGGGUGGUGCCUCCUAGAUUGGUUAGGUGUCGCUUGGGAGCCUCCGUCAUCGAGAUGUGGAGUUGAACCAAGAAGUUUGUAAGGGCAAGGAGAUCGCCUACUUCGUGAAGAUCUACCCCGAGUAAGGCUAGCCCUCCGUGGGCGUAGGCCAUGAUGGAAUAGACAAGGUUGCUUCUUCGUGGACCCUUCGUGGGUGGAGCCCUCCGUGGACUCGCGCAGCCGUUACCCUCCGUGGGUUGAAGUCUCCAUCAACGUGGAAGUACGAUAGCACCACCUAUCGGAACCACGAGAAAAAUCACCGCGUCUCCAAAAUUGCGUUUGCUCUUCUCCACCUCUCUUUACUACAUGUGCAAUUUACUUUCCGCUGCCUAUACUCUAGAAUUGCAUGUGUAGGGUGAUGCUUGACUUGAUCAUAAGUGUGAAUCUGCCAAAAACUGUUCUUUAUCAAAAGGCAGAAUUUUUAUAUUGUCAAGUAGUCUAAUCACCCCCCCUCUAGACAUACUUUCGAUCCUACAAGUGGUAUCAGAGCUUUGGUCUCCGUUGUAUUGGUUUCCAUUGCAUUGGACUCCAUAAGCUUGGUUUCACAACCUAGGAGAGUAUGGCGUCUAGUGAGGGUAAUUUUCGUAGAGGUCCUUACUUUGAUGGUACAAAUUUUGCUAGUUGGAAGCAUAAAAUGAAAAUGCAUAUUCUUGGUCAUAAUCCAGCCGCAUGGGGCAUUAUUUGUGUUGGUAUGCAAGGUGAAUUCUUCGAGGAAGGAAAAGUUCCAGAUCGCGAAGCUACAACUGAAGAAUUGCGGAUGUUGCAAAACAAUGCUCAAGCUUGUGACAUUCUCUUCAAUGCCUUGUGUCCCGAGGAGUUCAACAAAAUCAGCCGUCUUGAGAAUGCAAAAGAGAUUUGGGAUACUUUGGUUGAAAUGCACAAAGGUACCGAGUCCGUGAAGGAAUAAAAGCUAGAUAUUCUUCAAGGUCAACUUGACAAGUUCAAGAUGAAGGAUGGUGAAGGAGUCGCUGAAAUGUACUCUAGGCUUGCUCUCAUCACAAAUGAGAUUGCCGGCUUAGGAAGCGAAGAAAUGACCGACCGAUUCAUCAUCAAAAAGAUUCUCAGAGCUUUGGAUGGAAAGUAUGACACCGUGUGCACUUUGAUCCAAAUGAUGCCAAACUACAAGAAUCUCAAGCCAACCGAAGUCAUUGGAAGAAUUGUUGCUCAUGAGAUGACACUUAAGGAUAAGGAAGAGCUUCACAACAAGUUAAGUGGUGCUUACAAAGCUACAAGUGAUGCUCCCACAACCUCAAGUGACAAGUUAGUUUCCAAUGAAGAGAUAAGCCUAAUGGUCAAGAACUUCAACAAAUUCUACAAGAAUAGAGGCAAAGAGAGAAGCUCAAAGUCUAGAUCAUAUGAUGAAAAGAGAUCUUCUAGUCGUGAUCGAAACUGCUACAAUUGUGGAAGACCCGGACACUACUCAAAUGAGUGUACGGCUCCCCACAAGAGAAGAGAAGAAUCUCCAAGAAGAAGAAGCUCAAGAGAUGAGUCACCUCGGAAAGAGAGAAGGAGCAGAGAUGAUCGUUAUGAACGAAGACUCUCUCGGAGAAGCAAGGAUUCGGAGAGGAAAGACAAGUCAUCAAGGAGCUACACAAGAAGAAAACAUCAAGCUCAUGUAGGUGAAUGGGUCUCCGGCUCCGACUCCGACAAUCAAUCCGAAGGAAGCUAUCACUCCGACUCCGACUACAGUCAAGAUGAAGGUGUUGCCGGUCUUGCUCUCGUAUCCUCCAACUCCAACUCCUACGACUUAUUUGAUUCACCAAAUGAGGGAAUUGGAAGAUGCUUCAUGGCUAAAGGCCCCAAGGUAUCACACCCUGAAUUCAUUGACUUCAAUAGUGAUGAGGAUGACUUGCUUGGUGAAGAUGAGCUCUUGCUUGAUAAAUCCAGUGAGCCUAGUAAUGAUGAACAUGCUAAUAGUCUUUAUAGUCGAGAAGAGUCGAAUGACAAUGCUAUGAAGGAGAUUGAGCGUCUAACUAAAGAACUAAACACUCUUAAGUUAGCUCAUGAAACAACUCAAGAAGAUCAUAGAGAGCUCCUAAGAUCUCAUGAGAAGCUACGCUUCGAGAAGCUCACUCUAGAGCAAGAACAUGAGUUUCUAAAAGCAAUCAAUGACGAUCUUCGAAAGAAGAGUUCUUCAUAUCUUGCCAAACGACUUCUCUUGUCUAAUUUCUUGCCACCCAUUAAGACUAAGCAUGACAAGCAUAAGAAAAAUUCUUCCUCUAGCAGUAACAAUAACCAUGCUAAAUCCAAUGUUGUUGCUUCUAGUAGUUCUCUUGAUUCCACUAACAAUGUUUCAAGCCAAGUUACACUUGAGCAAGAAAAUAGUUUAUUGAAAGGGAUUAUAGAGAAAGGUGUCUACAAGAGCCUUGCCGGAAGCAAGAACUUUGAGGAAAUUGUUCGCAAGCAAGGAAGGCACCGGAAGAAUCAAGGAAUUGGUUUUGAGCAAAAGUUCAAUGCCGAAGGCGUUGAGUGGGAAGAAGGUCAAUAUCCUACUCCAUAGUUUGUUCCUCAAAAGGAGAAGUACGAUCCUACUUCUUCCAAUGCGGAACAAGCUCAAGAUGACCUUCCACCACAAGACCACAAGCUAAAAGGCAAGGACAAGCUUCAAGAGGAGAUUGAUGCAUUUGUUGAAGCACCUCAAGCCAUGGUCAAGUGGGUUCCCAAGGAAACGUCAAGUUCUACUUCGUCAAGCUCAACUACAACCCCAAGGAUUCCCAUCAAGAUGAUGUGGAUCCCGAAGAAGAAGAACUAGAAAGUUCUUGAGGGUGACUCCGCCAACAUACUUCACUCACAUUCAUUUUGGAAAAAACUUGUGCAAUCAACUUCCACAUCGUGCACUAGUUCAUGGAGUCACAAACCCUCUUGUUGGUAUGUCAAGGGACAAGGUAAUCAUUGCUUUCAUGGACAUCAUAUGUCGUGAACUUCAAUCUAUGUCCAUGGAUAUCCUUGUUUGUUCCUUGUGGGACUAACCCAUGUAGGUAUUGAAAGUGCCCGAAUCCAAAGGAUAGCUCCCAACACUUGAUGAUCUCCAUCAACAUUGAGCAUCUACAUCUUCAACAUCUACAUGAAGUCUUCUACGACAACCCAAGGUUAGUUUGACCCUUUAAAAGGGGUUCUCACAUCUAGGGGGAGCUUUGCUCUAAAAAUUGAGCUAAAGCAUCUUCAAAUGAUGUGAACACAUCAAUGCUUUAUGUAAAAGUGGUAACCCCACUUGUGCUUAAACGAUGAGUAUGACCUAUGAUCAAAUGUUCUCAUUUGGCUCCUAAGUCAAUAUACUCAUAUAAAGAUGACCUAGUCAUCGACAAAUUGUGUGUUAGUAGCUAGAGUUUUGGUUGUGCAUGUUUGACACAUAUUUCAUUUGCUAUCUUAUUGUGUGAGCAUGUUGGAUGCAUGAUUUCAUCCAUUCGAGGACAUCCAUUUGUUGUUUUGGUCGUUUUGAUUUUUCUGACCAAAUGGAUGGACAAGAAUGCCUAAGUACCUCCCCUAGCUAUCUAUGUUUUCUUGUCUCAAAUUCUAUUCAUGCUUACAUCACAAACUUUGAACAAGUCAUUUUCGGACCCUCCGGGUGAGGAGCACUCGGAGCCACCGAUCCGUCAAGGGCUAACUUCCAAAACCUUCUAAUUGAUUUCGGUCAGACCAACUCACUCAAACUCGGUCGAACCGAAAGCAUUUAGACUGAUCUAGGUUUUCACCUCGGUGAAACCGAGUUGUGAUUUUCGGCGUGACCGAAGUGCAUAACUGCCUAGCAGUUAUCCAUCUCGGUGCCACCAAGUUUUACAACUCGGUCCCACCGACAGCGAAGGGGUAUAUACUCCGAGGGCCGCGCGCGUUGAUUCCUCCUUCAAACGUUUCGCCCCCACACCCCUUGCUGCCGUCGCCUUGGUCUCCGGAUCGUCACCGUCGUCGCCUGUGCGCCCUCGCCGCAGGUCUCCGUCGCCGUCAACGGACAUCUCCUCCGCGCCGUUGCCGCCGUAGAAAAACUCCACCAAGUUAGGGUGAGUUUUGAUCCCACUCGUGCUCCCAUCUCCGAUUCAAUGCACGUUUGGAUUGCCUAGUAUCUUGCCACGAUUGAAAUCCUCCUGUACACCAGAUUAGUUCGUUUGGACUAGAUUCGAGUAAAAGUUUUAGGGUUAGGUUUCCGCCGAACACAUCUCGGUGAGACCGAUUUUAUAAUUUCGGUAUGACCGAUUUGGCCUAUGGCCAUUGCACUGCACCUUUUGGUCCAACCGAGUUGUGCAAAAUCGGUGUGACCGAAGUGAAGAUUCUGUGAAACCCUAGUGUUUUCGGCAGGACCGAAACCCACUUCGGUCAAACCGAAAGUGGUGUGCCAAGCUCCUGUUUAACACUUCGGAUUCACCGAACCUUAAACUCGGUCUGACCGAAAUGUCUUCUGUGAAAACGUAAUACUAGAAUUUGAACUCAUUUUUUUUGCAAAAACUUCUGCAGUUUGUGAUAACUCUUCUUCUCUGCCUACACCUUAUCUAUUCACAGGUUGUCAGCCAUGUCAGAUGCCAGUGACAGUCAGAACAGCUCAAAAACACCCAUUGCAGACAUUCCAGAGGCGGGCACUAGUCCUGAUCCUAGCAUCUCAUCAGAUGAUGGUGAGAGGAGUACACCAAGUGGAUUGCCUCCUGCAGCCACCAGAGCUAGAAAGAAGAGGAAUUCAGAUGAUGAGGAUUCAGAUUUUGUUGUUGAGGAAGAGGUAACCUCAAAGCCCAAAAGGAAGGUUGUUGCCAAAGAGCCACAGGGUCAACAAACUAAGAAGGGCACCAGCAAAGUCAAGCAGUCAACUGUUGCUAAGAAGCUGAAUUUGGGAGAGGCAGCUGCAAGCAAAGUGAAGAAAACCUCCAAGAGAAAGAGGAUAGUGCAUUAUGCAGUAGUAGAGAAUGAGGAUGAGGAAGCACCCCAGCCUCCUCAGAAGCCGAAGCUCAUGGGUGAUGCCAUUAAGGCUGGAGCCACAUCAAAGCCCAAGAAAUCUGCUCCAGCUAAGGCAGCUCCAGCAAAGCCUGCUACCAAGCCCAAGAAGACCGUCAGAAACAUUCCAGCGUCUGAAAAGAACAAGGAUGAUGUGCCACCAGCUGAGUCAGACGAUGAAGGACCAGUUUUGCUGAAACUUCGUCCAAAACUGCCACUCCAAGAUGAUGCUAAUCCUCAAGCUGAGGAUAUGAAGGCAAGGAAAGAUAGAGGUCUCAGGCUAUGGAGACAAACUGACCCAUAUGCCGUGAGGAGAAGAACUGCUGUAGAUCCCAGAUUUCACACCAGAGAGCAGCAGGACUUCUAUGAGACCGUGCUGAUGGACAAGAAGCCCAUAGUCGCAGACACCCGAUAUGUUGACUGGAAGUACAUUGACAGCGAAGAGCACAGAGAUUUCUUUCCACAUGUGCAUGAAAGUUUCACUGCAUGUGGCGUUGCAGACUUUGUAGGUCAGAAAUUGACCAGUUGGAAUGAUGAGAUGAUAAUGCAAUUCUAUACCACAGCUCACUUCUACCCUGAUGGAAAGAUUACGUGGAUGACUGAAGGUCAAAGGUUUUCUUCUUCUGUUGAAGAAUGGGCAGAAAUUCUGAAUGCUCCAGUGCAACGAGAAGAUGAUAUUGAUGUAUAUGGGAUUCCAAAGAAGAAUCAUGAAUCCAUGAAGAACAUGUAUAAAGAGAUUCCAGCAGAGGAUUUGGGAAUCUGGAAGCUCGGCUCAGUCUACUAUCUCCAGGCAGGCCUACCUACCACUAAUACCAUUUUGAGGCAUACCUUGAUGCCCAAGUCUGGAGAUCAUCGCAUGAUCAGAGGAUACUCUAUCAACAUGCUGCACAUACUUGAUGAGAAAGCACCUUUCAAGGUGAUGGACUUGAUGGUAGAGACCAUUAAGAGGACUGCAGCUGACCAGAAAAGGUCAUGUGGAUUUGCCCCGCAGAUUCAGAUGCUUAUCAAUGCCAAGUUUGGCACGGGCACAUUCUUGUUGGAUAGAGAACAUUUACCGUUGCAGCCAGAGCAUGAAGACAAUGUUGUUGUGAUGGAUGAGGAGGAUCCAACAUCUGUUGAAGGUCAAGCCAAGAUUGAAGCUGCCAAGAAAGCCAAAGCUGACAAGGAAGCAGCAGCAGCAGCAGCUAAACCAAAGAAUUUCGGAGAGCAAAUUCUUGAAGCUACCCAAAGGAUUGAACAACGCCUGGCCAGCAUUGUACAGUCUCAGGAGAGCUUAGAGAGGAUUGUUGAGGACAAGAUCCACGCUUUGGAUGUGAAGCUGACUGAAGUGCAAGUGACUGUCAACAAGCUUGAGGCAGACAUUGAGGAAGCAAAGCGGGAGAAGGAAGAGCUUAUGCGUGAGAUGCAGGAUGACUUAGUCCAGGAUGCUUAUCAACAGACUGCUCCGGUUCCCACAGGACCCCGAUCAGCUGCUAUUCCAGUGACUGACACCAGGACUACAGCUUCAGCACCUCCCACAGUUCCAGCAGUUACUCCAACUCCAGCUCCAGUGACCACUCCUCCAGCACAGACAUCAGCUGAAGUCUUCGCCGAUGCUGUCAUAUCCACUCCAACAUCAACCCAGACGGGAGCCGCCAGCAGAGUCCACAGUGACGCUUAGCUUUAUGCUUUUUCGAACUUUUUGGUAACUUGUUGCCAAAGGGGGAGAAAUUGUAUAGAUCAUAGGACUUCGAGAGAGAGAGUGUUGUUGUCUUUUGCGCUUUCGUUCUUUCAUUCUUUUGCGGUUUCUUUGAGUUACUUUUGGUUUCCGAGACAUUCAGUGUGUUUGAUACUCCGUUUGAUUCUACCUUAAUGAGUGCUUGGUCGUACUAUGCUUUAAUGUGUGCUUAAUGCUUAUCAUAUGCCAUUCCUAUCUCGUAUGACCAUUUACUCAUGUCUUGGUGAUUGGGUGCAUGCUGUUCAUUCUUAUCAUUUUGUGUGCUCCACCAAGAUGUAUGUGACAUGGAAGAGUGACCCAUGAUCCUAAUCAAUUGUGCAUUUGCAUUCAAACGCAAAUCUUAAAUAAUGCACAAAUUUAGGGGGAGCUCUUGCUUAUCACAUACUUCUCAAAGCGACGAUAUUAUUCAUUGAUUAUAUCCUUUGUCGAAGCUUUGAUCUAUAUGUUGUCAUCAAUUACCAAAAAGGGGGAGAUUGAAAGUGCAACUAAUCCCCGGGUGGUUUUGGUAAUUAAUAACAACAUAUAUAUCAUUGAACUAAUAGUUACUUGAGAAUCAUUUCAGAAAGUUCAGUGAUAUGGGUAUGGCAAGGACUGAAGAAGUGGACCCCUCAAAAUGCUAAGGCAAGCAUUGGCAAAAGCUCAAGACUCCAUUUUUGGUUUAGUGAUCCAAGAUCACAUUGAGUCCAUAGGAAAAGCCAAUAUUAUUAAAAGGGGAUGAGGUUAUGAUGAUGAUCUGGUUGCUCAAGUGCUUAGUGAUACAUCUCCUAAACUAUCAGCAAUUUUCACUGCCAUAUACACUCAUAAGUAGUCUCGGUCCCACCGAUAUUCCAAACUCAGUCACACCGAGAUGAACCACCUCAGCCAUAAGCCAAACCCAAGAAAACUCGGAUUUUCCAAUUCUGAACUCGGUCUCACCGAAACAUGAGUUGCCAAGCUUCUGUAACCUUCUGUCAUCAAAUCGGUGUCACCGAGAUGAUGAAGUCGGUCCCACCGAAACUGGCAUGCUCUUGUCAUUGCACGAAUCGGACUAACUGAGAUUGUAUUUUCGGUCCCACCGAAAAUCCCAACAUUCACAUUAUUUGAACUAUCGGUCUCACCGAGUUGUCCACUUCGGUCCCACCGAGAUUGCUCAAAUGUGUGUAACGGUUGGAUUUUGUGUGGAGGCUAUUUAUACCCCUCCACCCCCUCUUCAUUCGUGGAGAGAGCCAUCAGAAAGAACUACCACUCCUAUCUUAUAUUUCUGAGAAGAGAACUACCUACCCUUGUGUUGAGAUCAAGUUGCUCCACUCCCACCAUAUGAAGCUUGAUCUCUAGCCUUCCCAAGUUGCUUUCCACUCAAUCCUUUCUUCCACCACAGCCAUAUCAGUGAGGAGAGUUGAGUGUUGGGGAGAUUAUCAUUUGAAGCACAAGAGCAAGGAGUUCAUCAUCAUCUACAACAUCUAUUACCUUUUGGAGGGUGGUGCCUCCUAGAUUGGUUAGGUGUCGCUUGGGAGCCUCCGUCAUCGAGAUGUGGAGUUGAACCAAGAAGUUUGUAAGGGCAAGGAGAUCGCCUACUUCGUGAAGAUCUACCCCGAGUAAGGCUAGCCCUCCGUGGGCGUAGGCCAUGAUGGAAUAGACAAGGUUGCUUCUUCGUGGACCCUUCGUGGGUGGAGCCCUCCGUGGACUCGCGCAGCCGUUACCCUCCGUGGGUUGAAGUCUCCAUCAACGUGGAAGUACGAUAGCACCACCUAUCGGAACCACGAGAAAAAUCACCGCGUCUCCAAAAUUGUGUUUGCUCUUCUCCACCUCUCUUUACUACAUGUGCAAUUUACUUUCCGCUGCCUAUACUCUAGAAUUGCAUGUGUAGGGUGAUGCUUGACUUGAUCAUAAGUGUGAAUCUGCCAAAAACUGUUCUUUAUCAAAAGGGAGAAUUUUUAUAUUGUCAAGUAGUCUAAUCACCCCCCCUCUAGACAUACUUUCGAUCCUACA
rnacentral:lncRNA from 1 species